rnacentral:lncRNA from 1 species
ACACCUAUACUACAACUCUAACCUAUAGGGUCCUAUAGAUUAGAAGUACUCAAAAGAGUUGUGAACCAGAACAUACAUGAUUAGUAAUUGCAUAAUGAAUUAGAAGUAGAUUACCAGAGUCAUCGCAUGAGCAAUCUUGAUUAGAGCUUGAUCAUGGCGAAGUACAACCGGAGGAAGAACCGACAGGCCGGCCUCUCCUCUAAUCCUCCUUCGCUCUCCAUCUCGCUACUAUCUAGAUCUACUCUAGUUUAGAGAAGAGAGGAGAGCUCUCAUCUCUAAACCCUAGCUUUUGCUCUGACUAUGAAUAAUGAAUAAUGAUCAAGGGGUGCCUCCUCCAGGGGCCAGGGGGUCUGGUUUUAUAGUCCCCUCAAGUGAACCUGGGCCGUCGGAUCAAACCGACAUUGAUUGAAUGGUUAUUCUUGAUCCUUUAGGUCGGUGGAGCAUAAUCUGCGAGAUUGAGCGUGAUUGGUCGAAAAAGGUGGGCGGGCGCCCUAAGGACUUGGGCGGGCGCCCUGUCCCUGAAUCCGUUCGGUCUCCGCUUCCUUCCCGUGGCUUCUAGAGUCUUCUAGAUGUAAGAUAAUUGCGCGGCAUGUUGAUAUCUCUAUGUAAUCCCGACGUUUGGGCCUUUCUUCCUUAUUUCCUGAUAACCCCCUGCAGAAAUAGACAAACACCAAAACUCGUGGAAUUCUGUCAGAUAAAACCCUAAGUCUUGAUGUUGAUUUCAUUUGGAUCCUUUUCUUUGUUUAAUUUAUAGUUAAAUUUGAUACUUAAGGACCGUCAACAAACUCCCCCAAGCUUACCUCUUGCUCGUCCCUGAGUAAGGAUAGACUCAGCUAUGGAUCAUAAAUUGUUGCAAUAUCUUUAAAAAUUAACGGUACACAUGCUUUUAAAUGAGGUCUCAUCUCUGAGUUAGAGUAAAUUGUCAAGACUUAAAACUUACUUACUUUACCUUUCACCAUGGGACUUGUAACCGUCACUUCUGUCUUGAGUGGUUAAAAGAUAGAACAGUCCCGUCAAGUGCCAUGUCUCUUAUUCUUGAUCAGCUAUAGCUCUGGAGUUUUUGCAGAUUUUCAAAUAAAACUUAGAGAUUCCUUUGUAUGACUCUCUCAUAUCUCUUUUUUGUGGUAUUUCUGGAUCCUUACCAAGGCAGUGAUGGUAUAUGCCUUCUCUCAAAAUAUGUGGUAUUUGUGGUAUAAGGCAUAGUGACAUUGCCUUCUCUCUCACCCUACUCUAAUAAGGCUUUAAUAUCUGGAGCUCAUAGGUGGGAGAUAAAGUAUACAUACUUACAAGACAUUUAUUGUAUAGUCAAACCAUGGAUCCAAAGAAACAAAUCAAUAAGCCAAAUCAAGAUGUGCAUGUGUGGCGAAUGAAUGGUGUAUAGUGAUGGUGGUGAUAACAAUGGUGAAAGUCUAAUUCUACUUUUGCUCUUAUGAGGGGAUACAUACCUUCCUUGCUUUUUGAAACUUUAUGAGGAGAAUGAGAUGCUCUUCUUUUUCUUUCCUCUCAGGUGGGUAUCUUGUACCCCUAAUUCUACUGUCGGACACUUAUCCAUUUUUACCUCUCAUCUCACUUUCUCUUUCUUUCGAGGUUCCGGGUACUUGCCCCUUUUUAUUUCCUCGUUUAUUAUUAUUUUUUUUCUUUUCUUCUCUUUUUUUAGAGCACUCAUCUCCUGAAAUAAUGUAGCAUGUGGUAGUAACCAAAAUAACUGGAGCAUUUAUUUCACAGGGAAUAACAGGAAUAGGAAAAUGUUUUUGGCUAUUCUCUCCCGGAUUAGGAGUAGAAUGAUUUUGGGUGAAACUGGAGAUGGAAAUGGAUGGAUAUAUGUGGAUGGUACUUCUGGAGUAGAAGUAGCAUAUAUGAGUGAACGUGCAAGUGAAUCUUGAUUUAACCACAUGACAAGCUCCUAAGGGUCUACACAGCUUGACCACACUCAAUGCUCAUAAGCAGUAAAUAAAUGUGUGGCUCAAAGUCUAGCAAGCAUGUAUAUAUGACUGUGGUAGGAAUUUAAACUUUCAUCAUACAGGAACUCAUCAUGCAAUAUUUUAAAGAUUUUUCAAAGAUAAAAUUCUCUAGAAUUCUAGCAUCUCUAGGAAUAGAUAAACAGCAGCUCAACCUUCCCAUAUCAUAUCCGUUAACAACUUAGAUUUCAGAUCAAGUUUUCAUCCCACCAGUUUAGAUCUAGAGCAAGCUUUAAAUUAUAACAGUUAUGUCUAAACUUGAGAGAGAACUUCAAAUUUGCAAAUUAGGCAGAGCAACUAUUCAUCAUAUCCAUGCUAGAGUUUUAUUAUUAAGAUUCAUAGCAAACUUUAUUUAUUUAUUUAUUUAUUUAUUUAGCAAACUAAUAAAAGAUAUAUAUAUAUAAGCAUAAAAUCUUUAUUUGGUUUUUCAUAGUUUAUGUAUUUUAAUAUUCUAAUAUAAUAUAAGUAUAAAGAUAGGUAGAAAUACUUAGCGAGAUAAAUAGGGGUGCUCUCCCCCAAGUUGAAUUUUGACGUAAUUUCUCUUGAUGUAGCUAGCAGGUGGCAGAGGUGUAUUUGAAAGUCAGCAGGAUUCUGACAGCGAUUAGAAUGUCCUCCAUCUGCUAGUCUUCUUGAUUCUUAAAUUCUGUGGAGCUCAAAUAGACAACAAAGCUUGUGGAACUAAUUAAGUGUUAGCAUAAAUAUCUAGCCUUCAUCACGUUGAGCUUCCUCAAUAAAUAUUACUCCCUGUUUUUAUAUUUUUAUUUUAUAAAGUAAAAAAAAAUAUUUAUUUUAUUUUUAUGCCGCCACAGUAAAGGUACUUAUGGGUUUUAUGCCACUCGUAUACUCACAUGGGGCCUAGUAUUUUUUUUAACAUUUUUGUUUUCUUUUCAAGAUAGCAUGAUUAACUAAUAAUCUAUUUAAGGCAAGUAAAUAAUUAAAGGGAAAAGGGAAUGCAGAAAGGAUAAAUAUGGAUAACUAUCAAUCUUACCUUUCGGCGAGGGUUCAAUGUUUUAAGUCUUCUUGACAAGACUUCUCACCGUGUUCAUUCUUCAGGUGCGUCAUUUGAUUCAGGUGCGGACCUUGACGUCUGCACCUUUUAAUACGGUGUCACCCAUGUUCUUCGUUUGCCCAGCAGUUCGAAGUGAGGUGUUAGCAGUAUCUUGCUCAGUGUGUUUGUGCUCGUAGUGUACCUGCUCAUAGAGACAAGGCAGAGAUCAAGUGCACGGGCCCUGUUGGUGGAAAACACCAACAGAACCAAAAGUAUAUUUGUUCUUCUCUAACCUUAAGCAUAGUGAGCAAGACAAAGUUGAUGAAUGAUAAGUUCAUGAGUGUAGCACUUAUAACAUUUGUCAGAUUAGAUCGCUCAACCUUAUGGAAAGAUAAUCUAUCUAUGUAUAUGUCUUUUUCUUUAUAUCUCUCAAUGAUUGAAUGUGUAACAUUUUAGCUCAUAUGAUUAGGAGUGUGGGAUCAUGGAGGUAGUACUAAGAACAAGGAUUAAAGGACUAAACAUGUUGAAUCAGUUGGGUUGGUUAAUCUAGAGUUGUAAAUCAUACACGUUUGUCUCUUUUAUUUAUAUGAACGCCAGAACCAAGGAGAAGCUUAUAAAAGUGAUAGUCAAGUACCUUAGGAUGUUACCUUGCUUGAAAAGUGAUGGUACAGUAUCACCUUGUGGAAGCUUUCCUUUCUUAGCGGUUGUGCAUCGUGUUCGUGGCACCCUCCAUGGAUCAUCUCUCUAUGAUGAAUGAGCUAUGUCCUUCUUGUGCAAAUUGUUAAACUUCAUGUGUCACUCUCUUCGUCUCUGAUGUGAGUUUAUCUCAGGACUUCCCAAAUCGAUAUUGAAAGUUUUUCUGCAGGGGUUAGUCCGACAAAAUAUACCAAUAUCUACUCAAGCAGUUUUUUUAGUUCAAUAACCAAACUAGACUCCAUGUCUAGUCAGAUUAAGGAAGGCUAUUUAACCUAAGCACCAUGCUUAAUUUAAAUGCCAAUGGAAGUAUGGCGAGUACUUCCAAACCAACACUUGCUAGUAAAUAGACAAAGGUAGCAUGACAGCAUUUAUAGAGAUCUACUCAAGUGGAGAUGAAGUAGUGUGAUUAGUAUUUAAUAAAUUGAGCAUGUCUCAAAGGUAGGGACAACCAGCAUAGCAACAUGGCAAAGGAUGUUUUUAUGUAAAGUACUCCCCCAAGCUUGAAUUUUGAAAAAUUCAAGUUUGGAUGAAUUUAAUUCAAUGUUGUAUGAUGAUUGGUUGGACAUACCUUGUGCUUGUCAUUCAUCCGAUCUUCUUGCUCCAAUCCUAGAAAGGUUAGUGACAAGAAUACCCGAAGGAAUAUUUUUUUACAAUUAUCCUUAUAUGCUCAAUACACAAGGUAAUGUUGCAAAUAAUUAAAAGCUCAUGUUACGAUCUGAUCAAUGCUUAUUUUAAGACACUAAGCUUGUCCUUGGGAAACCAUCAGUUUAUGUUGGCGAAGUGGUUUCCCCUCCGACGCCAACCUAUAUCUAGAUCAACUCAACGAGAUCUGCAAUAUUUAUUAUAGACAUAUGCAUCGACAACCGCCCAUUUAAAGUUUUUAUAAAUAGAAAGGAAGAGGGGGUUGGAGAUCUCAAGUGUGGUGAUGUCGGAGAGACCAAUAGAUUGGGAAGAUGUUGCAUAUGAGCAUGGAGUAAACAAAGUUGCUAUGAAAUAAAUUCCAUGCUCGUUAAUGUUAUCUUCGUCUCCAAUCUGAAUGUUCAGAGUUUCUCUUGGAUUGGUCCCACUUAUGUCCUCUUCUAUAGUUGGAUGAAUCUCAUCUUCAAAGGGAGUCAAGAACUCACCAUUUGAAAUUGAGCCAAAUUCAGAAUCCAUUAAGGCUUCUUCCUUAUCCAUCCAUUCUACACAUUCUAGCCAUUUAGAACUUGUGAUCAGGAAAGGGGAGGUGUUAGAAUUUUCAAUAUGGCUUAGCUCUCCUUCACUUGAUAUGUCAUCCUCGACUUCUUCAUAACAGGAAUGAGGACAUUCUCUAAGAGAAACAUUAUUGCAAUGAUUUGAAUUAUCCCUGCUUGAAGGUCUCUUAUAGAACCAGAAGUCUAAACCAUCAGCAUCUAAAAGAUUUAAGGUCGGAAUUCCUUCCUCCCUUGGAGAAUUUUGGGGUAUUGAUGGUUUAGGAUCGAUAGCUAAAGUUUGGGAUUGAAGUGGUUGUAAUCUGGCUAUCGAAACUUCUUCUUCUUGUCUAGGAACUGGUUCUUUCUCUUUGUCAAGGAUAUAAAAGCUAGGAGACUUUCCGCUCAUUAAAUCAAUCAAAUUCCAAGCUUCACUAGCGGAUAGGUGGUGGAAAGAUCCUCCAGAGGCCGCAUGAAGGGUUUGCUUAUCUUCCUUACUAAGGCCCUCAAAAAAGUGAAUUAGAAGAACAUCUUCUGGAAUAGAAAGUUUUGGGCCAGUGAGAGUAAGGUUAAUAAAGCGGUCCCAUGAUUUGCCAAGAGAUUCUUCUUCCAGUUGUCUAAAAGAAAGAAUCUCACGCCGAAGUUCCACCACUUUGGAGAUUGGAAAAUAUUUAGAAAGAAAACUACUAUAUAACUCCUUCCAAUCUACAUGAACACUCCCUACUUUGAGUUUAUACCAAUGUCUAGCUUUUCCCGUUAAAGAGAAUAGAAAGAGCUUCCAUUUAAGGGUCUCAUCGGACAUGCCUUCUAUGCGAAGGAGGUCACAGACUCGAUAAAACUCUCUUAGGUGUGUGUAUGGGUUUUCCUCACCUUCUCCUGAGAAAGGUUGUUUUUGAAAAAAUUCUAUGUAUUCGGGGUCUAUCUCAAAACUAGAUGCUAUGAUAGGCUUUGAAGAUUUUGGUGGUUCGAGAUGUGUGCCCAUAGGUCUAUGAAAUUCAUAGAUAGACAUGUUUGAAUUCAUAAUAGACCAGAGAUCGAGGAUUAGAUAAGAAGAAAGAAUAGCAGAGAUGAGGCAAAGGAUAAAAGGAAAAUAUUUUUUUUUGUUAUAUAUAUAUUUUUUUAAUAAAAUGAUUAAACUAGUUCGUAGUCAACUCAGCAACCGUUUCCCCGGCAACGGCGCCAAAAAUGCUUGUUGACACUUGCUAACACCACUUGAAUACUAGGUUGUCAUCCCCAGCAUGGCACUAGAGUGUACUAUGGUAUUUAUACGCACACAGAUAAUCCGCAAGCGCACGGAUACCGUUGAAGCUUUUACCCGGUUAAAGGUUUUAUCAUAUCCACAGGGAAACGGGAAAACCAACUACGCUCUAACUUAACCAAGAUAGAUAGAUAGGUGUAAAUAGGAAAGAUGAUAGAAUCGAAUAAGAACAAUAUUAAAGGUAAGAUAAUAGUGAGUGAUAAUAUGGGAAUAGAGAAUAGAGCAAUUCUAGUAUAUGGGCGAUGGUAGCAGAAUAGACAGGAUAACUAUGGUUUCUCUACUUCAAAGGGGUAUGUCUAUGUCUGGGACGAACCACGUGAUAAGAGUACACCACAAAGGAUGCUUAUCCAUAGGCCGAUAAACCCUACCCGUCCUGCUAACGAGAGGUGGACUACAGGGGACCAACGUAACUGUCACCUACACGGCCUACCACACGAUCCAGCUAGUCGGGGGAUAUCCACAAGUAAUCUAGGUCUAAGCACCACGCUUACACCUAUACUACAACUCUAACCUAUAGGGUCCUAUAGAUUAGAAGUACUCAAAAGAGUUGUGAACCAGAACAUACAUGAUUAGUAAUUGCAUAAUGAAUUAGAAGUAGAUUACCAGAGUCAUCCCAUGAGCAAGCUUGAUUAGAGCUUGAUCAUGGUGAAGUACAACCGGAGAAGAACCGACAGGCCGGCCUCUCCUCUAAUCCUCCUUCGCUCUCCAUCUCGCUACUAUCUAGAUCUACUCUAGUUUAGAGAAGAGAGGAGAGCUCUCAUCUCUAAACCCUAGCUUUUGCUCUGUCUAUGAAUAAUGAAUAAUGAUCAAGGGGUGCCUCCUCCAGGGGCCAGGGGGUCUGGUUUUAUAGUCCCCUCAAGUGAACCUGGGUCGUCGGAUCAAGCCGACAUUGAUUGAACGGUUAUUCUUGAUCCUUUAGGUCGGUGGAGCAUAAUCUGCGAGAUUGAGCGUGAUUGGCCAAAAAAGGUGGGCGGGCGCCCUAAGGACUUGGGCGGGUGCCCUGUCCCUGAAUCCGUUCGGUCUCCGCUUCCUUCCCGUGGCUUCUGGAGUCUUCUAGAUGUAAGAUAAUUGCGCGGCACGUUGAUAUCUCUAUGUAAUCCCGACGUGUGGGCCUUUCUUCCUUAUUUCCUGAUAAUCCCCUGCAAAAAUAGACAAACACCAAAACUCAUGGAAUUCUGUCAGAUAAAACCCUAAGUCUUGAUGUUGAUUUCAUUUGGAUCCUUUUCUUUGUUUAUUUGAUAGUUAAAUUUGAUACUUAAGGACCGUCAACACUGUCGUCGACAGUGAUCGGUGACAUCAACCUCUGCGGGACAGCAACUCCCCCUAACCAGCCCUUGUCGACUAGGUCUGUACCGACACUUGGCGUGUGAAUGUCUUGAACGAAAAUGCCUUGCGGAAUCUGGGCCCGAGAUGACCCUAUUUUUGACAACGCAUCUGCGGCCUGGUUCCUAUCCCGGACCACGUGUAUGUAUUCUAUGCCGUAGAAAUUGGAUUCCCAUUUCCGAAUUUCUUUGCAAUAGAGGUCCAUCUUUUCGUGGGUUGUGUCCCAUUCCUUGUUUAACUGGUUGAUGACCAGGGCAGACUCACCGUGGAUGUAAAGGCGUUUGACUCCCAGUUCGACGGCCAGUCGUAUGCCGUGUAGGCAUGCUUCGUACUCGGUGACGUUGUUGGAUGCAGGAAAGAGGAUUCUAAGGACGUAGCGAAGUUUGUCCCUGUUAGGCCACACGAAGAGUAUUCCGGCGCCAGCGCCAUUGAUAUUUAGCGACCCGUCGAAGAACAUUGACCAGUGGUCGGAGGUGUCCGAAGAAGGGGGUUCUUUGAGGUCCGUCCAUUCCGCGAUGAAAUCGACCAGGGCUUGGAACUUGACGGUAGUGUGACUCUGGAAAUCCAGGGAGAAUGGGCACAAUUCCAUUGCCCAUUUUACAAUUCUGCCGUUAGCGUCCUUGUUGCGCAAAAUGUCCCCCAGAGGGAAACUGGUGGUUACCAAGACCCGAUGACCGUCGAAGUAAUGCUUCAGCUUCCUUGAGGUUAUCAGGAUGGCGUAGAUUAACUUUUGUAUCUGAGGAUACCUGGUCUUAGAUUCAUUUAAGACUUCGCUUAUGAAGUAAACAGGCCUCUGGACUUUGUAGAUGUGGCCUGGCUCGUCCCGCUCGACCACCAUUGCCGUGAAGACGACCCGAUCGGUUGCUGCUAUGUAAAGGAGCAGGUUCUCGUUAGGUUGAGGUGCCGUGAGGAUGGGUAGUGAGGUGAGGAAUGUUUUGAGCUGGGUAAACGCAGCGUCAACUUCCUCUAUCCAGGAGAAUUUUUCUAACGCCCUUAGGAGUUUCAAGAAGGGGAGGCCCUUUUCUCCCAGUCUAGAGACAAACCAGCUGAGAGCAGCCAUACAUUCGGUGAGCUUUUGAAUAUCCUUGACAUUCUUGGGUUGUCGCAUAUCGAGCACUGCCUUUACUUUUGAAGGAUUCGGUCGUAUGCUGUCGUGGCUGACGACGUUGCUGAGUAGUAGUCCAGAGGGGGCCCCAAAGAUACAUUUUUUGGGGUUAAGCUUCCACUUGUAUCUAUUUAGUGCCUUAAAGGUUCGGUCUAGGGUGUAGAUUAGAGUGCUCACGUCCCUUGUUUUGACGACAACGUCAUCUACAUAAGCCUCGAUGAGGUCGUCAUGAAUCUCGUCGUGGAGGCAUUGCUGAAUGGCCCGUUGAUAAGUAGCUCCAGCAUUUUUGAGUCCGAAGGACAUGGUCGUGUAGCAAUACGCACCGAAAGGAGUGAUAAAAGAUGUUUUGAUCUGGUCGUCUUCCUUUAGUGAGAUCUGGUGAUAACCAGAGUAGCAAUCUAGAAAGGCGAGGAGUUCACAUCCGGCCAUUGAGUCGACCACCUCGUCGAUGCGAGGGAGACCAAAAGGAUCUUUAGGAUAGUGUUUAUUGAGAUCAGUGUAAUCAACGCACAUUCUCCAUUCAUUGUUCUUUUUUUCUUACAAGAACCGGAUUGGUGAGCCAAUCGGGAUGAUACACUUCUUUAAUGAAUUCGGCUGCUAGAAGCCGCGUUAUUUCUGUCCUAAUAGCCUCCUUUUUGUCACGAGCGAACCAUCGUAGCUUCUACUUGAUACAUCUUGCGGUCUUCAAGAUGCUUAAGAAGUGCUCGAUCAAGUUUGGUGGGACGCCGGGCAUGUCUGUGGGUUUCCAAGCGAAAACGCUCACGUCGUCCCUUAGAAACUUGACGAGCGCGUCUUCCUAUUUAGGAUCCUUAUUGGCCGCGAUGAGAGCCGUCUUCUCGGGGCUGCCGUCGACCAGCUGCACCUCCUUGUGCUCUUUGGACUUUGAAUUUUUCCUCGGAGUCUCCUGCUCGGGUAGUCGAAGCUGGUCGGGUGGAACCUGCAUAGCUUGGGCUACGGUUUCUGCCAUGCGGAUCGAGAGAUCGAUUGCCUCAGUGAUCUUGAAGCUUUCCUCCUCACAAGUGUAUGCGGUGUAGACAUUGCCUCUGACAGUUAGGAUGCCCUUCUCUGUUGGCAUCUUGAGGACCAGGUAUGAGUAGUGUGAAACUGCCAUGAACUUUGUCAGCGAUGGUCGGCCCAGAAUUGCGUGGUAAGUGUCGUCGAAGUCGGCGACCACAAAGUUGACAAACUCUAUUCGAAAGUGGUCAGGUGUUCCAAACUGGACAGGCAGCGUUUUCUGUCCGAGAGGUACUGAACUUUGACCUUGUAGGACUCCCCAGAAUUGAGCUUCAUACGGCUUUAGCUGCGUCGGGGUUAUCUUGAGAGCAGGCAGGCUGUUGCGGAAAAGGAUGUCAAUGGAGCUGCCCCCGUCAACGAGCACGUGCUCGAAUCUGACGCUGUUGAUGCAAGGAUCCAGGAUCAGAGGGAAACAUCCUGGUUCUCGGAUGGCGGCCCAUUGAUCCUUCCUGUUGAAGGAGAUCUCCCUAUGCGACCAGGGAGGAAAUUUCUGGUCGACGACCAUACCGUCUGCGCUGUCCACAUUGAGGCAGGCUCUCUUCAGGAGCUUUCUCUCUCGUUUAGACUUGAUGGAAACUUUGCCUCCAAAGAUGGAGUGGACCACGUCAGUGGGACUGACGUACUGGUGUCGUGGGUCCCUAUCCUGGUCAUUGUCUUCGUCUUCAUGACCAUGUCUGUCCUGCUUCUCAUUUUUCUUGGCGGAAUCCCCUUGAGCAGCCCACUGUGUGUAGAUGCUUUUGAGGACACGACAUUCUUCCAUCGUGUGAUUGGACUUGGGAUGGAGUUGGCACGGUCCUUUCAACGUCUUGUUGUAGUCUUCCUGGUAGUCUCGCUGCCCAUUGGGGCGCUUGACUGUAUUCACCUCGUGGUCGUGGUCACGAGGUCGCUUGCCCAUGAAGUCAUCGCGAUUGUCACGCCGCCUGUCCCAACCUUCUCUAUGGUCACGGUUGUCAGCGCAAUGAGGGUUCCUGUUGUCGAAACAUCCACGACUGUCGUCUCAUCGAGGAGGCUGGUCGGCACCUCUCGCAUCCUCUCGGAUGAGCUUUUCUACGUCAUCAGCAUCAGCGUAGUUUUCUGCCGUGGCGAGGAGCUCAGCCAUUGUGGUCGGCCUUUUGCGCAGUAGCUUAUUCCUUAGUGCUUUGUGGAAGCGUAGCCCUUUGAUGAACGCUGAUAUGGCCUCGUUGUGAGAAUUUUUUGGAAUCUUAAGGCGCAUAUUCGAGAACCGUCGGAUGUAAUCACGCAAAGGCUCAUUCUUCCUAUCCCAUGUUCUCUCGAGAUCAUAUUUGUUCCCAGGCUGCUCACAGGUACCGAUGAAAUUGUCUAUAAAUGUCUGGCACAGUUCUUCCCAACGGUCAAAGGAGUCCUCGGGCAGGCCGAGGAGCCACUGAUGGCCAGCCUGGUCAAGGACGACUGGGAAGUAAUUAUCCAUGACGUGCUCGUCUCCUGCUGCUGAUCGAACUGCGAUCUCGUAUAGAGUGAUCCAGUUUUCAGGGUUUUCCUUGCCGUCGUAUUUUUUAAGCUUCUCAAGCUUAAAGUUGUGGGGCCAUACGACUUGGCGAAGGUGUGAAGAAAACUGUCUUAGGCUGGGAGGGCCGUGCGCGGCAUCGUACUCAAUGCGUCACAAGUUUUUGUGUACCGCUCUUUCCGUAGCGCGCCUAUUGAUACGGUCGCGGGCGUCCUUGGGAGGGAUGUUGUAUCGUAGAUCCCUGUCCUGGUUUACUUCCAGACCACGCCCGCCCUUCUGCCUACGGUAGACGCCGGUGUCCCGACCACGGUUGUCGCGCCCCAUGUCCUUCCUGCGGUUAUUGGGAGAGCGGCUAUGAUGGCGCUCGCUGGGUCGUGGUGAAGUCUGGCUGCGAUGAGUCUGGUCGGAAGAGACCUCUGUGUAGGAGACGGCUUGGACCCUUUUGAGUAAGGUGGCUGUCUGUCCCAUCGCGGCGAUCAGGUGCACACGUAUACUGGAUCCGACGCCCUGGCACUCAGGAGUAUUAGGGAGUCGGUCCAGGUUUGCCAUAGCAACAGCCACAUUAGCGCUUGGUGUCUUGUAGACUGGCUGAUCUCCGACCAUGUCGAAAGCAUCACUGAGAUUAUGCAGCGCAAGUUGUCGUUCCUCAUCCGCGCGCCGCCGAGCACGAUCGGCAUUGCGCUGUUCGCGGAGCUGCUUCUGCUCAUCUGUUUCUCUGUCGACAACCGGUUCAUCGUUGCUGACAUUGAAGAUAAGAUCUCCUCGCCGAGGUGGAAAGACUGGGAAACGAGAAAAACCCGAAGGAUAUGGUGGUAAAUCCAGGUCGUAAUCUUUGUCCUCGGAGUUUAGAACCUCGGUAGGGACAGACCCUGUGCUGGAGUUCGUACUAGGAGCCUUGUCGUUCGGUAGUACUUGGAUUGAUACCAUGUUGACGUAGUGGCGAGCUGCUCGGCUGCUCUGUCUCGGCGACUAGCCCACCCUGUUGACAAGAGAUUGGGUGUGCCAUGAGUAGUCAUUGGCCGAGUUGUUUAGUCCAUAAGGGGGACUCUGAUCUUGAGCUGUCUUGAGCUUGACGGACCGCCCCGUGGGGGUGGACGUUAUCGUUAGAGACGUCCCUAGCUGUUCGUACGUGAUGACACGAGUUGGCCGGUAGGAGUUAAAAGAGUUUGUCGACGCUGCUUGACCAUAUUGGCACGAGUUCCAAUCUACCAGUUUGGAAGCUUCGAGGAGCCUGAGAUCGACGCAAUCCAGAGCUCGGAAAAGAUCCAAGUCGUCGACCUUUUUCCCCUUGUAACGAGGAAGCGGAGGUCGGGUGCUCGGUGUCAGCAUGAUCGGAAUCGACGCCCCUGUUGUCUCAGAUCAGAUCUGGGUUUCUUCUGAAGUCAUGGUUGUGAGGCCGUCGCCAUGAGUCGUCCACGUGAUUUGGCCGAUGGUGAACGUGAGGCCUUCAGCCACAGCCGCGGAAGCUGGAACGAUGACCAUCUUGUUCGUCGGGGAGUUCCUACCUGGCGCGCCACUGUCGACGAAAGCUACUCGGCAGUCUACCUUGGGGUAUACCCACGGUAGUAGUUUAUCGGUAGACGGUGCACAAGCUACGAACUUGAUGGUGACGCAAGACACAGACAAGGUUUUUAUCCAGGUUCGGCCGCCGUGUGGGCGUAAUACCUACGUCCUGCGUCAGAUUGUAUUGAAUUGUGUUGAGAUGAGUUGCCUAGGGGGGUCCCUUGCCUCUCCUUAUAUAGUCUAGAGGGUAGGGUUACAAAUCUGGAGACUAAUCCUAGUCGGUUACAAUUACCAUAGAUAGUACGAUAUCAAUUCCUAUUCUAACCGACUAGAAUCCUGCUUGAUCUCCACGCCAUGUUUCCUUGCAUGAAACUCCAAACAGUUGGAUCAAGCCUCGAACUAUCUUCGUGAUGGGCCAAGCCUCCUGGCCCAAGCCUAGCCGUAAGGGUAUAGGGGUUUCUACCCCCAUAGGACCGGAUGCUCAGGAGCGUGUCCGGUGUGUGUGUCCGGUGACCCCACGCGCUUGCAGACCUCUCUGCGCACGAGACCCGUGUUCACCGGACACGUCCGGUGCUUACUUGACUGCGUCCGGUGGUCUGCAGGUCACCGUUAGACUUCGACAUGUGAGAUUCAAAGAGCUGACACGUGGCUGUUUCGGGAGCACCGGAUGCUCUGUUCGAGCGUCCAGUGCCUCGCCUGCAGCGAGUCCGGUGACCCCGAUUUUAGCCCAUUGAAAGAGCCAACGGCUCUAUUUAUUUGAGGGGCUUAUAAAUAUGUGUUGGCCGGCUUGGGGCUCACUCUCUUGGCAUUCUAGCAUACUUGACAUCCUUGUGAGCCUAAGCAAACACCUCUCACUCAUCUCCUUCAUAGAUUAAUCAUCUUUGUGUGAUUGGGAGUGAUUCCAAGUGCAUUUGCUUGAGUAAUUGCAUCUAGUGGCACUUGGGGAUCAAUUUAGCUGCGGUUUUCUUGUUACUCUUGGUGGUUGCCGCCACCUAGAUGGCUUGGAGCAGCAGAGGAGCUUUGGCACGAGUUUGUGAUUGUUCAUGGCCAUCUCCUGGUGACUGUGAGGGGUUUGUGCCUACAUCGGCGGAGAGCCAAAGGAAACAUUAGUGGAUUGCUCGUGUCAUUGAGUUACCUCACUUGUGGGUAGGUUCUUGUGGUGUCCUAGUGAGGACGAGGUUCGUACUACACCUCUUAGCCACCGAACCACCAAGUGUUGGUCGACACAACGGGGACGUAGUGUGCCUGCAAGCACGUGAACCUUGGGAGAAAAUUGUGUGUCUCCAUUAUGAUUGUUCUUUGGAUUUCUCUCGGUGAUUGGACUUCAUAUUAUUGUGAUUGGUUCAUCCCCUACACGGCCGUAUAUAUAUCUAUUCCUCUCCAUUUACUUACCACAAAGUAGUGUAACUAGUUUAGUUACUAGUCUUGCCUUGUGUAGCCUAGUUCUCUAGUGUAGCUUGUAGUGACAUAGCUCUUGUGUGCCUAGUGAUCAUAUCAACUAGAAUUGUUGGAUAGGUGGCUUGCAAACACCCCUUUAGUAGAGCAAAAAGCUUCGCUUUGUUAUUUACUAACCUCUUGCUCUAGUGAGUUUGUAGAUUUUUUAAAUAGGCUAUUCACCCCCCUCUAGCCAUAUUAGGACCUUUAAUGUGGUAUCGGAGCCGUGGUCACCAUUUUGUGAAGGCUUAACAACCUUGGUGCUCAAAUUAUGGUUCAAAUAUUGUUCAACCAUGUUGGGGGCAAACCACCGUUCUUUGAUGGCACAAGUUCUUUUGACUAUUGGAAGAGAAAAAUGAAAAUGUACCUUGGAUCAAUCAAUGAUAGAGUGUGGGAAGUCAUAGAGAAUGACUUUGUGAUCCUUGACCCCGCCAAACCCACCGACAAUGAGAGAGCAAAUAAGUACUACAAUACUAUGGCUCUCAACAAGUCAAAUAUCUUGAGAAGGAUAGUGAAGUAUGGGCAAGGCUAGAGGAGACAUAUGAGGGCACUACAAUGGUAAAAAGUGCCAAGUUGUACAUGCUCAAGAACAAGCUAUCUAACUUCAAGAUGAAGGAUGAUGAGUCAAUCCUGGAGAUGUUCUAUAGGCUCCAAGUUAUCAUCAAUGAUCUCAAGAGCCUUGGUGAGAAAGUGAAGGAUGAGGACUUCAUUGACAAGUUCUUGAUGUGCUUGCCCAAGAGGUUCAAGACAUGAACCAUCAUAUUUAGAGGAGGAUUGACGGGUCUACCUCCCAAUGAGAUACUUGGAGAUGUCAUUACCGAAGAUCAAUACAAUGAUAAUGAUGAUGAUGAGGUCAUGAAGAAGGAUGAUGAUGAUAAGAAGAAUAAGAGUGUAGCAUUCAAAGCUAGCUCUUCAUCCAAGAGCAAGAACAAGGGCAAGGCCAAGAAGGAAGAAUCAAGUGAUGAGGAGUGCUCCAAUGAUGAUAGUGAUGAUGAACCACUAGCACUCUUUGUCCACAAAUUUAGCAAGAUGAUGAAGAAGAAGGGCUACCAUACAAGAAAGAGAAGAGAUCAUUUCAAGAACAAGGAGCAUGUGAGGCUAUGCUACAAGUGCAAGAGCCCCAAUCAUAUUGUGGCGGAUUGUCCUUACAAUAGUGCAAUGAUGAGCAUGACAAGAAGAACAAGAAGGAGAAGAAAGAAAAGAAAUAGAAGAAGAUGGUCUUCAAGAAGAAGAAGAAGGGUGGAUCCUAUGUUGUGACAUGGGAUAGUGAUGCCUCUUUGGAUGAUGAUUCUAGUGAAGAUGACACGGCAUCCAAGAAGAAGGCGCUUGCAAGCAUUGGUAUCAACAAGCCAUCACACUUCGACACUCCUUCAUGCUUCAUGGCCAAGGGCCACAAGGUACAAUGUGAUGAGAGUGAAAGUGAAAGUGAACAUGAACAUGAUAGUGAUAGCGAUGACGAAAAUGAAUUCACUAAUGAACAACUCAUGGACAUGCUAGAACAAGCUGAUUCACUUAUUCACUCUAAAAACAAGAAGUGCAAAGAAUUGGCCAAGAAGUUAAAAGCUCUUGAGCAAUCCCUUGAUGAGCUCAAUGCUAAUCAAGAGAGGCUAGUGGAAGCCCAUGAGAAGCUUGGCAAAGCUCACACCAAGCUUGAGAAAGCUCACUCCUUGUUGUUAGAAGAGAACAAGGAAAAGGUUGUUGUAUCAUGAUGUGGGCACAACAUGUGACUUAAUUAAGGAAUCACCCAACCCACCUAUUGUUGUUGCCACUAACUCUUCUUGUAGGUCUUCAUCCACCACCACCAACUCUACCUCUACUUCUAGUGAUGGUAUCACAUGUGAUGCUUCACUAAAGGUUGAGAAUGAGACUCUCAAGAGAGAGGUGGAUGAGCUCACUCAUGCCCUAGGCAAAGCCUACGGUGGUGGUUUUCUCUAAACAAAGAAGGACUAGGCUAUACCCCCAAGACAGCCUUUGCAACUCACAAACCUAUUUUUGUGAAGAGCAAUGGUCGAUUCUGCAACAAAUGCAAGCAAGUUGGGCACCUAGAGCUUAAUUGCAACAAAAUGAACAAGAACAAGAAAAUUGCUAAUGUACCUUACAUUCCUUUUUAUUAUUGUUAUGUACUUACCAAGGGUGAGAAGGGUGUGUGUUGACGGUCCUUAAGUAUCAAAUUUAAUUAUCAAAUAAAUAAAGAAAAGGAUCCAAAUGCAAUCAACGUCAAGUCUUAGGGUUUUAUCAGACAGAAUUCCACGAGUUUUGGUGUUUGUCUAUUUCUGCAGGGGGUUAUUAGGAAAUAUGGAAGAAAGGCCAACACAUUGGGAUUACAUAGAGAUAUUAACGUGCCGCGCAAUUAUCUUACAUCUAGAAGAGUCCAGAAGCCACGGGAACGAAUGGGAAGGCGAUCGGGCCCGAGGGCAGGGCGCCCCCCCCCCUAGGGUGCCCGCCCUGACCUAGAGUCCAAUCAGGACUCGUUUCGGGGAUUAUGCUGCACCGACCUAAAGGAUCAAGGAUAACCGUUCAAUCAAUGUCAGUUUGAUCCGACGGCCCAUAUUCACUUGGAAAGACUAUAAAACCAGACCCCCUGGCCCCUGGAGGAGAGCACCUCUCAACCCUAAUUAAUUAUUCAUCAGGGAGAAGAAGACUCUGGUCAAGCCCUAGAGCCACCACAUCAAUUAGAUAUCUAGAUUAGCAUAGCUACAUAGGAUUAGAACUAGAAGGAGUCAAUCUUCGAUUGGUUUCUGGAUCUGUUCAAGAGGAUUAUUGGUAAUUCUCUAUUGUUCUUCAAUUGUUCAUCUUUGUUCUUCGAUAUUAUGAAUAUGACUUUGUUCUACUUCAAUAUAUUGAUUAUGACUUUGCUCUACUUGUUUAUAUUCGCAAUUAUAUUGUUCUUAGUUUAUCAUAGUUAUAUACAUGGCUUAGUUAGGUUCGAAUUAUAUACAUGUUUAGGAUCGCAUAGCGUUUAUCCAUCGGAUCCAUGGCUAAAUGAUAGAUAUUAUGUAGGCGUGGUGCUUAUACCGUAUUUAUCUGCGAUUGUACCCUAUAUACCAGACCGCGGGGUAGUUCGUGGUAGUGACAGCUCCAUUGAUUCUUAUAUAGUCCCCCUCUCGUGUAUUGGGCUGGCAGAGCAACAUUAUUACAGGGGAGUGAUUGCGAUGUUUCUCAUAUUCCUUGCUAAUAUCACUAUGCAUGGGCGUAGUCCUGUCUCACAAUGAUUGCUAAGUAUAAUUGCACUAACUAUGAUAUGCUAGACUGUAUAGUUAAGAAUAACUUAGGAAAUAUUAUUGUAGUUCGUCCUAAUUCCAUGCUAAUGACUUGGUAGAAUAUCUAAUUGAGGUGCUUAUCAUAUUUAUAUGUGGCUAAGUUAUGCUGACUAGAUUAAUUAUCUUUGUCCCUAUUCAUUACUUUAUAUAUCUUUUAUGUGACACUUAUCCCUGUAUGAAAGAGAUAGAUAAUUGUUCUCAAUUAUACAUGCAAUGAUAGAUACUCAAUCUUAUAUUCUAUUCUAUAAUCAACAUUGAUGAUUACUAAUCCCUUCCCAGUGGUAAAAAUAUAAAUAACGAUACCUGGAAUACUUCCCAGUUAAAAUGCUACAUCAGUAUUAAUCUGUGCGCUUGCAGAUCCCAUUUUGUUAUUUAUUUAGAUGAGCAAAUGCAUAUUUCAAUACCGCAUCUCUUGUGUCAUGCUGGGGAUGACAACUUGGCUUAAGUGCCAUGAGAGAUAGGUUUGGCAUUUUUGGCACCGUUAUCAGAAUUAGAAAACUAAGUCUACUUUUGGUAGUGACGUUAAGAAUGCCCAACAAGCAUUUUUGGCGCCGUUGCCGGGGAAGGUUGAUUACUAAUCAGGAAUGAAUAUAGAAUUUUGAGUCAUCAUUCCCAUCACUAAUAUGAUUGAGCUUAUCAAUUCUCUCAUACAGUUUUACCCCGAAAUUUUUCUUUUUUAUCUUAUGCAGGGUAAUGUAUGAAUAGAAGACAUCUUCCAGGAAAUUUUGUUGACAAUCCUGAAGCGUUAUUUAGAAAAACAAGAGCCAAGCUCAAGAAGAGAUCAUCAACACUUCAGCAAGAAGCUUCAUCCAAUCAAGAAGAUCACCGAAGUUUCACCCGAAACUUGUCUUCAGAAUUUGAAGUCAUGGCGAACAAAUCGAUCCGCGAGUUCUCUGCUCCCACUACGGACAACAUCUGUACUGGACCUGCUGCAGAGAUCGAUGGCAACUUUGAGUUCAAGCUUGGACUUAUCAACAUGGUGCAAUCCAACCAGUUCUGUGGGAAGGCACACGAAGAUGCUAGUGCUCAUCUCCAACACUUCCUGGAGAUUUGCAACACAUUCACCAUAUCAGGAGUCCCCAGAGAUGCUAUACUACUUCGCCUCUUCCCAUUCUCACUGUUAGGAAGAGCGAAGCAGUGGUUUUACGCUACAAAGGAGAAGAAUACUACGUGGGCACUCUGCUAAGUUCUUUCCCAUGGGCAAGACCAAUGCUCUCCGUGGGAAAAUUACAAGUUUUCAGCAACAACAUGAUCAAUCUGUUCCAAAAGCAUAGGAGUGCUUCCAAGACUACAUCCUAGAAUGUCCCCAUCAUGGAAUGGACAGUUGGCUAGUGAUGCAGACGUUUUAUCAUGGGCUCGGCAAUAGUGCCCGAGAGACCAUGGAUGCUGCAGCUGGAGGAGCAUUCCUAUCACUCACCAUAUCACAAGCCACAGCUCUUGUGGAGAAGAUGGCGUCCAACCAAAGCUGGAAUGAAGAAAGGACCCAAACACUGAAGAGAGGUGGAGGUAGCAUCAGCUCAAGGAGGUAGACAUGCUGUCUACUAAGCUAGACCUGCUCAUGAAGAAGCUCGAUGAUAGAGCUGGAGAUAAGAAAGAAGUUAUGCACAUCUAUGACUCUCACAUGACUUGUGAGAAGUGUGGAGAUACUGGACACUCAGGCAAUCACUGCCCUGAGAGGUUUGAGGAUGUGAACUACAUCAACAAUAACAACAACUACUACUACAACCGUCCUCAACAAAAUCAAAGUUGGAAUCAACAGAGGCCUAACUACUCAGGUAAUUAUCAGGGUAACAAUUCUUACAACAAUAAUAAUAAUUUUCCACCUCUGAGAGAGUUAGUGUCUAAUCAAGGAAAGCUAAUGGAUAACCUAUCUAAGAAAUUGGCAUCUAAUGAUAAAAUGCUUGAAAAUAUAGAUAAUAGAAUGGAUAAUUUCUCUACUGCCAUCAAGAAUCAAAUUAGCUUUAAUAAAAUGAUUGAAUCUCAGUUAAAUCAAAUAGCUGCUGCUGUUCCUGCUACUAACCCCGGUAUACCAUCACAACCGAAAGGAUUAGAAUCUGCAAAUCUUGUAGACAUGUUUGAUGCAGGUAACUACUAGAGUAACCCCGUCGCUGAAGUUACUACUGACCUUCUGCCGGUCAAGAGAGGUGAUCCAGGAUGCCCCGUUAUCCCGAUCUCCAUCGGCAUGGUGGACUUCCCAGAAGCACUCUGCAACUUUGGCUCUGUUGACGGUCCUUAAGUACUAAAAUUAAUAAUCAAAUAAACAUGAAAAAGGAUCAAUAUGAAACAAACAUCUAGAAUAAGGGUUUUAUCUGACAGAAUUCCACGAGUUUUGGUGUUUAUCUAUUUCUGCGGGGGUUUAUCAGAAAAUAUGGAGAGAAGGCCCACAUGUCAUGUUUACAACGAGAUAAUUACGUGCCGCACAAUUUUCCUCAAUCUAGAAGGAUCCAGAAGCCACAGGAACGAACGGGAGGCGAUUCGGGCUCGGGGGUUGGGCGCCCGCCCACCCCCCUUGGGCGCCCACCCAGGUCAGGAGGCCAAUCAGGACUCUGCUUCGGGACUACGCUCCACCGACCUAAAGGAUCAAUCUAAACCAUACAAUCUAUGUCGGUUUGAUCCAAUGGCUCACGUUCACUUGAGGGGACUAUAAAACCAGACCCCCUGGCCCCUGGAUGAGAGAGGAGAAAUCAUUAUUCAGAGGUAGCCAUCAAAGUUAGGGUUUAGAGCUUCUCUCCCACAGAGAAUUAGAAUUAGCUACUCCCUAAUCCUUCAAGUUUAGAGGUUGAUUAGAUAGCAAUUAGAGAAGUAGAGCACUACGCUCUGGAUUCGGAUCUUCGGUAAUAAAGAUUGGUAUUAUUCAUAUCUUUCUCUAAUUCUUUGUUCUAAUUGCAUUAUGUCUCUAAUUAUUAUGUUCUUAGUUUGCUCUAGUUCUAUAUUUGAUAUAGUUCUAAUUGAUAAUGAGUUUAUGUAUAAGUUUGCAAAGCGCUUAGCUCUUGACGCGAGGGAGUUAGGUGAUAGAUCCCAUGUGAGCGUGGUGCUUAGAUGUUUUUUAUCUGCAAAUGUAUCCUAUUGGCCGAGUCGUGUGGUAGUUCGCGAUAGUGACAACUUCGUUGAUUCUUAUAUAGUCCACCCUCCGUUGAUAGGACAGGUAGAACCGGUAUUGUGGAGUAAGUCAUGCGAUGUUCUAAUUUACUUUAUCAAUGUUCCUUAUACAUGAAUGAAGAGUCUUUUAUGCUAUAUAUGAUCUUGUAGAUAACUAGAGUAGAUUAUGACUUAGUAGUUAGUAGAUGACUUAGAAUCCAUUCUUUAGCUAAUCCGACAGCACCUACAUAUAUGAGGAGUAGUCUAUUUUCAAAUCGCUGUGCUCUCUGUCCCAUGAACUUAUACUUUAUUAUCAUUAUCUUUAUGGUUUACCCCCUGCUAAAGUAUGUGACUGUGUGACGAGUUUCUUAUUAGUAAUCAUGUUCUUGCAAGUUUAUCUCUAGUCUAUGCCUUGAUAGAUUUUGCCCGUUGAUUUAAUUCCAUCUUCUUAAGAUCCCCUAAGCAAAAUUAUAAAUAACGAUACCUGGAAUACUUAUCCUGGUGAAAUGCUACAAUGAGGUGUUUUAUCUGUGCACUUGCGGAUAGAAUAGAUUAUUUUCUAGAGAGCCUUUACAUUUAUAAAUACCUUUGUACACUCUGGCGCCAUGCUAGGGAUGACAACCUAGUAUCUAAGUGGUGUUAGCUAGUGUCAACAAGCAUUUCUGGCGCCGUUGCCGGGGACUUAUAGGAUCUAUAGGACUUAUAGAACUUAUGGAUAUUAUAGGAAUUAUACGAAUCUCAGGAAUAAGUCAUAAAAGGGAACAAAAGGGUAAUAUUAAGGAAGCCAGAAAAUCAAUCAAGGUUAUUCAUAUAAAACAUUAGACUAGACUAUAGAGAAAUAAUUGCAUAAAACAGCUACUAAGUGAGAAAUCAUAACAAGGCACCGCUGCUUUGGCAGGUUCACCCUGUUGUUUUUCUAUGUUUAUAUUUUUAUACAGGGUAUAACAGGAUUGACUUUGUGUACAUUCAACUCUUCAUCAUCAGAACCAAAGCAAUCAAGAGAAGAAGAAGCUAGCUACCAAUUGCUGAAGCUAUGGCACAAAAGACCUUGCAAAAAUUCUCUGCUCCAAGUCUUGACAACAUUCCAACCGGUCCAAGAUUUGCAGUAGCUAGAAUACCUGAGUUUGAGCUCAAGUCAAGCCUCAUCAAUUUGGUACAAGCUACACAAUUCAGUGGAAAGGCACAUGAAGAUGCUAGUGCACACUUGCAGAAUUUCUUAGAGAUUGGAAGCACAAUCCACAUCAACGGAGUUGACAAAGACGUCAUACUGCUUCGCCUUUUUCCAUUCUCACUAGAAGGAAAAGCGAGGAAGUGGUUCUACACUCAUCAAGAUAACAUCAACAACUGGACGAACUUGUCAGAUGCCUUUCUAUCAAAGUUUUUCCCUAUAGGCAAAACAACUACCUUAAGAGGAAAUAUUGUCAAUUUCCAACAGCAGAAGACAGAAGCCAUUUCAGAAGCAUGGGAGCGUUUUCAAGGAUACAUAUCAGAUUGUCCUCACCAUGGAAUGGCCACAUGGUUACUUAUGCAGACCUUCUACCAUGGAUUAACCCAGAAGGCUCGUGAGUGCCUAGAUGCAUCUGCUAAAGGAUCAUUCUUGGAGCUUACAACUGGAAAAGCAGAGAUACUUUUGGAUAAGAUAGCAGAAAACCAAAGCUGGUUCCAAGAUAAAGCUCAACAAUGUCAUCAAACUGAAGAAAUACCAGAAGAAGUAAAAGCAUUAUCAACUAAGAUGGAAAAUUUGCUCCAUUGGAUUGACCAGAGGGCCAAGUUCAAAGAAGAUCAAAGGGCCAUUGAGACAGCAUACAAAUAUCAACCAACUUCGAGUCAACCCAAUAGCAAAGGUAUGAAUUCAGGUAAUACUGUCAAGAAACUUCCAUUAAAAGAGAUAAUUGCUCAACAAACCAAAAUUAAUGAUGAAGUUAAACAAAGGCUAGAUACAAAUGAAUCAUCUCUAAAAGAUAUACACAAUAAAAUAGAUUUUCUACUAACUGCCUUUGAUGAGCAAAACUCUCUUAAUAAAAGGGUAGAACUUAAAUUAAUAAAGAUAGCUGCUGCACUGCCUGUUGCUACUAACCUUGAGCAGGUAAAGAAUAUAACUACUAGAGGAGGUAAAGCUACCAGAGAUCCACCAUACCCAAAAGAGAAACAAAGAACAUCAGCACCAGUGCAACCAGCAGUGAUAGAAGAAGAAAGCCCAGUCGAAGCAGAAGAUCUGCUCCAACCACCAAGAACUAGAGAAAUGAGGAAAGAUUUUUACGACACCAACUAUUUGCCAUUUCCCAGAAGAAACAGAGGACUGCAGUCAGAUGAGCAGUUUGGUAAGUUUGUAGAGGUCAUUCAGAAAUUAUAUGUCAACAUACCUCUGCUCGAUGCCAUACAGGUACCUACAUACGCAAAGUACAUCAGAGAUAUUCUUAACAAGAAGAGGCCACUGCCCACCACUGAGGUUAUCAAGCUGACAGAAGAAUGUAGUACGGCCAUCCUCAACAAACCACCAAAGAAGAAGGAAGAUCCAGGAUGCCCCACUAUUGAUUGCUCGAUCGGAAACCAACACUUCAAUAAUGCACUUUGUGAUCUCGGAGCAAGUGUCAGUGUGAUGCCAGCAUCAGUCUACAAAAAGCUUGAGCAUGCAACCUUAGAACCAACAUCAAUGUGCCUACAACUAGCGGAUCAAUCGGUUCGAGACCCGCUGGGCAUCACCGAGAACAUUCCAGUCAAGAUCAGAGAUUUCCUGGUGCCAGUAGACUUCGUAGUACUGGACAUGAGUCCUGACUCAAAAGUGUCGAUCAUCCUUGGAAGGCCAUUUCUGAGCACUGCCAAUGCCCACAUUGAUGUCGGGAAGGGAGAAAUCAAGUUUAACAUAAACGGACAAGAAGAACGCUUCACAUUCAAACCCAGACCAGAGAGAGACUCUACAGUGAAGGAAGUUCAUGAAAAACCACUGGAGACACCAUCUCUGGAGGAAGGAAACUCAGAAGAUUAAAAGAUUUGGAGGUCCAGCUUGGGGGACCUAAAAAUCCCAAACCCUCACCGGGAGGUAAAUCGGUAUUUAUCCGCAUUAUUAAUUUUCUCAUAUUUAAAUUUGUGCAUAAUUAAUUCUUGCAUUAGUCAUAUAUAUUCAUAGCAUUAUUAUAAUAAUCAAAAAGCCCCAUAUAAAUAAUAUUUGUGGUGUGUAACAACCCAUAUUUAUUAAUUAUUGUGGAGGCACAAAAAUAUUUUCCAUUAUCAUUUUCAUUAAGUUUCAAUUCUCAUAGAUUUUCCUGCAUUAUAUUUAAUUAUAUUAAUCUUCUAGAAACGUGACCCACACUCUUUGGGUUCCACAUGUCAUACACUUCACCUCACAUACAUCCCAUCACAUAAUUUCAUCCACCAAUAUGUUUCCACUCACCUGACAUCUUUCCACCGUCCAACCACUACCAACACAACAUUAUUCUGCGUGAGAUCAAAGCAAGGAAGCAAGUGGAGGAAGCACACCCAGGAUGGACACCAGGGGUGGGCGCCCGCCCACCUACCUUGGGCGCCCGCCCUGUCCCUCUUCCUCCUAUAAAAGGCCACCUCCAGCUCCCCUUCUCUUCACACAAACACUUCAGAAAACCACACAAAUCUCAGUUUCCCGAGAAGGAGCUUUUGUAGUGAAGAGAAGAGCGUAGAGAGAAAGAGGAGAGUGGAAGAGAAAGUUGGAGUUCUUUUGAGAGAGUAAUUGUCACCUAGCAAGUAGUGAUCUUGUUGUCUAAGCGGAAGUAAAAAUUGUUUAGGGGAGGCUCUACCAAAAUAGAAACUUGUCUUGAACGAUUAACCCCUGGACUGCUGACACUCCGGACAGCUGACCACUAACAUUUUAUCUUACAUUUUCCACCAGUUGUGUUUUUGCCAACUUUUGUUUGCAGGAUGUUUAAGAAGGUGAAGAAUGCAGGGAAGGCUCUCAAGAACAUUGGUACAAGGAGUUCAUCCCGACACUCCUCACAGCCAUCAGAGAUGAGCGUCGACCCGACACCCACACAAGCUCCAUCAUCCUCAUCAGGUCAGCAAGUUAAGGUCCUUCUCAAGAUAGGAGACCUUGGACUGAAGACCCGAAGAGAGAAGGAAGUUUAUCAGCAAUUGAAGAAUAAAGAUUUCAUUCACACCCCUACUCUCGAUCCAAUCCUACUACAAGAAACAGGUAUGGACACUGAAUUUGAUUUAAUUUUUCAGAUGAUGGGUUGGACAAAUUUUUGGAAUAUAACUGAGCUGGGUUCUCGUCUUCUCACCCUCGAAUUUCUUUGCACCUUACAAUACUAUGAGGGGGGAAUUGUUUUUCGGAUGUUCAAACAGGAAAUUAUGUUAUCUUGGAGGGAGCUGAGCGACCAUCUUGGUUUCUCUUCAAGAUGCAUCCUGAACAUUGACUCCGAUUUACCCAAUUUUUUGAGAGACACCAGUUUUGGAGAAAAAUAUCUAGAGAUAAUUUUUACAGUUAAGCCCGAACCAGUGACAUGGAACACCCCACUCUAAGGAUGCUCCACAAAUGGCUUGGGUACAAUCUUUUCUAUCGUGACGAUAUUAGGAAAGUAAGAGUAGGAGAUUUACAACUUUUAUAUGCUGCUAUUAGUAAAGUACCCACUUCACCUGUUACACUAUUAGUUUCACAUUGGCUUAGUAUACCUAGUCUUCAGGGACCAGUAGGAUGUACUUCACUUAUCACUCGUCUGGCCACUAAUCUUCACUUACUAGAAAACUCAUCGUUGGACUUCAUAGAAGAAUUAAGAAUUUAUCAUGGCUAUGACACAUUUAGACAAGCUCGGAUGUUAAAGAAAGAGGGGAAUAUAAUGUAUAUGCUGUAUGAUGAUAAAGGCAAGAUUCGGUUACCUAACCCGAACCUUGGCCUCUACACUGUGCAAAACUUUUUGAUUGAGAUUGCAGCAACACCAGUGAACUAGAGAACUCCACAGCGAGUGGCAUCUGAAAGGAUAACCACUCAUCGAGAACGCACUUGGUAUGGAGCUGACCCUGGACCAGAAGAAGCAGCGCACCUGCAUUAUUGCGAUUACAAUCCACGAGUCCUUCGAGACCCAUGGGCUCGGCAUGCGCAACCACAAGAGCCAACAGAGGAGACAUGGCCGGAGAGCCAAGAUCACCAGUGGACAAACCCGCCUUUUCAUACGGGCAGGUACUCCACUGAUCCAUAUGGAGCUUCAGGAUCUAGACCUCCACCACAAUUUGAUGCAGGACGAUACUCCGACGCCUCCUACGCCUUCACGAAUGACUAUUAUCAAGAGGCCGGUGCUUUCUUCACUCGUACCGACAACACCCUCCUCGACAUCCAGAACACGCAAGCAGAACAUGGAAGACUCCUGGAAGAGCAACAAAAAUGGAACCAGGACCAUGCCGCUGCAGUACAAGAGCUAAGACAAGAUACAACAACAAUGAACGACAACAUCACAACCAUGAUGCGGUUCUGGAACAUCGGGUAAGACCGACGUCAACAUCCAGCUUGGGGGAGUUCCUCCCUAAUUUAUCAAGUAAGUUUUUAUUUGCUCUUCUUAUUUAUUCUAUUCUGUCUUAGUAUUUUAUUUAUCUUAAAAGGAAAGCUUAGAAAACCAAAUAAAUAUUUUCUUGCUUUAAUCUACUGCACUUAAUAAACAUGAAAACAAAAUAAAAAGAGUAGAUAAGUGUGCUUUAUUUUUCUGCUAAGUUUAAUCUCUAGAAAAAAAUAAAAAGACCAAAAAUAUGCAUGAUGGAAAUGAUGAAUAGUUGCUCUGUUUGCUUACUUACAAGUACCUAGCUUUUAUAUUAGAAUUCUUCCGGGAAUUACUAAAACUGAAAUUACUAUCUUUGGAAAGCAUAAAACUAAAGUCUAGGUAAGAGAAAGGCAUGAUAUAAAGUUGAGCUACUGUUUAUCUUGUUCCUACUACACUAAGUUCUGGAGAUUUAUUUUGAAAACUUACAAAUCACAUGAUGAGUUCCUAGCAUAACAAACUACCUACCACAGCCAUACUUGCUAUAACAUCUUUUACUAUAUUUACAUUGAGUUUGAUCGAGCUGUGUAGACCCUUAGGAGCUUUUCAUGUGGUUAAAUUAAGAUAUUCACUUGCACACAUCUACCACAGCAUUCAUCACCAAUCAUUAAAAUUGCUAAAAAUGUUAUCACUCACUGUCCCGAAUAUUGUUAUUCUCUCUCUCUAAAAAGAUUCAAUACAGAAGAGGCAUGGGUUAUGCAAAAAUAUAUACGAGGAAAUAAAAAGGGGCAAGUGCCCGGAACCUCGAAAAAAGAAAGAAAAAGAGUGAGACGAGAGGUAAAAAUGGACAAGUGUCCGAAGUAGAAUUAGGGGUACAAAGAUGCCCACUUGAGCGGAAAAAAUGGACAAGUGUCCGACAGUAGAAUUAGGGGUAUCUACUACCCACCUGAAAAAAAGAAAGAAAAGAAAAAGAUAGCCCAUGUUCUCCCAAAGCAAAGAUCAAAGAAGAGGAGAGAUAGCAAUAUGAGGAGCAAUGAGAACUAAGUUUCAUUGUCACUUAUGCAUUUUCACCAUCACUAUCAUUUACUCCAUCACACAUGCACAUCUUGAUUUAAUUAUAUGUUGAGUUCCUUUGGAUCCAUGGCUCGAUUAGACAACAUAUGUAUGAGCUGUUUUUCACUCCUAUGAGCUCCACUUAAAUAUUCUAUUAGCUAUAGGCAAGUGAUAUCAUGGUAAGGAUCCACAAAUACCACAUAUAGAGAGACUUGAGAGAAUCAUUGCUGGGAACUCUGUGUUUUAUUUUGAAAACUUAUGAAAAACUCUAGAACAAAGGUGAAGUAUAGACAAGAGGGAUAGUGCUUGACUUAACUAUUUUGUCUUUCGAUUACUUAAGAUUUAAGUGCAGGUACUAAACUCCAUAACACUUCACUCUAAUCUGGAAGAAUUUUUAUGUAAAAGCAUGUGUGCCUGUCAGGAAAGAAAACAUCGAAGCAACUCCUGAUCCGUCUGAGUUUAGCUAUUUGCUCAGGGAUGAGCAAAGGGUAAGCUUGGGGGAGUUUGUUGACGGUCCUUAAGUACUAAAAUUAAUAAUCAAAUAAACAUGAAAAAGGAUCAAUAUGAAACAAACAUCUAGAAUUAGGGUAUUAUCUGACAGAAUUCCACAAGUUUUGGUGUUUAUCUAUUUCUGCAGGGGUUUAUCAGAAAAUAUGGAGAGAAGGCCCACAUGUCAUGUUUACAACGAGAUAAUUACGUGCCGUGCAAUUUUCCUCAAUCUAGAAGGAUCCAGAAGCCACGGGAACGAACGGGAGGCGAUUCGGGCUCGGGGGCUGGGCGCCCGCCCACCCCCCUUGGGCGCCCGCCCAGGUCAGGAGGCCAAUCAGGACUCUACUUCGGGACUACGCUCCACCGACCUAAAGGAUCAAUCUAAACCAUACAAUCUAUGUCGGUUUGAUCCAAUGGCUCACGUUCACUUGAGGGGACUAUAAAACCAGACCCCCUGGCCCCUGGAUGAGAGAGGAGAAAUCAUUAUUCAGAGGUAGCCAUCAAAGUUAGGGUUUAGAGCUUCUCUCCCACAGAGAAUUAGAAUUAGCUACUCCCUAAUCCUUCAAGUUUAGAGGUUGAUUAGAUAGCAAUUAGAGAAGUAGAGCACUACGCUCUAGAUUCGGAUCUUCGGUAAUAAAGAUUGGUAUUAUUCAUAUCUUUCUCUAAUUCUUUGUUCUAAUUGCAUUAUGUCUCUAAUUAUUAUGUUCUUAGUUUGCUCUAGUUCUAUAUUUGAUAUAGUUCUAAUUGAUAAUGAGUUUAUGUAUAAGUUUGCAAAGCGCUUAGCUCUUGACGCGAGGGAGUUAGGUGAUAGAUCACAUGUGAGCGUGGUGCUUAGAUGUUAUUUAUCUGCAAAUGUAUCAUAUUGGCCGAGUCGUGUGGUAGUUCGCGAUAGUGACAGCUUCGUUGAUUCUUAUAUAGUCCACCCUCCGUUGAUAGGACAGGCAGAACCGGUAUUGUGGAGUAAGUCAUGCGAUGCUCUGAUUUACUUUAUCAAUGUUCCUUAUACAUGAAUGAAGUGUCUUUUAUGCUAUAUAUGAUCUUGUAGAUAACUAGAGUAGAUUAUGACUUAGUAGUUAGUAGAUGACUUAGAAUCCAUUCUCUAGCUAAUCCGACAUCACCUACAUAUAUGAGGAGUAGUCUAUUUUCUAAUCGCUGUGCUCUCUAUCCCAUGAACUUAUACUUUAUUAUCAUUAUCUUUAUGGUUUACCCCCUGCUAAAGUAUGUGACUGUGUGACGAGUUUCUUAUUAGUAAUCAUGUUCUUGCAAGUUUAUCUCUAGUCUAUGCCUUGAUAGAUUUUGCCCGUUGAUUUAAUUCCAUCUUCUUAAGAUCCCCUAAGCAAAAUUAUAAAUAACGAUACCUGGAAUACUUAUCCUGGUGAAAUGCUACAAUGAGGUGUUUUAUCUGUGCGCUUGCGGAUAGAAUAUAUUAUUUUCUAGAGAGCCUUUACAUUUAUAAAUAACUUUGUACACUCUGGCGCCAUGCUAGGGAUGACAACCUAGUAUCUAAGUGGUGUUAGCUAGUGUCAACAGGCUCCAACGUCAACAUUAUGCCCAGGGUACUCUAUGAAAAAUUCUUUACAUAUCCUUUAUUAGAAACAACCAUGUGUUUGCAGUUUGCAGAUCAGGCGUUAAGUUUCCCGAAGGGAAUACUGAAGAACAUUUGUGUCCGAGUUGGUACCUUGUACGCCCCAGCAGACUUCGUGGUGAUAGAGACCGGUAAUGAUGAGAGGGCACCCAUCAUCUUAGGGAGGCCAUUCUUAAACACCUCAGGAGCUGUCAUCUAUGCUAGUGCUGCCAAGAUCAGUUUCUACAUCAAAGGGAGGAAGGAGACGUUUUCCUUCAAGAACAAGACUACACAAAUCCCAGAGCAAUCUCGACAUGAACCAAGGAAGAGGACCAACAGGAAGAAUAGGAACAAGCAAGUGUGGACUGAGUCAGCUAAGAUGGUCACUGCAGUUCAUGAAGGCCAAGAUCAUCGAUUUAAGUCACCGUUUCUGACCAAGAAGGACGACCUAUAAAUGCCAAGCAUCUAUUGCUCCAUAAAUGGGUACAACUUCUACAAGACGUUUUGCGACACCGGAUCGGGCGUCAACAUAAUGGCCGCAGUCACCUAUCGGCUCUUGUUCGGAAUCAUGCCGUUAAAACCAACAUACAUUCAGCUCCAGAUGGCAGAUCAGACAUUUCGAGAGGUUAAAGGUAUAGUAACUGAUGUCCCUGUCAAAAUAGACGAUCAUUUUGUCUACACAGACUUUUAGGUUAUUGACAUGGGAGAAGAUGAAUACGAUCCACCCAUCAUCCUUGGAAGACCGUUCCUCAGCACCGUUAAAGCAAUCAUCUACAUUGGAACCGGAGAAGUCCAUAUGCACUUCCCCUCAGAGAAGGUACGCCAUUAUUUUACUGACCCUAACUAUAUCGUUGAAGACUCUAAGCAGGUCAGGACAAGAAGAAGACGAUGCAACCACAACCAGAAGAGGCAAAUCAUCAAGGACAGAUGGGCAGACUAUGAAGGAGAAGUGUGUUGACGGUUCUUAAGUAUCAAUUUUAAUUAUCAAAUAAACAAGAGAAAGGACCAAUAUGCAACCAACACCUAGAAUUAGGGUUUGAUCUGACAGAAUUCCACGAGUUUUGUUGUUUAUCUGUUUCUGUAGGGGGUUAUCCGGAAAUAAGGAAGCAAUGCCCACAUGUCGGGAUUACAUAGAGAUAUCAACGCACCGCGCAAUUUUCUACCAUCUAGAAGACUCCAGAAGCCACGGGAACAGAGCAGAGGCCGAACGGGGCCAGGCACUGGGUGCCCGCCCAGUUGACAUGGCGCCCGCCCCCUCCUGGAGUUGGAUCAGGACUCUUUUCGCGGACGACGCUCCACCGACCUAAAGGAUCAAGGAUAAUCGUCCAAUCAAUGUCGGUUUGAUCCAAUGGCUCACGUUCGCUUGAGGGGACUAUAAAACUAGACCCCCUGGCCCCUGGAGGAGACAAGUUCAUCAUAGAGUUGAGAGGAGCCCUCGAAGGAAUACCUCUCCUCUAAAUAAAAAUUUCUUUUUAGGCUUAGCAACCAAUGUGAGUAGAAAUAGAUCUUCUAGUUUCUACUAGAUCGGAGGAUGCCCGGCCUGUCGGUGUCUACUCCGAGCUUGUACCUGCGGGAUCAAGUUCUCCGAGCCCGAGGCUUGCUCCUAGGAUUCUUCAGUAUUUCGACUUCUAAAUUCUAGUAAGUUUUUAUUUUAUUGUUCUUUUGGUUUAUGAGUUUACUUUAAUCUCUUCGCGUAGAGUUUAGAGUAAUCAUCUCUAGCGUAGAUGUGGUGUUUGGGCUAGGAUACUCAUAGAUAUUCCUUGACUAGCUAGACCGUGGUAGUAGCGAGGAACGUGACAUUUCCGAGUUACCUUUACAGACCAUAUCUCGUUAGCAGGAAGGAUGGGGUUUAUAGGUGCGGGUUGAACAUCCUUUGUGGUUUCUAGAUUCCGUAAGCUUCCCCAAUAGAACAGUAGAUCAUCCUUACCAAGGUUAGAAGGAGAUUACGGUUGUAGUCUUCUCUAUUUAUCACUCACAUCGAGAAACAUUCUUUGUAGCCUAAAGGGUUAGUAGUAAUAUACCGGGUUAGUCAGAUGCACUCUUUCUCCUAGUGGUAAAAAAAUAAAUACGAUACUCUAGAUAACCUCCCGGGUGAAGUGUUCACCGAUAUCCGUGCUCUUGCGGAUCAAUUCCUUAUUGCGUUCCCAAAUAUCAACAAGCAUUUCUGGCGCCGUUGCCGGGGAGAAAGACGGUUUGCUGAGAUAACCUUGAGUCUUACUACUAGCUUGUAUCUAUACUUUUAUCUUUUCUUAUCUUUUACAUUCUUUCUUUAUUUUCUUUACUCUUACCUUAUGGAAAACCAAGAUUCUAAAUCGUUCUAUCAAUUUGUAACACCUUCGAAAACUAACCUUUUACCAUGGGAGUCAUCACAGCCUAUCCAAACUUCCCAGUAUAAGUUAAGUUCUAGGUUGAUUGCCAUGAUUCAAAACCUUUCUUUUUCGGGAAAGGAAGACGAAAACCCUUACCUUCAUAUUAGAGAUUUUGAGCAAACAUGUGAUUGUCUUUGCAUUGAAGGCAUUUCUGAUAAAACUUUACGUUGGAAGCUUUUUCCUUUUUCUUUAAGGGGAGAAGCUAGACAAUGGUACAGUCAGAAGGUAAGUCAACAACGAGGUGAAUGGGGAGUUUUACGAGCCAACUUUUUGUCUAGAUUUUUAUUCCCUCGACCGUAUCGGCGAACUUAGACUCGAAGUCCUAUCUUUUAAACAAAAAGAUAAUAAAACUUUGGGAAAAUCCUAGAAAUGUUUUUCUGAUCUUUUAGAAUCUGGUCCAAACCUUAAUCUUGAAGACCCUGUUCUUUUAUUUCACUUUUUUCGAGGUCUUCAGAAAAAUCAUAAACAAAUGCUACAUACAAUGUCUAGAGGUUCUUUCUUUCGUAUCCCUACUGAUGAAGCUAGAGUGAUAUUAGAUAGAAUCCUAGAAGCUGAGAUAGAUAAUACCCUUCAUGAUGAAACUCACGAAGCCGAAGUAGACACUCUGCCAAAUUCUUCAUCUACUUUAGCUAUCCCAAGUUCUGAGCCACAAAAGGAAGAAAAUCCACCACCGGACUUCAUGCUGGAUAUAGAAUCUGAUCUUUUGCCGAUUUUGGAAACAUUUCAAACUACCAUUCUACUAACAGACCACAAAAUGGCCAUUUUAGCAUUUGUUUGCCAACUGAAUAUCAAUUGAGAGAGCUUAUCUCAGUCAUGAGUAGCGAGUGGUUGGAGGAAUCAGAGCUUUCCUCUGAUGUAAUCCGUUUGGAUACACCCUCUACAACUAUAUGUUGUGCUUAUGAUUCUGAUCAAUUUAAUGCUCUCUAUAAUCCUGUUGUAGGGAUCAACAUCAUGUCUGAAUCUUUUGCACUUAAAUUAUUUAAAAAUCUUGUCUUAACCCCCACAACAAAGGUCAUAAAGGAAUCUUCGGGACGAUUAGUCCCCAGUCUUGGAAUUAUUAAUGUCCUACCUCUUAUGGUAGAAGGCUCCAUGGUUCAUUUGAACUUCUAUAUCUUUCAUACAUGGGACUUUGACCUGUUGAUGGGACAACCUUUUAGAAGACUCCUUUAUGAAGGUCAUACUGGAAAGCUACACAUUUCUUUUGGAAAAACCUUUAAAAUCCCAAUAACAAUUUCACACUCCUUAAACAAUAAGGCCGAGUCAUAUCUUUUGCCUGAUCCUAUGGAGGAGCUUUUAGAUGAAUCAGACUUAGAAGACGAAACUCCUUUCUUCAUAGAAGAAGCUGAACCUUCUGAACCUAAACCCUUAGAUGAGUUUGCAGAAACACCUAGACCUCCCAUAGAGCUUAAAACUUUACCACCUGGUCUUACCUAUGCUUUCCUAAACAAUAUUCCAGAGUUUCCUGUGAUCAUUAGUGAUAAACUCACUCAGGAGCAAACUCUGCGAUUAAUGACCAUUCUUGAAAAACAUCACUCAGUUUUCGGCUACUCACUUCAAGAUCUUACAGGAAUCAGUCCUAUGUUUUGUACUCAUCGUAUUCCAAUAGAUCCUUCUGUUUCACCUUCUCGAGAGCCCCAACGUAGACUUAACAACACUAUGAGAGAGGUAGUUCAAAAGGAAGUCAUAAAGUUGCUGCAUGCAGGGAUUAUAUAUCCUGUGCCGCACAGUGAGUGGGUAAGCCCAGUUCAAGUUGUGCCUAAAAGGGAGGCAUGACUGUUAUUAUGAAUGAAAAGAACGAGCUAAUUCCGCAACGCACCGUCAUAGGAUGGCAGAUGUGCAUAUACUAUAGAAAACUGAACAAAGCCACAAGAAAGGAUCAUUUUCCUUUACCUUUCAUAGAUGAGAUGCUAGAGCGGUUAGCGAACCAUUCGUUCUUCUGUUUCGUAGAUGGAUAUUCGGGGUAUCAUCAGAUCCCAAUCCAUCCUGAUGAUCAAAGCAAAACCACUUUUACAUGCCCAUAUGGAACUUAUGCUUACCGUAGAAUGUCUUUUGGGUUAUGUAAUGCACCAGCUUCUUUUCAAAGAUGCAUGAUGUCCAUAUUUUCUGAUAGGAUUGAAGAGAUUAUGGAAGUUUUCAUGGAUGAUUUCUCUGUUUAUGGGAAAACUUAGACAAGGUUUUGUGAUGUGAAGAAAAGCACUUAGUCCUUAAUUGGGAAAAAUGUCAUUUUAUGGUUAGUGAAGGAAUAGUGCUGGGACACCUAGUGUCUAAAAGAGGUAUUGAGGUAGACAAAGCUAAAAUUGAAGUAAUUGAACAACUACCUCCACCUGUGAAUAUAAAAGGAAUUCGAAGCUUUCUUGGCCAUGCUGGUUUUUAUCGUAGAUUUAUAAAAGAUCUUUCAUUCAUUGCUAGACCACUUACUCUUUUGCUAGCCAAGGAUGCUCCUUUCGAAUUUGAUGAUGCAUGUCUAACAUCUUUCAAUUUAUUAAAGAAUGCACUCAUCUCUGCACCAAUCAUUCAACCCCCUGAUUGGUCGUUGCCUUUUGAAAUUAUGUGUGAUGCUAGUGAUUAUGCUGUGGGGGCAGUAUUGGGACAAACUAAAAAUAAGAAGCAUCAUGCAUUUGCUUAUGCUAGUAAACUUUGACAGGAGCUCAACUUAAUUAUGCAACUGUUGACACUAGCUAACACCACUUAGAUACUAGGUUGUCAUCCCUAGCAUGGCGCCAGAGUGUACAAAGGUAUUUAUAAAUGUAAAGGCUCUCUAGAAAAUAAUCUAUUCUAUCCGCAAGCGCACAGAUAAAACACCUCAUUGUAGCAUUUCACCAGGAUAGGUAUUCCAGGUAUCGUUAUUUAUAAUUUUGCUUGGGGGAUCUUAAGAAGAUGGAAUUAAAUCAAAGGGGCAAAAUCUAUCAAGGCAUAGACUAAAGAUAAACUUGCAAGAACAUGAUUACUAAUGAGAAACUCGUCACACAGUCACUUACUCUAGCAGGGGGUAAACCAUAAAGAUAAUUGAUAAUAAAGUAUAAGUUCAUGGGAUAAAGAGCACAGCGAUUAGAAAAUAGACUACUCCUCAUAUAUGUAGGUGAUGUCGGAUUAGCUAGAGAAUGGAUUCUAAGUCAUCUACUAACUACUAAGUCAUAAUCUACUCUAGUUAUCUACAAGAUCAUAUAUAGCAUAAAAGACUCUUCAUUCAUGUAUAAGGAACAUUGAUAAAGUAAAUCAGAACAUCGCAUGACUUACUCCACAAUACCGGUUCUGCCUGUCCUAUCAACGGAGGGUGGACUAUAUAAGAAUCAAUGAAGCUGUCACUAUCGCGAACUACCACACGACUCGGCCAAUAGGAUACAUUUGCAGAUAAAUAACAUCCAAGCACCACGCUCACAUGGGAUCUAUCACCUAACUCCCUCGCGUCAAGAGCUAAGCGCUUUGCAAACUUAUACAUAAACUCAUUAUCAAUUAGAACUAUAUCAAAUAUAGAACUAGAGCAAACUAAGAACAUAAUAAUUAGAGACAUAAUGCAAUUAGAACAAUAGAAUUAGAGAAAGAUAUGAAUAAUACCAAUCUUUAUUACCGAAGAUCCGAAUCCAGAGCGUAGUGCUCUACUUCUCUAAUUGCUAUCUAAUCAAACCUCUAAACUUGAAGGAUUAGGGAGUAGCUAAUUCUAAUUCUCUGUGGGAGAGAAGCUCUAAACCCUAACUUUGAUGGCUACCUCUGAAUAAUGAUUUCUCCUCCUCUCCUCCAGGGGCCAGGGGGUCUGGUUUUGUAGUCCCCUCAAGUGAAUGUGAGCCAUUGGAUCAAACCGACAUAGAUUGUAUGGUUUAGAUUGAUCCUUUAGGUCGGUGGAGCGUAGUCCCGAAGCAGAGUCCUGAUUGGCUUCCUGGCCAGGGCGGGCGCCCAAGGGGGGUGGGCGGCCGCCCAGCUCCCGAGCCCGAUUCGCGUCCCGUUCACUCCCGUGGCUUCUGGAUCCUUCUAGAUUGAGGAAAAUUGCGCAGCAUGUAAUUAUCUCGUUGUAAACAUGACAUGUGGGCCUUCUCUCCCUAUUUUCUGAUAAACCCCUGCAGAAAUAGAUAAACACCAAAGCUCGUGGAAUUCUGUCAGAUAAAACCCUAAUUCUAGAUGUUUGUUUCAUUUUGAUCCUUUUUCAUGUUUAUUUGAUUAUUAAUUUUAGUACUUAAGGACCGUCAACAAACUCUCCAAGCUUACCCUUUGCUCGUCCCUGAGCAAAUAGCUAAACUCAGACGGAUCAGAAGUUGCUUCGAUGUUUUCUUUCCUGACAGGCACACAUGCUUUUACAUAAAAAUUCUUCCAGAUUAGAGUGAAGUGUUAUGAAGUUUAGUACCUGCACUUAAGUCUUAAGUAAUCGAAAGACAAAAUAGUUAAGUCAAGCACUAUCCCUCGUGUCUAUACUUCACCUUUGUUCUAGAGUUUUUCAUAAGUUUUCAACAUAAAACUCAGAGUUCCUAGCAAUGAUUCUCUCAAGUCUCUCUAUAUGUGGUAUUUGUGGAUCCUUACCAUAAUGUCACUUACCUAUAGCUAAUGAAAUAUUUAAGUGGAGCUCAUAGGAGUGAAAAAUAGCUCAUACAUAUGUUGUCUAAUCGAGCCAUGGAUCCAAAGUAACUCAGCAUAUACUUAAAUCAAGAUGUGCAUGUGUGAUGGAGUAAAUGAUAAUGACGGUGCAAAUGCAUAAGUGAUAACUUACUUCUCAUUGCUCCUCAUAUUGCUAUCUCUCCUCCUCUUUGAUCUUUGCUUUGGGAGAACAUGGGCUAUCUCUUUUUCUCUCUCUCUUUUUUCAGGUGGGUAGUAGAUACCCCUAAUUCUACUGUCGGACACUUGUCCAUUUUUUCCGCUCAAGUGGGCAUCUUUGUACCCCUAAUUCUACUUCGGACACUUGUCCAUUUUUACCUCUCGUCUCACUCUUUUUCUUUCUUUUUCCGAGGUUCCGGGCACUUGCCCCUUUUUAUUUCCUCGUAUAUUUUUGCAUAACCCAUGCCUCUUUUGCAUUGAAUCUUUUUUUAGAGAGAGAGAAUAACAAUAUUCAGGACAGUGAGUGAUAAUAUUUUUUAGCAAUUUUAAUGAUUGAUGAUGAAUGCUGUGGUAGAUGUGUGCAAGUGAAUAUCUUAAUUUAACCACAUGAAAAGCUCCUAAGGGUCGACACAGCUCGAUCAAACUCAAUGUGAAUAUAGUGAAAGAUGUUAUAGCAAGUAUGGCUGUGGUAGGUAGUUUUGUAUGCUAGGAACUCAUCAUGCGAUUUGUAAGUUUUCAAAAUAAAUUUCUAGAACUUAGUGUAGUAGGAACAAGAUAAACAACAGCUCAACUUUAUAUCAUGCCUUUCUCUUACCUAGACUUUAGUUUUAUGCUUUCCAAUGAUAGUAAUUUUAGUUUUAGUAAUUCCUGGAAGAAUUCUAAUAUAAAAUCUAGGUACUUGUAAGUAAGCAAACAGAGCAACUGUUCAUCAUUUCCAUCAUGCAUAUUUUUGGUCUUUUUAUUUUUUUAGAGAUUAAACUUAGCAGAAAAAUAAAGCACACUUAUCUACACACUCUUUUUAUUUUGUUUUCAUGUUUAUAGAAUGCAGUAAAUUAAAGCAAGAAAAUAUUUAUUUGGUUUCCUAGGUUUUUCCUUUUAAAAUACUAAGACAGAAUAGAAUAAAUAAGAAGAGUAAAUAAAAACUUACUUGAUAAGUUAGGGAGGAACUCCCCCAAGCUGGAUGUUGACGUCGGUCUUACCCGAUGUUCCAGAACCGCAUCAUGGUUGUGAUGUUGUCGUUUACUGCAGCAGCAUGGUCCUGGUUCCAUUUUUGUUGCUCUUCCAGGAGUCUUCCAUGUUCUGCUUGCGUGUUCUGGAUGUCGAGGAGGGUGUUGUCGGUACGAGUGAAGAAAGCACCGGCCUCUUGAUAGUAGUCAUUCGUGAAGGCGUAGGAGGCGUCGGAGUAUCAUCCUGCAUCAAAUUGGGGUGGAGGUCUGGAUCCUGAAGCUCCAUAUGGAUCAGUGGAAUACCUGCCCGUAUGAAAAGGCGGGUUUGUCCACUGGUGAUCUUGGCUCUCCGGCCAUGUCUCCUCUGUUGGCUCUUGUGGUUGCGCGUGUCGAGCCCAUGGGUCUCGAAGGACUCGUGGAUUGUAAUCGCAAUAAUGCAGGUGCGCUGCUUCUUCUGGUCCAGGGUCAGCUCCAUACCAAGUGCGUUCUCGGUGAGUGGUUAUCCUUUCAGAUGCCACUCGCUGUGGAGUUCUCUGGUUCACUGGUGUUGCUGCAAUCUCAAUCAAAAAGUUUUGCACAGAGUAGAGGCCAAGGUUCGGGUUAGGUAACCGAAUCUUGCCUUUAUCAUCAUACAGCAUAUACAUUAUAUUCCUCUCUUUCUUUAACAUCCGAGUUUGUCUAAAUGUGUCAUAGCCAUGAUAAAUUCUUAAUUCUUCUAUGAAGUCCAACGAUGAGUUUUCUAGUAAGUGAAGAUUAGUGGCUAGACGAGUGAUAAGUGAAGUACAUCCUACUGGUCCCUGAAGACUAGGUAUACUAAGCCAAUGUGAAACUAAUAAUGUAACAGGUGAAGUAGGUACUUUACUAAUAGCAGCAUAUAAAAGUUGUAAAUCUCCUACUCUUACUUUUCUAAUAUCGUCACGAUAGAAAAGAUUGUACCCAAGCCAUUUGUGGAACAUCCGAAGAGUGGGGUGUUCCAUGUCACUGGUUCGGGCUUGACUGUAAAAAUUAUCUCUAGAUAUUUCUCUCCAAAACUGGUGUCUCUCAAAAUUGGGUAAAUCGGAGUCAAUGUUUAGGAUGCAUCUUGAAGAGAAACCAAGAUGGUCGCUUAGCUCUCUCCAAGACAACAUAAUUUCUUGUUUAAACAUCCGAAAAACAAUUCCCCCCUCAUAGUAUUGUAAGGUGUAAAGAAAUUCGAGGGUGAGAAGACGAGAACCCAGCUCAGUUAUAUUCCAAAAAUUUGUCCAACCCAUCAUCUGAAAAAUUAAGUCAAAUUCAGUGUCCAUACCUGUUUCUCGUAGUAGGAUUGGAUCGAUAGUAGGGGUGUGAAUGAAAUCCUUGUUCUUCAAUUGCUGAUAAACUUCCUUCUCUCUUCGGGUCUUCAGUCCAAGGUCUCCUAUCUUGAGAAGGACCUUAACUUGCUGACCUGAUGAAGAUGAUGGAGCUUGUGUGGGUGUCGGGUCGACGCUCAUCUCUGAUGGCUGUGAGGAGUGUCGGGUUGAACUCCUUGUACCAAUGUUCUUAAGAGCCUUCCCUGCAUUCUUCACCUUCUUAAACAUCCUGCAAACAAAAGUUGGCAAAAACACAAUUGGUGGAAAAUGUGAGAUAAAAUGUUAGUGGUCAGCUGUCCGGAGUGUUAGUAGUCCAGGGGUUAAUCGUUCAAGACAAGUUUCUAUUUUGGUAGAGCCUCCCUCUAAACAACUUUUACUUCCGCUUGGACAGCGGGAUCACUAUUUGCUAGGUGACAAUCACUUUCUCAAAAGAACUCCAACCUUCCCUUCCACUCUCCUCUUUCUCUCUACUCUCUUCUCUUCACUACAAAAGCUCCUUCUCGGGAAACUGAGAUUUGCGUGGUUUUCUGAAGUGUUUGUGUGAAGAGAAUGGAGCUGAAGGUGGCCUUUUAUAGACUGAGCAGGGGACAGGGCGGGCGCCCAAGGUAGGUGGGCGGGCGCCCACCCCUGGUGUCCAUCCUGGGUGUGCUUCCUCCACUUGCUUCCUUGCUUUGAUCUCACGCAGAAUAAUAUUGUGUUGGUAGUGGUUGGACGGUGGAAAGAUGUCAGGUGAGUGGAAAUAUAUUGGUGGAUGAAAUUAUGUGAUGGGAUGUAUGUGAGGUGAAGUGUAUGACAUGUGGGACCCAAAGAGUGUGGGUCAUGCUUCUAGAAGAUUAAUAUAAUAUAAUAUAAUGCAGGAAAAUCUAUGAGAAUUAAAACUUAUUGAAAAUGAUUUUGGAAAAUAUUUUUGUGCCUCCACAAUAAUUAAUAAAUAUGGGUUGUUACACACCAUGAAUAUUAUUUAUAUGGGGAUUUUUGAUUAUUAUAAUUAUGCUAUGAAUGUAUAUGACUAAUGCAAGAAUUAAUUAUGCAAGAAUUUAAAUACGAGAAAAUUAAUGCGGAUAAAUACCGAUUUACCUCCCGGUGAGGGUUUGGGAUUUUUAGGUCCCCCAAGCUGGACCUCCAAAUCUUUUAAUCUUCUGAGUUACCUUCCUCCGGAGAUGGUGUCUCCAGUGGUUCUUCAUGAACUUCCUUUACUGUAGAGUCUUUCUCUGGUCUGGGUUUGAAUGUGAAGUGUUCUUCUUGACCGUUUAUGUUGAACUUGAUUUCUCCUUUUCCGACAUCAAUGUGGGCAUUGGCAGUGCUCAGAAAUGGCCUUCCAAGGAUGAUGGACACUUUUGAGUCAGGACUCAUGUCCAGUACUACGAAGUCUACUGGCACAAGGAAAUCUCUGAUCUUGACUGGAAUGUUCUCGGCGAUGCCCAACGGGUGUCGAACUGAUUGAUCCGCUAGUUGUAGACACAUAGAUGUUGGUUCUAAAGUUGCAUGCUCAAGCUUUUUGUAGACUGAUGCUGGCAUCACACUGACACUUGCUCCGAGAUCACAAAGUGCAUUAUUGAAGUGUUGGUUUCCGAUCGAGCAAUCAAUAGUGGGGCAUCCUGGAUCUUCCUUCUUCUUUGGUGGUUUGUUGAGGAUGGCCGUACUACAUUCUUCUGUCAGCUUGAUAACCUCAGUGGUGGGCAGUGGCCUCUUCUUGUUAAGAAUAUCUCUGAUAAUGCUUUUACUUCUUCUGGUAUUUCUUCAGUUUGAUGACAAUACUGAGCUUUAUCUUGGAACCAGCUUUGGUUUUCUGCUAUCUUAUCCAAAAGUAUCUCUGCUUUUCCAGUUGUAAGCUCCAAGAAUGAUCCUUUAGCAGAUGCAUCUAUGCACUCACGAGCCUUCUGGGUUAAUCCAUGGUAGAAGGUCUGCAUAAGUAACCAUGUGGCCAUUCCAUGGUGAGGACAAUCUGAUAUGUAUCCUUGAAAACGCUCCCAUGCUUCUGAAAUGGCUUCUGUCUUCUGCUGUUGGAAACUGACAAUAUUUCCUCUUAAGGCAGUUGUUUUGCCUAUAGGGAAAAACUUUGAUAGAAAGGCAUCUGACAAGUUCGUCCAGUUGUUGAUGUUAUCUUGAUGAGUGUAGAACCACUUCCUCGCUUUUCCUUCUAGUGAGAAUGGAAAAAGGCGAAGCAGUAUGACGUCUUUGUCAACUCCGUUGAUGUGGAUUGUGCUUCCAAUCUCUAGGAAAUUCUGCAAGUGUGCACUGGCAUCUUCAUGUGCCUUUCCACUGAAUUGUGUAGCUUGUACCAAAUUGAUGAGGCUUGACUUGAGCUCAAACUCGGGUAUUCCUUCUUCUACUGCAAAUCUUGGACCGGUUGGAAUGUUGUCAAGACUUGGAGCAGAGAAUUCUUGCAAGGUCUUGUGUGCCAUAGCUUCAGCAAUUGGUAGCUAGCUUCUUCUUCUCUUGAUUGCUUUGGCUCUGAUGAUGUAGAGUUGAAUGUACCCAAAGUCAAUCCUAUUAUACCCUGUAUAAAAAUAUAAACAUAGAAAAACAACAGGGUGAACCUGCCAAAGCAGCGGUGCCUUGUUAUGAUUUCUCACUUAGUAGCUGUUUUAUGCAAUUAUUUCUCUAUAGUCUAGUCUAAUAUUUUAUAUGAAUAAUCCUUGAUUGAUUUUCUGGCUUUCCUUACCUUUCCUAAAUAUUACUCCUUUGUUCCCUUUUAUGACUUAUUCCCGAGACUCGUAUAAUUAUCCUAUAGGUAUCCUAUAAGUCCUAUAGAUCCUAUAAGUCCUAUAGAUCCCCGGCAACGGCGCCAGAAAUGCUUGUUGACACUAGCUAACACCACUUAGAUACUUGGUUGUCAUCCCUAGCAUGGCGCCAGAGUGUACAAAGGUAUUUAUAAAUGUAAAGGCUCUCUAGAAAAUAAUCUAUUCUAUCCGCAAGCGCACAGAUAAAACACCUCAUUGUAGCAUUUCACCAGGAUAAGUAUUCCAGGUAUCGUUAUUUAUAAUUUUGCUUAGGGGAUCUUAAGAAGAUGGAAUUAAAUCAAAGGGGCAAAAUCUAUCAAGGCAUAGACUAAAGAUAAACUUGCAAGAACAUGAUUACUAAUGAGAAACUCGUCACACAGUCACUUACUCUAGCAGGGGGUAAACCAUAAAGAUAAUUGAUAAUAAAGUAUAAGUUCAUGGGAUAAAGAGCACAGCGAUUAGAAAAUAGACUACUCCUCAUAUAUGUAGGUGAUGUCGGAUUAGCUAGAGAAUGGAUUCUAAGUCAUCUACUAACUACUAAGUCAUAAUCUACUCUAGUUAUCUACAAGAUCAUAUAUAGCAUAAAAGACUCUUCAUUCAUGUAUAAGGAACAUUGAUAAAGUAAAUCAGAACAUCGCAUGACUUACUCCACAAUACCGGUUCUGCCUGUCCUAUCAACGGAGGGUGGACUAUAUAAGAAUCAACGAAGCUGUCACUAUCGCGAACUACCACACGACUCGGCCAAUAGGAUACAUUUGCAGAUAAAUAACAUCUAAGCACCACGCUCACAUGGGAUCUAUCACCUAACUCCCUCGCGUCAAGAGCUAAGCGCUUUGCAAACUUAUACAUAAACUCAUUAUCAAUUAGAACUAUAUCAAAUAUAGAACUAGAGCAAACUAAGAACAUAAUAAUUAGAGACAUAAUGCAAUUAGAACAAUAGAAUUAGAGAAAGAUAUGAAUAAUACCAAUCUUUAUUACCGAAGAACCGAAUCCAGAGCGUAGUGCUCUACUUCUCUAAAUGCUAUCUAAUCAAACCUCUAAACUUGAAGGAUUAGGGAGUAGCUAAUUCUAAUUCUCUGUGGGAGAGAAGCUCUAAACCCUAACUUUGAUGGCUACCUCUGAAUAAUGAUUUCUCCUCCUCUCCUCCAGGGGCCAGGGGUCUGGUUUUAUAGUCCCCUCAAGUGAACGUGAGCCAUUGGAUCAAACCGACAUAGAUUGUAUGGUUUAGAUUGAUCCUUUAGGUCGGUGGAGCGUAGUCCCGAAGCAGAGUCCUGAUUGGCUUCCUGGCCAGGGCGGGCGCCCAAGGGGGGUGGGCGGCCGCCCAGCUCCCGAGCCCGAUUCGCGUCCCGUUCGUUCCCGUGGCUUCUGGAUCCUUCUAGAUUGAGGAAAAUUGCACAGCACGUAAUUAUCUCGUUGUAAACAUGACAUGUGGGCCUUCUCUCCCUAUUUUCUGAUAAACUCCUGCAGAAAUAGAUAAACACCAAAGCUCGUGGAAUUCUGUCAGAUAAAACCCUAAUUCUAGAUGUUUGUUUCAUUUUGAUCCUUUUUCAUGUUUAUUUGAUUAUUAAUUUUAGUACUUAAGGACCGUCAACAGCAACCACUGAAAAAGAGCUUCUAGCUGUUGUCUUUGCCAUUGAUAAAAUUAGAUCUUAUUUAGUUGGAGCUAAAAUAAUUGUUUACACUGAUCAUGCUGCACUAAAAUAUUUGCUCACUAAAAAAGAUGNNNNNNNNNNNNNNNNNNNNNNNNNNNNNNNNNNNNNNNNNNNNNNNNNNNNNNNNNNNNNNNNNNNNNNNNNNNNNNNNNNNNNNNNNNNNNNNNNNNNNNNNNNNNNNNNNNNNNNNNNNNNNNNNNNNNNNNNNNNNNNNNNNNNNNNNNNNNNNNNNNNNNNNNNNNNNNNNNNNNNNNNNNNNNNNNNNNNNNNNNNNNNNNNNNNNNNNNNNNNNNNNNNNNNNNNNNNNNNNNNNNNNNNNNNNNNNNNNNNNNNNNNNNNNNNNNNNNNNNNNNNNNNNNNNNNNNNNNNNNNNNNNNNNNNNNNNNNNNNNNNNNNNNNNNNNNNNNNNNNNNNNNNNNNNNNNNNNNNNNNNNNNNNNNNNNNNNNNNNNNNNNNNNNNNNNNNNNNNNNNNNNNNNNNNNNNNNNNNNNNNNNNNNNNNNNNNNNNNNNNNNNNNNNNNNNNNNNNNNNNNNNNNNNNNNNNNNNNNNNNNNNNNNNNNNNNNNNNNNNNNNNNNNNNNNNNNNNNNNNNNNNNNNNNNNNNNNNNNNNNNNNNNNNNNNNNNNNNNNNNNNNNNNNNNNNNNNNNNNNNNNNNNNNNNNNNNNNNNNNNNNNNNNNNNNNNNNNNNNNNNNNNNNNNNNNNNNNNNNNNNNNNNNNNNNNNNNNNNNNNNNNNNNNNNNNNNNNNNNNNNNNNNNNNNNNNNNNNNNNNNNNNNNNNNNNNNNNNNNNNNNNNNNNNNNNNNNNNNNNNNNNNNNNNNNNNNNNNNNNNNNNNNNNNNNNNNNNNNNNNNNNNNNNNNNNNNNNNNNNNNNNNNNNNNNNNNNNNNNNNNNNNNNNNNNNNNNNNNNNNNNNNNNNNNNNNNNNNNNNNNNNNNNNNNNNNNNNNNNNNNNNNNNNNNNNNNNNNNNNNNNNNNNNNNNNNNNNNNNNNNNNNNNNNNNNNNNNNNNNNNNNNNNNNNNNNNNNNNNNNNNNNNNNNNNNNNNNNNNNNNNNNNNNNNNNNNNNNNNNNNNNNNNNNNNNNNNNNNNNNNNNNNNNNNNNNNNNNNNNNNNNNNNNNNNNNNNNNNNNNNNNNNNNNNNNNNNNNNNNNNNNNNNNNNNNNNNNNNNNNNNNNNNNNNNNNNNNNNNNNNNNNNNNNNNNNNNNNNNNNNNNNNNNNNNNNNNNNNNNNNNNNNNNNNNNNNNNNNNNNNNNNNNNNNNNNNNNNNNNNNNNNNNNNNNNNNNNNNNNNNNNNNNNNNNNNNNNNNNNNNNNNNNNNNNNNNNNNNNNNNNNNNNNNNNNNNNNNNNNNNNNNNNNNNNNNNNNNNNNNNNNNNNNNNNNNNNNNNNNNNNNNNNNNNNNNNNNNNNNNNNNNNNNNNNNNNNNNNNNNNNNNNNNNNNNNNNNNNNNNNNNNNNNNNNNNNNNNNNNNNNNNNNNNNNNACAGCUAGAAGCCAUGCCAUUACGCCAACGCAGCUCUGCCCAAUCCUAUCAUGCUCAACCAGUUCUCACGGCACCGCCACAACCCCUACUCCUCAAGGGAUCAUCAUCCAAGACGAAGACCACUAUCAAGGUGCCAGCCGGCACGAGGAUCCUUCCACCUAGACCCAAUGAGAGGGUCGUUGGAGUCAAGACCAACCGGAGCGGCGGGAUCAGCAACAUUCGCUACACUACGGAGGAGGAAAGGCCUUACUUCGAAUGGAUUAGAGCAGCCAAAGUCCGUUUCAUCCCUCCAAAGGCAGCCCCGAAGUACGCUCUCAAUACUUUUGAGACACCUCCUAAAGCAUCGCAAGACUAUAGUAGAUAUUCAUGAGGACGUUCGCAUGCUAGACAGAGUUAUCAUAGACCUCCAGUCCUCAGUUAAUUCCAUCACUAGGCAGCUCUCUAACCACAACACCAUUAUACUAGGCCUUAGGCAGGAUCUUGCCAGUGCCAAUAAGAAGAUCAAGGAAUUAGAGUGCCGCUAAGUUAUCUAGAUUAGAUCUUGAGGCAAUGCAUCAUAGUUAUCUAUCUUUAAAUUCGGUUUAGGUUUACUAUUAUCAUUAGUUUGCUACUAUUAUCGUCAGUUUGCUACUAGUCAUUUGUAAUAAAUGCCUCAAGAUUAAUAAAGAGUAUUAUUAUUAUUAUUAUUAUUAUUAUUAUUAUUAUUAUUAUUAUUAUUAUUAUGUUUUUGUGUGUCUCUAUUUUAUUUUUGUGCAAGAAAGCAGAAAACAAGUAUGGGGGAGAUCCCUCGACAUGCCAAACACACUUUGACUACACCACUCCAUGAUUCUGGUACACACUCUGCACACUUAUUUUACACAUACUCAUAUAUAUCUUAGAUUAUGCAGAAUACUGUUUCCAACAUGAUAAAUUAAAAAGAUUAAAAUGUUCCUAAUCAUGAUUAAUCUCACUCUGUAACAUUUCCUGAAAACCUGCAAUUAUUGAAAAAAAUCAUUUUAAAACCCUGUGUUACUUAAGUCAAUAUGGAAUGUGAGAUGGUAGAGUAUGAGUUUCUCAUUCUUGAUAUCAUUGUUGGUUGGAGAAAUUAUUCAAAAAUUCUAGCUACCAUCCUCAGUGUUCUAUAUGCCUACUAAAACUGAAAAUUAAUUAUGAUAUAAAAGCUAUCUACUCUGUAUUGAGUUUGUUCAAAAUGAGUUAGACCCUUGUUGAGAGAUUUAUCAUGCUCCUAAGAUCAAGAUAUUUAUUCAGAAAGAUUCACUCUUCCGAAGUAUUAUUGCAUUAGAGGCAUGGGCUAUGCAAAAAUAAAGAUAUUUCGAGGAAAUAAAAAGGAGCAAGUGCUCGAUAACCUCGCAGAAAGAAUGGACAAGUGUCCGGCAGUAGAAUUAGGGGUACCUCGGUAUCCACUUAAAAAAAGAGAGAAAAAAAAGAAGAAGAAGAAAAUGAUAGCCCAUGGUCCCUCUAAUAAGCAAUAUGCCAGCAAGAGUUGACAAAGAUUUUAAUUUCUAAAGUCUUUGAUCUAAGAGUAUGACAUUCUUCUCCUCGGAUCCCAUUUUGAUCAGGCAAUAAAUACAAGGUAAGUAUACUUGAGAUUUUUUGCAAAUUAAAACAGCCUCAGUGAGAUAUAUAAAAGAUAAUGAGUGAUCUGAGAGAACCUAUGAGGAUAAAAGGUAUCCUAACUUUCUUUCAAAAAUAUACAAAAACUCCAAGUAACAGGAUUGAGAAGAAAGGAUCUUUACUCUUAACCAUAUAUUUCCCUGACUACAGUAUACAGUGGAUUUUUACAAUACCCUGCUGGUAUGAAGAGAAUGCUUUACAAUGUUUUACCCCAGAUAUCUUUCUUAACCAUCCUUUUCUCGAGGACGAGUAAAAGCCUAAGUAUGGGGGUAUUUGUUGACGGUUCUUAAGUAUCAAUUUUAAUUAUCAAAUAAACAAGAGAAAGGACCAAUAUGCAACCAACACCUAGAAUUAGGGUUUGAUCUGACAGAAUUCCACGAGUUUUGUUGUUUAUCUGUUUCUACAGGGGGUUAUCAGGAAAUAAGGAAGAAAGGCCCACAUGUCGGGAUUACAUAGAGAUAUCAACGCAUCGCGUAAUUUUCUAUCAUCUAGAAGACUCCAGACGCCAUGGGAACAAAGCGGAGGCCAAACGGGGCCAGGCACUGGGCGCCCGCCCAGUGGACCUGGGCGGCUGCCCCCUCCUGGAGUUGGAUCAGGACUCUUUUCGCGGAUGACGCUCCACCGACCUAAAGGAUCAAGGAUAACCAUCCAAUCAAUGUCGGUUUGAUCCAAUGGCUCACGUUCACUUGAGGGGACUAUAAAACCAGACCCCCUGGCCCCAGGAGGAGACAAGUUCAUCAUAGAGUUGAGAGGAGCACUCAAAGGAAGACCUCUCCUCUGAAUAAAAAUUUCUUUUUAGGCUUAGCAACCAAUGUGAGUAGAAAUAGAUCUUCUAGUUUCUACUAGAUUGAGAGAGAUAGAGUGGAGGUCUACAUCAGAGGAAGCCUAGCCUGUCAGUGUCUACUCUGAGCUUGUACCUGCGGGAUCAAGUUCUCCUAACCCGAGGCUUGCUCCUAGGAUUCUUCAGUAUUUCGACUUCUAAAUUCUAGUAAGUUCUUGUUUUAUUGUUCUUUUGGUUUAUGAGUUUACUUUAAUAUCUUCGCAUAGAGUUUAGAGUAAUCAUCUCUUGCGUAGACGUGGUGUUUGGGCUAGGAUACUCAUAGAUAUUCCCUGACUAGCUAGACCGUGGUAGUAGCGAGGAACGUGACAUUUCUGAGUUACCUUUGCAGACCAUAUCUCGUUAGCAGGAAGGAUAGGGUUUAUAGGUGCGGGUUCAACAUCCUUUGUGGUGUCUAGAUUCCGUAAGCUUCCCCAAUAGAACAGUAGAUCAUUCUUACCAAGGUUAGAAGGAGAUUACGGUUGUAGUCUUCUCUAUUUAUCACUCACAUCGAGAAACAUUCUUUGUAGCCUAAACGGUUAUUAGUAAUAGACCGGGUUAGUCAGAAGCACUCUUUCUCCUAGUGGUAAAACAAUAAAUAUGAUACUCUGGAUAACCUCCCGGGUGAAGUGCUCACCGAUAUCCGUGCGCUUGCCGAUCAAUUCCUUAUUGCGUUCCCAAAUAUCAACAAUGUGAUAAGUUGUGAAGACAUACAGCUUGAACAAGAUUAUCCUGAGGAGACCGUAGCACUGAGUCAGGUGUGGAGAGAGAAGAUAACUAUACAUGAUGAAGAGGCGCUGCCGGAAGCACCGACUACGCCACCCAAUGAAUCCCACGACGACUAGGAAACGGAGAGUCCCGUUCGGAGGACUUAAAAACACCGAACGCCUUGCCAAAAGGUAAACUUGGUAGUUAUCCUUUCCCUUUCAAUUAUUUAAAAUAGUUUGCUUAGUUAAUCAGGUUCAUAUCUUCUUGAAAAGAAAAUAAAAAUGUUAAAAAACAGUAAGCCCCAUGUGAGUAUACGAGUGGCAUAAAACCCAUAAGUACAAUCACUGUUGUGGCAUAAAAAUAAAAUAAAUAUUUAUUUUCUACUUUGUAAAAUGAAAAUAUAAAAAUAGGGAGUAAUGUUUAUUGAGGAGGCUCAACAUGAUAAAGGCUAAAUAUUUAUGCUAACACCUAAUCAGUUCCAUAGAGCUUUGUUGUCUAUUUGAGCUCCACAUAAUUUAAGAAUUAAGAAGACUAGCAGACGGAGGACAUUCUAAUCGCUGUCAGGAUACUGCCGACUUUCAAAUACACCUCAGCCACCUGCUUGCUACAUCAGAAGAAAUUACAUCAAAAUUCAGCUUGGGGGAGAGCACCCCCAUUUAUCCCACUAAGUAUUUCUAUCUAUCUUUAUACUUAUACUAUAUUAAAAUAUAAAUAUACAUAGACAUGAAAAACCAAAUAAAGAUUUUGUGCUUAUAUACAUAUAUUUAUAUAUAUCUAAAUAAAGUUGCUAUGCUAAACUAAAUCUUAAUAAUAAAACUCUAGCAUGGAUAUGAUGAAUAGUUGCUCUGCCUAAUUUUUAAAAUUUGAAGUUCUCUCUCAAAUUUAGACAUAACUGGUGUAAUUUAAAGCUUGCUCUAAACCUAAACUUGUGGGAAGAAAACUUGAUCUGAAGUCUAGGUUGUUAACGGAUAUGAUAUGGGAAGGUUGAGCUGCUGUUUAUCUGUUCCUAGAGAUGCUAGAAUUCUAGAGAAUUUUAUCUUUGAAAAUCUUUAAAAUAUUGCAUGAUGAGUUCCUGUAUGAUGAGAGUUUAAAUUUCUACCACAACCAUAUAUACAUGCUUGCUAGAUUUUGAGCUACACAUUUACUUUUUACUACUUAUGAGUGUGGUCAAGCUGUGUAGACCCUUAGGAGCUUGUCAUGUGGUUAAAUCGAGAUUCACUUGCACGUUCAUUCACACAUGCUGCUUAUACUCCGUAAGUACGCAUCCACAUAUAUCCACCCAUUUCCAUCUCCAGAACCACCCAAAAAUAUUCUACUCCUAAUCCGGGAGAGAAUGGCCAAAAACAUUUCUGUUUUCCCCUAUGAAAUAAAUGCUCAACUUAUCUUGGUUACUACCACUUGCUAUAUUAUGAGUGCUCUAAAAAAUAGAUAUGAGAAAAUAAAAAGGGACAAGUGCCCGGAACCUCAGAAGAAAAAAAAAGUAAGACGAGAGGUAAAAAUGGACAAGUGUCCGACAGUAGAAUUAGGGAUACAAAAUACCCACCUGAGAGAAAAGAAAAAGAAGAGCAUCUCAUUCUCCUCACAAAGUUUCAAAAGCAAGGAAGGUAUGUACACCCUCAAAGAGCAAAAGAAGAAUUAGACUUUCACCAUUGUUAUCACCAUCAUCACCAUACGCCAUUCAUUCGCCACACAUGCACAUCUUGAUUUGACUUAUUGAUUUGUUUCUUUGGAUCCAUGGUUUGACUAUACAAUAAAUGUCUUGUGAGUAUGUAUACUUUAUCUCCCACCUAUGAGCUCUAGAUAUCAAAAGCCUUAUUAGAGUAGGGUGAGAGAAAAGGCAAUGUCACUAUGCCUUAUACCACAAAUGCUACAUAUUUUGAGAAAAGCAUAUACCAUCACUACCUUGGUAAGGAUCCAGAAAUACCACAAAAGAGAGAUAUGAGAGAGUCAUACAAGGAAUCUCUGAGUUUUAUUUAAAAAUCUACAAAAACUCCAGAGCUAUAGCUGAUCAAGAAUAAGAGACAUGGCACUUGACUAGACUGUUCUAUCUUUUAACUACUCAAGACAGAAGUGACGGUUACAAGUCCCAUGGUGAAAGGUAAAAUGAAUAAGUUUUAAGUCUUGACAGUUUACUCUAACUCAGAGAUGAGAUCUUAUUUAAAAGCAUGUGUACCGUCAACUUUUAAAGGCAUUACAACAAAUUCUGAUCCAUCGCUGAGAUUAUCCUUGCUCAGGGACGAGCAAGAGGUAAGCUUGGGGGAGUUUGUUGACGGUCCUUAAGUAUCAAAUUUAAUUAUCAAACAAAUAAAGAAAAGGAUCCAAAUGCAAUCAACAUCCAGACUUAGGGUUUUAUCUGACAGAAUUCCAUGAGUUUUGGUGUUUGUCUAUUUCUGUAGGGGGUUAUCAGGAAAUACGGAAGAAAGGCCCACACGUCGGCAUUACAUAGAGAUAUUAACGUGCCGGGCAAUUAUCUUACAUCUAGAAGAGUCUAGAAGCCACGGGAACGAACGGGAAGGCGAUCGGGCCCGGGGGCAGGGCGCCCGCCCUCCCCCCUAGGGCGCCCGCCCUGACCUAGAGUCCAAUCAGGACUCGUUUCGAGGAUUAUGCUCCACCGACCUAAAGGAUCAAGGAUAACCGUUCAAUCAAUGUCGGUUUGAUCCGACGGCCCAUAUUCACUUGGAAGGACUAUAAAACUAGACCCCUGGCCCCUGGAGGAGAGCACCUCUCAACCCUAAUUCAUUAUUGAUCAGGGUGAAGAAGCCUCUGAUCAAGCCCUAGAGCCACCACAUCAAUUAGAUAUCUAGAUUAGCAUAGCUACAUAGGAUUAGAACUAGAAGGAGUCAAUCUUCGAUUGGUUUCCGGAUCUGUCAAGAGGAUUAUUGGUAAUUCUCUAUUGUUCUUCAAUUGUUCAUCUUUGUUCUUCGAUAUUAUGAAUAUGACUUUGUUCUACUUCAAUAUAUUGAUUAUGACUUUGCACUACCUGUUUAUAUUCGCAAUUAUAUUGUUCUUAGUUUAUCAUAGUUAUAUACUUGGCUUAGUUAGAUUGGAAUUAUAUACAUGUUUAGGAUCGUAUAGUGUUUAUCCAUCGGAUCCAUGGGUAAAUGAUAGAUAUUGUGUAGGCGUGGUGCUUAUACCGUAUUUAUCUGUGAUUGUACCCUAUAUGCCAGAUCGCACGGUAGUUCGUGGUUGUGACAGCUCCAUUGAUUCUUAUAUAGUCCCCCUCUCGUGUAUUGGGCUGGCAGAGCAAUAUUAUUACAGAGGAGUGAUUGCGAUGUUUCUCAUAUUCCUUGCUAAUAUCACUAUGCAUGGGCGUAGUCCUGUCUCACAAUGAUUGCUAAGUAUAACUGCACUAACUAUGAUAUGCUAGACUGUAUAGUUAAGAAUAACUUAGGAAAUAUUCUUGUAGUUCAUCCUAAUUCCAUGCUAAUGACUUGCUAGAAUAUCUAAUUGAGGUGCUUAUCAUAUUUAUAUGUGGCUAAGUUAUGCUAAUCACAUUAAUUAUCUUUGUCACUAUUCAUUACUUUAUAUAUCUUUUAUGUGACACUUGUCCCUGUAUGAAAGAGAUAGAUAAUUGUUCUCAAUUAUACAUGCAAUGAUAGAUACUCAAUCUUAGAUUCUAUUCUAUAAUCAACAUUGAUGAUUACUAAUCCCUUCCCAGUGGUAAAAAUAUAAAUAACGAUACCUAGAAUACUUCCCGGUUAAAAUGCUACAUCGGUAUUAAUCUGUGCGCUUGCAGAUCCCAUUUUGUUAUUUAUUUAGAUGAGCAAUUGCAUAUUUCCAUACCGUGUCUCUUAUGUCAUGCUGGGGAUGACAACUUGGCUUAAGUGGCAUGAGGGAUAGGUUUGGCAUUUUUGGCGCCGUUAUCAGAAUUAGAAAGCUAAGUCUACUUUGGUAGUGACGUUAAGAAUGCAAAACAGUGUGCAUGCUAAGUUUGUUGGUACACCAAUUGUGGGUCCAAAGAAGAAGGCCAUUUGGGUACCAAAAAGCUUAGUCACUAACCUCCAAGGACCCAAACAAGUAUGGGUACCUAAGAAACAUUGAUUUGUUUUGUAAGUAAACUAUAAAUUUGGAGGAAGGCAUUGGGUGCUUGAUAGUGGGUGCACACAACACAUGACCGGUGAUGCAAGAAUGUUCAAUUCAAUCAAUCCAACUGAUGAAAAUGGUGUUGAUAGUAUCACAUUUGGUGAAAAUGGCAAAGGCAAGGUCAAAGGGCUUGGUAAAAUUGCUAUUUCCAAUGACUUGAGCAUUUCCAAUGUGCUACUAGUAGAGAGCUUGAACUUCAACUUACUAUCCGUAGCUCAACUUUGUGAUCUUGGUUUCAAAUGCAUAUUUGGAGUUGAUGAUGUAGAGAUCAUAAGUGUAGAUGGCUCUAACUUAAUAUUCAAAGGUUUUAGAUAUAAGAAUCUAUACUGUUGAUUUCAAUGCUAGUGAAGCUCAAUUAUCAACAUGCUUACUCACUAAAUCUAGCAUGGGUUAGUUAUGGCAUAGAAGUCUUGGUCAUGUUGGAAUGAAACAAUUGAACAAGUUAGUCAAGCAUGUUUUUGUUAGAUGCUUGAAAGAUGUCACAUUUGAGAAAGACAAGCUUUGUAGUGCAUGUCAAGCUAGAAAACAAGUUGGCAACACCCAUCCAAAGAAAAGUAUCAUGAGUACAUGCAAUGCAUUUGAGUUGUUGCACAUGGAUUUAUUUGGACCAACCACAUACACAACCAUUGGUGGAAACAAUUAUGGAUUUGUGAUAGUGGAUGAUUUCACAAGAUACACAUGGGUAUUCUUUCUUAGUGACAAGAGUGAUGCUUUUGCAACCUUCCAAACAUUUGUAAAGAUAAUACACAAUGAGUUUGAAACAACCACCAAUAAAGUGAGAAGUGACAAUGGAAGUGAAUUCAAGAAUACAAAGUUGAUGAGCUUUAUAAUGAAUUUGGUAUUAGGCAUCAAUUCUCGGCCAAGUACACUCCACAAUCAAAUGGUCUUGUUGAGAGGAAGAAUAGAACCUUGAUUGACAUGGCAAGAUCAAUGUUGAGUGAAUACAAUGUGAGUCAUUCUUUUUGGUCUAAAGCAAUCAACACGGCUAGCUACUAUAGCAACCGACUCUAUUGUCACCCAAUGAUGGAAAAGACACCAUAUGAGCUCUUGAAUGGUAGAAAGCCCAAUAUUGCAUACUUUUGGGUUUUUGGUUGCAAAUGCUACAUAUUGAAGAAAGGCACUAGAUUGAGAAAAUUUGAAAAGAAAUGUGAUGAAGGCUUCUUGCUUGGUUACUCCACUGCUAGCAAAGCUUAUAGAGUUUGGAAUUUGGCUAGUGGUACACUUGUGGAGGUGCAUGAUGUUGAGUUUGAUGAAACAAAUGGCUCUCAAGAGGAAACUGAGAAUCUAUAUGAUGUGAGAGGCACUCAAUUGGCCGAUGCAAUGAAGAAUAUGGACAUUGGUGAUUUAAGGCCUAGAUAGGUGAUUGAUGUUGAAGAUAACAAAGAUCAAGUGCUUCCUUCCUCUAAUGUGCAAGCUAGUGGUUCUCAUGAUCAAAAUCAAGCUAGUACAAGUGGUACACAAGUGCAAGAUCAACAAGCUAGUACAUCAUCUCAUGAUCAACCAAGUUCAAGCAAUCAAGUGCAAAUACUCCAACCAACAAACAUUGUAAGAGAUCAUCCAUUGGAUCAUAUCAUUGGUGAUAUUCAAAGAGGAGUGUAAACUAGAUCAAGAUUAGCAUCAUUUUGUGAGCAUUUCUCCUUUGUGUCUCACAUUGAGACAAAGAAGAUUGAUGAAGGAUUCAGAGAUGUUGAUUGGGUCAAUGCUAUGCAUGAACUUAACAACUUCAUGUGAAAUCAAGUAUGGGAAUUAGUUGAGAGGCCUAGUGAUCAAAAUGUCAUUGGUACUAGAUGGGUCUUUUGCAACAAACAAGAUCAUGAUGGGCUAGUUGUAAGGAACAAAGCAAGAUUGGUAGCACAAUGCUAUACUCAAGUUGAAGGUCUUGACUUUGGUGAAACAUAUGCCCCGGUUACAAUAUUGGAAGCAAUUAGGAUCUUGUUGGCCUAUGCUUGUGCACAUAAUAUCAAGUUAUAUCAAAUGGAUGUGAAAACUGCAUUUCUCAAUGGCUAUAUCAACCAUGUUUAUAAGCUAAGAAAGGCAUUGUAUGGUUUGAAGCAAACACCAAUAGCAUGGUAUGAGAGAUUGAGAGAUUUCUUACUCUCUAAAGGUUCCAAGAUGGGCAAGGUUUACACCACUCUCUUCACCAAGAAGAUUGGUAAAGACUUGUUUGUGUUGCAAAUAUAUGUUGAUGAUAUCAUAUUUGGAUCAACCAACCAAGAAUUUUGUGAGGAGUUUGGCAACAUGAUGGCUAAUGAGUUUGAGAUGUCAAUGAUUGGAGAACUUAGUUACUUCCUUGAUCUUGAAAUCAAGCAAUUGAAUAAUGGCACAUUUGUGAGUCAAGGCAAGUACAUAAAAGACAUGCUCAAGAAGUUUGGAAUGGAUGAUGCAAAGGUAAUUAGCACUCCAAUGGGAACAAAUGGAAGCCUAUAUAGUGAUACAAGUGGAGAUAUGGUGGAUCAAAAGUUGUAUCAGUCUAUGAUUGGAAGCGUACUCUAUGUGACCGCAUCAAGAACAGUCGUCAUGUUUAGUGUAUGCAUGUGUGCAAGAUUCUAACCCUCACCAAGAGAAAGCCAUUUGAAAGCAACAAAGAGAAUAUUGAGGUACUUGAAGCAUACACAAAAUGUUGGUUUGUGGUAUCCCAAAGGUGCAAAGUUUGAACUUGUUGGAUAUUCCGAUUCGGACUAUGCGGGAUGCAAAGUUGACAGAAGAAGCACAUCAGGCACAUGUCAACUAUUGGGAAGAUCACUUGUCUCAUGGUCAUCCAGGAAGAAAAAUAGUGUUGCACUAUCAACCGCCAAAGCGGAGUACAUUGCAGCCGAUAGUUGUUGUGCACAAAUCCUAUGGAUGAAGGCAACAUUGAAGGACUUCGGAAUCAACUUCAAGCAAGUGCCAUUGCUAUGUGACAAUGAAAGUGUCGUUAAACUCACCAACAAUCUGGUUCAACACCCAAGAACAAAGCACAUAGAUGUUCGCCAUCACUUCAUAAGAGAUCACCGACAAAAAGAGGACAUUUGCAUUGAAAGCAUAGGCACCGAUGAUCAACUUGCCGAUAUAUUCACCAAGCCACUUGACGAGAAGAGGUUUUACAAGCUAAGAAAUGAAUUGAACAUACUUGAAUUCUCAAAUAUGUGUUGAUGCACCCCCAUUAUAUGACAUGCCUCUCCUUUGAGCAAAGCAAUGUAAAUUUAUUUGACAUGUCAUCCAUCCUAUGCUAAGGACUUGUUUAGCGCAUCCAGUCAUUUCUUACAUAUCCUAGGAUCAUUCAUGAAGAUCAAAUGAAUUUGAUGCUUGUAUGGUACCUCUAUUGCUUCUAUGCUUGACUUGAUCUGUGGUAACAUAUGAUAUGUUUGUGGGCUUGGAAUCCUAGUGUUUGAUCUAGAAUAUGAGCUAUAAGUGUUUAACUCAACAUGGUACAAGAUAACCCUUAUUUGGAGGUGUGAAGAAGCUUGUCCUUGGAUCAAACUGAGUUAAAUAUCUUAGGCAAGUAAUCUAGAUUGAACUAAUUUGGGAAAAUGAUCUCACUUUACAUGGUUUCACACUAACCUAUCUAAAAUUUGAGCUCACCAUUUGUGGUCAUUGAUGACAAAGGGGGAGAAAUUACAAAAGAAAUACAAAGAUAGUGGAGUAACAUAAUAAAAGAAGGGGAUCAAUUCAAUAAUUUUUUUGAAGAACACAAAUAGGGGGAGCAAGCUCAUAAAUUUGUUUGUUGCAUUUGAAUGUGCAUCACAUAUGUUUGCUUGCAUUAGCAUUAGCUUUAGAAGCUUUCUCUCUGAUACCCUACUUGUGUGGUGUAUGCUAGUUAUAGGUUUGAUUGAUGAAAUGAAGAACUAGCAUGCAUAGGUAGUGUAACUAGACUAUUAUUUGCUUCACAAGUGGUACUAGAACAUUGUUUAUAAUGUUGAUCUCAUGGGGUGUUCUAGUUUUGUGAAUGUCUAGUUACCAAUGGUGCUAAGGAUGGUGUACAUUGGCAACUCCGAUUGGUAUCACGCUUCAAAGGUCCAUUCUUUACACCUUAGCAUCAUUUUGUAGAAAUUGACUCCUACAUUUCCUAUUCAAGCAUAUGUGCAAGCUUUCAUAUAAAAACUCUUAGCACAUAUGUAGGGGGAGCAAUUUCUACCAAUUUGGGUUUAUGAAACUUGUCCAUAACCUUUGCACAUGGUAAAAUGCUUGGGCAAUCAACAUGAAUCCAAGAAAAAUUUAUUGGAAAUAUUUGUAAAAAGGGUUGUCAUCAAUUACCAAAAAGGGGGAGAUUGAAAGCCCUAGUUUGGUUUUGGAUAAUUGAUGAAACCCUAGUACUAACAUCUAUGCUAAGUGUGUGUAGACUUAAUGAGGUUGGUACAUGCCAAGUAAUGGAGCAGGAGAUGAUCAUGGUGAGGAUGGGGAUGACCACAAGAUGAUCAAGUGCUCAACUUGGAAAAGAAGAAAGAGAAAAACAAAACCCUAUGGAGAUCAAGGCAAAGGUAUUGCUUAGGGUUUUGGUUUUGGUGAUCAAGACAUCAUAGAGGGUGUGAUCACAUUUAGGAUAGAUAGUUGUACUAUAAAGAGGGGAAUUCUUUGGCUAAGCGGUUAUCAAGUGCCACUAGGUGUCAUUGUUCAUGUGCAUGCUUUUACCUACAGAGCUAACUUAACUCCUUCAAAGAAAAUGAUUGUGAAAAUGCUAACACACGUGCACUUGUUGGCACACACUUGGUGGUGUUAGCACGCUUUGAGAAGGAGGUGGAGGUUGAAGGAUAGAGAGGAGUUGGGUUCCUCUCUCCCUCCCAUCGAGCUUGCGAAAAUGAAGUGCAUAUUUGAGAAAAUGAAGUGCAUAUUUUCUAUUGCGCCGAUGGGAAAUUUGCAGAAGUCGUGGGAGUGUUUCUUGCUGAGAAACACUCAUCGCACGCUGGCCCAGAGGCAACGGAUGCAGUGCUUGCGUGUUCGGUGUGCUGUCUACUUCAAGGUUGUUAGGGUUAGGCACCGAACGCUGAGCAUCAGACGCAGGUCAAACCCUGUUGGCGUGUCCGGUGCUGCCUGACUUCUGUGGGAGUCUCUGACUGAGAGCACCAGAUGCUCAGGGUGCGUCCGGUGGUGCACGUCCAGUGUUCACGCUUUUUGCACUGCUCUCUGGGUAAGGGACCGGACGCUCAGGAGCACGUCCGGUGUGUGGGUUCGAUGACCCAGCGUGUUUGCAGACCUCUCUGCGCACGAGACCCGUGUUCACCAGACGCGUCCGGUGCUCACUUGACUGCGUCCGAUGGUCUGCAGGUUACCAUUAGACUUCGACGCGUGAGAUGCAAAGAGCUGACACAUGGCUGUUUCGGGAGCACCAGACGCUCUGUUCCAGCGUCCGGUGCCUCACCUGCAGCGAAUCCGGUGACCACGAUUUUAGCCUAGUGAAAGAGCCAAUGACUCUAUUUGUUUGAAUGGCUUAUAAAUACAUGUUGGCCAGCUUGGGGCUCACUCUCUUGGCAUUCUAGCAUACUUGACAUCCUUGUGAGCCUAAGCAAACACCUCCCACUCAUCUCCUUCAUAGAUUAAACAUCUUUGUGAGAUUGGGAGUGAUUCCAAGUGCAUUUGCUGGAGUGAUUGCAUCUAGUGGCACUUGGGGAUCGAUUUAGCUGCGGUUUUCUUGUUACUCUUGGUGGUUGCCGCCACCUAGACGGCUUGGAGUAGUGGAGGAGCUUUGGCACGAGUUGAUGAUUGUUCGUGGCCAUCUCCUGGUGAUUGUGAGGGGUUUGUGCCUACCUCGGCGGAGAGCCAAAGGCAACAUUAGUGGAUUGCUCGUGUCAUUGAGUUACCUCACUUGUGGGUAGGUUCUUGUGGUGUCCUAGUGAGGACGAGGUUCGUAUUACCUCUUAGCCACUGAACCACCAAGUGUUAGUCAACACAACGGGGACGUAGCGUGCCGGCAAGCACGUGAACCUCGGGAGAAAAUCGUGUGUCUCCAUUGUGAUUGUUCUUUGGAUCUCUCCCGGUGAUUGGACUUCAUAUUAUUGUGAUUGGUUCAUCCCCUACACGGCGGUAUAAAUAUCUCUUCCUCUCCAUUUACUUACCGCAAAGUGAUGAUAUUUGUGAACACAAUAAGGAAUUGAUCUGCAAGCGCACGGAUAUCGGUGAGCACUUCACCCGGGAGGUUAUCCAAAGUAUCGUAUUUAUUUUUUUACCACUAGGAGAAAGAGUGUAUCUGACUAACCUGGUCUAUUACUACUAACCUUUAGGCUACAAAGAAUGUUUCUCGAUGUGAGUGAUAAAUAGAGAAGACUACAACCGUGAUCUCCUUCUAACCUUGGUAAGGAUGAUCUACUGUUCUAUUGGGGAGGCUAACGGAAUCUAGACACCACAGAGGAUAUUCAACCCGCACCUAUAAACACUAUCCUUCCUACUAAUGAGAUAUGGUCUGCAAAGGUAACUCGGAAAUGUCACGUUCCUCGCUACUACCACGGUCUAGCUAGUUAGGGAAUAUCUAUGAGUAUCCUAGCCCAAACAGCACGUCUACGCUAGAGAUGAUUACUCUAAACUCUACGCAAAGAGAUUAAUGUAAACUCAUAAACCAAAAGAACAAUAAAACAAGAACUUACUAGAAUUUAGAAGUCGAAAUACUAAAGAAUCCUAGGAGCAAGCUUCGGGUUAGGAGAACUUGAUCCCGUAGGUACAACCUCGCAGUAGACACCGAUCUACACCUCCACUCUAUCUCUCUCAAUCUAGUAGAAACUAGAAGAUCUAAUUCUACUCACAUUGGAUGCUAAGCCUAAAAGAAAUUUUACUUAGAGGAGAGGUAUUUCUUCGAGGGCUCCUCUCAACUCUAUGAUAAACUUGUCUCCUCUAGGGGCCAGGGGGUCUGGUUUUAUAGUCCCCUCAAGUGAACGUGAGCCAUUGGAUCAAAACGACAUUGAUUGGACAGUUAUCCUCGAUCCUUUAGGUUGGUGGAGCGUUGUCCGCGAAAAGAGUUCUGAUUGGAAUCCAGGAGGGGGCGGGCGCCCUGGUCCUGAGGGCGGGCGCCCUGGGCUAGGCCCCUUUCGGCCUCCGCUUUGUUCCCUUGGCUUUUGGAGUCUUCUAGAUGGUAGAAAAUUGCGCGGUGUGUUGAUAUCUCUAUGUAAUCCCGACAUGUGGGCCUUUCUUCCUUAUUUCUUGAUAACCCCCUGCAGAAACAGAUAAACAACAAAAACUCGUGGAAUUCUGUCAGAUCAAACCCUAAUUCUAGGUGUUGUUUGCAUAUUGGUCCUUUCUCUUGUUUAUUUGAUAAUUAAAAUUGAUACUUAAGAACCGUCAACACAAAGUAGUGUAACUAGUUUAGUUGCUAGUCUUGCCUACAAGCCUAGUUAUCUAGUGUAGCUUGUAGUGACAUAGCUCUUGUGUGCCAACUAGAAUUGUUGGAUAGGUGGCUUGCAAACACCCCUUUAGAGCUAGAGCAAAAAGCUUUGCUUUGUUAUUUACUAACCUCUUGCUCUAGUGAGUUUGUAGAUUUUUAAAUAGGCUAUUCACCCCCCCUCUAGCCAUAGGACCUUUCAGGCGCCCGCCCGGGGGCUACAACCAUUCAAGUGCAGUCUCACGGAUUCUGCCUCCACCGACUUUGAGGAUUAAUCUUAAGUGCACGUUUAAGUCGGUUUGAUCCAAGGGUUGUGGUGCUUCCUAGGGGCUAUAAAUACAAGCCUACCCCGUUGGAAGAGAGCUUAGAAUUUAGACAAAAAAACAAAAUUAAAUUUUUUAUUCUCAUCUGAUAAUUAGAGGGAGCCAUUAGAGCUAGGGAUUAGAGAUAGAUUAGCUACUCCUAAUCUUCAUCUUCUACAUAGGAUUAGAUUAGAUAGAGGAAGAGUCGGGCACCUAUGCUCGGAAUUAUCAGAUCUUCAUCAUCAGAGAUUGGUAUUAUAUUUUAUCUCUCUUUUGACUUUAUUCUAAAUAUCAUUAUACUCUUUAUUAAUCUUGAGGCAUUUAUUACAAAUGACUAGUAGCAAACUGACGAUAAUAGUAAACCUAACCCGAAUUUAAAGAUAGAUAACUAAGAUGCACUGCCUCAAGAUCUAAUCUAGAUAACUUAGCGGCGCUCUAAUUCCUUGAUCUUCUUAUUGGCACUAGCAAGAUCAUGCCUAAGGCCUAGUGUAACGGCGUUGUGGUUAGAGAGCUGCCUAGUGAUGGAGUUAACCGAGGACUAGAGGUCUAUGAUGACUCUGUCUAGCCUACGAAUGUCCUCAUCAAUAUCUACUAUAGUCUUGUGACGCUUGGGAGGUGUCUCAAAAGCAUUGAGAGCGUGCUUUAGGGCUGCCUUUGGAGGGAUGAAACGGACUUUGGCUGCUCUAAUCCCUCAGAAGUAAGGUCUCUCCUCCUCCGUAGUGUAGCGGAUGCUGCUGAUCUCACUGCUUCGGUUGGUCUUGACUCCAACGACCCUCUCAUUGGGUCUGGGUGGAAGGAUCCUCGUGCCGGCUGGCACCUAGAUAGUGGUCUCCUUGGAUGAUGAUCCCUUGAGGAGUAGGGGUUGUGGUGGUGCGGUGAGAACUGGUUGAGCAUGGUAGGAUUGGGCAGAGCUACGCUGGCGUAAUGGCAUGGCUUCUAGCUGUCGCUCUGUGUUGGCCGGGACGAGAGCACGGGCAUCGGGGUCUUCCUCAGGCUUCAUGUUGAGGUUGAAAGGGACCACUUCCCAAUCAUCAUGGUACUUCUCAGCCAUUGGAGCAGCGAGGGACUAAACAAGCUCUAAUUGAAGAAGAAGAGAAGGCUUGUGUGGAUUGGUGUUUGAAAACUGAUGUCAGGGGUCUGUUUAUAUAGGGGUCAAAAAGUGCCUCUAGGGGUUGUUCGGGUUACUCCCGUCGAUGUGCGUGAGGAACUUUCCAUCUGAGGGAUUAUUCGGAUUACCAUAAGUGUGUUUUCCAUGACAGAGGAAAUCGGGACCGAGAGGGGUCAGGAGCUGGGCGCCCGCCCACCUGAUCAGGGCGCCCGCCCUCUCUGUGGCUCUUGUGUGGGCCCGCUUCCUCGAGCAUGUUUCUAGAUGCAAAACUUUUUAGGAAAAUAUAUGUAUGACCCAAAAACGUUAGAUUAAAAAGUUCGGGCUCUAAUUCUCUAUGGGAAGGUAAAAAUGGAUUACGUCUAUUUCUUCUAAUUCUUUAUUGGGCUCUAAAAAUAAUUUAAGAGGUUGACCAUAUACCUUGAAUAAUAUACCUUCGUCAUUUUGAAGUGUGAUAGCUCCAUGGGAUGAUGAAUUGAUUACCUUGAAUGGUCCUUCCCAUUUACUCCAGAGUUUUCCAUGCCCGAAAAGCUUCACCCUGGAAUUAAAAAGUAAUACCUUAUCUCCGGGUGCGAACUCCUUCUUCUUGAUUCUCUUGUCAUGCCACCUUUUGACUCUUUCUUUGUAGAUCUUCGAGUUGUGAUUUGCUUUCUCUCGCCAUUCUUCCAAUUCUGAUAGUUGCAUUCUUCUAUGGUCUCCAGUGACAUCUAGGUCCAUAUUCCAUCUUGUUAUGACCCAGUGUGCUUUGAACUCUAGUUCAACAGGUAGGUGGCAAGUCUUCCCGUACACCAAUUGGUAUGGAGACAUUCCAAUUGGGGUCUUGUAUGCUGUCCGGUAUUCUCAGAGUGCAUCAGGUAACUUGUCUUUCCAUGCCGUUCCCAUUUCAUUCACUGUCUUCUGAAGAAUAUUCUUGAUUUGCUUGUUGGAAGUCUCUGCUUGGCCACUUGUCUGAGGAUGGUAGGGGGUAGCGACGUUGUGGCGGAUUCCAUGUUUUGAUAGAUAUUGCUUGAAGCGUUUGUCGAUAAAGUGUGCUCCUCCAUCACUCAUCACUACUCUAGGAACUCCAAAUCUUGGAAAUAUAAUUUCUUCAAACAUCCUUUUUGAACUUAUGUUGUCAGCAUGUUUGCAAGGUAGUGCCUCUACCCACUUGGAGAUGUAGUCAACUGCCACCAGGAUGUACUCACACUUCUUUGAUGGAGGAAAUGGACCCAUGUAGUCUAUUCCCCAAACAUCAAAGAGCUCAAUCUGAAGGUUGUUGGUGAGUGGCAUGGCAUCUCUUGUGUUUAUGUUUCCGUGCCUUUGACAUGACCCACAUCUUCUGAUAUAUUGCUUCGUGUCUUCAUACAUUGUAGGCCAUUAGAAUCCACACUGCCAGAUCUUUGAAUGUGUACCUAAUGCUCCAUAAUGACCUCCAUAUGGUGAUGAAUGACAUCUAUCGAUGAUCUUCCAUCCUUCCUUAGUGGUCACACAUCUCCUGAGUAAGCCAUCAGAGCAUACUCGGAAGAGGUAUGGCUCAUCCAAUAUAUGUGAACGACUUUCUUGAAUAAGCUUCUUCUUGUUUGCUCCUGGUGGUACAUACCCUGAAACCAUAAAAUUAACAAUAUCUGUAUACCAGGGGUCAGACUUGUUAAUCCCGUAGAGCAUGUCAUCCCAGAGUGAAUCAUUGAUGGGGGUUUCCUAUGGACUCUUAAAAUACAUUCUAGACAAGUGAUCAGCAACAGAAUUUUCUACUCCCUUUUUAUCUUUUUUUACUAAGUCAAAUUCUUGGAGCAAUAAGAUCCAUCUAAUUAGGUGAAGUUUAGCAUCUUUUUUUAGUGAGCAAAUAUUUUAGUGCAGCAUGAUCAGUGUAAACAAUUAUUUAGCUCCAACUGAGUAAGAUCUAAAUUUAUCAAUGGCAAAGACAACAGCCAGAAGCUCUUUUUCAGUGGUUGCAUAAUGAAGUUGAGCUCUGUUGGUGCAAAAGCUGAUCUGCAAACACAAAGGGCUAAUACCUGAUUCAAACGUUAAGGCGUGCCAGCCGAUUUGACCUUACAAUCGACAAAGGUGGUAACUCGAACACUUUGGUCCCGACAACAGUGAUACGCCCGGAUGUCACGGCCAAGAGGUGUUCACGCGGAACUUGAGAAUACGCCAAGCUUGAGUCAAUGGAUUCCUAAGAACUUGUAGUAAAAAGAAAAUAUGACGAAGUCGUCGAAAAAGUAGAUGUUGGAAUAUGAGUAAAGAUUUGUGUUUGAUUGAUUGAUAGAUGUCUCAUUACAUUGCCCUAGGGUCUACAUUUAUACCCUAUCCAAAGAGCUACAAUCAGACACGACUAGGACUCAAAUUCCAAAUUAAAUGGAAACCGUAUACAAAGCGAAUCCUAACAACUAAGAAAAACAUUAAAUUACCCCCGUAAUCGAUCGGGACACCAUCAUGAAUCAAUCGGCAACUUUCGCGCAUUUCUUCAGAGUCAUCGGUAGAUUACCCGUCCACCGUCAUUUGCAAACACUAGCAUUGGUCAUCGGCACGAAUACAUCACCAAUUCUGGACUUGGUCAUAUUCGAUGGUCUCCCAUCGGCAGUCACCUUCAUCGGCAACUUCCCUACAGACUGGUCACCACUGCUCCAUCUGCCGAUCUAUACCUCAUCAACUCCAGAUGCAUAUCAAAAGAUACGUGUCCAAAAACGGUGUCAACACAUGCCCCCCAAUUUCGGAGUAUAAAAUCAUUAAUGCUCCGAAAUUCUCUGCAAUAAUGACGCCUUUCCGCAAUUAUGUCUCCCAAUUUGGUAAUCAAUCGCCAAAUCUAAACAACCUCGGCCCGAUUCUCCUGGAGAUUCCUCGAGUCCCUCAACUUCUCAAUCAAAUCUCCCCACUUUAUGCGCACAUCAGCAAUAUUACCGUUAGAGAGAACUGCCGAUGGACCGACCAGGCGAUCUUGUACAGUGAAAUAUCUUUAAAAUCAUGACCGCUUGCUGUCAAAUCACCUGCGCAAUCCCUUGAUUACCGUGCGAACAGUUACCAUAUCCACCUGAACACCUUUGGAUUUCACGGAUGCGGCAAAGAGAUAAGUCAGAUUUGCCCCAGCCCGUUUCGUCCUAUAAAUACUUCCUUCUCCGGUACUCCAUCUCCAUCUUAUCAUUCUACAGCCCAAAAUCUACUUUCCUAGCGGCGGCAUUACCCGAGGACUCCAAGAACCUCAGCAAAAGCCUCCUUCACCAAUCUUCCAAAUCUUCGAUCUUCUUCGUUGCGAAGAAAUGGCCAUCAACUUCGUCGUUCCUUAGGUCAGUCUACCAUCUUCCUCCUUUUUGCACUUUUGUCGUACCCCUGUUCAUCUGCGAUUCCCUUUACUAAGUACCCCUUUUUCUUCUUUUUGUUCUUUCAUCCUCAAAACUUUUAGGAUUUGGCCGAUAAGAUUGUAAUUCCUACCAAUCAGCCUCACUUUCAGUGUCUCGGCCCGUGAGGAAAUCUAGAUCCCACCGAUUUGAUAAACACAGAGACAAAUAGAAUCCCAUUCAGAGCCGAAAACUUUUCCUUAGAUCUAUGGAAAGAUGCCUUUUGUUCCUGGCCCAGUCCUACCAAGGGAUGGAAAGACUGGUUUUUGAGGGUUAGCCAUUCAAAUGAAGUCCAGUGGGGUGAACGGAAAUUAGACCAAUGCAUCAGAUUAUCUCGUGCCGAUAUGUAGAGAAACGAGUCACUGCUGAUAGCUGCCUCGUAUUUCUGGUCAGACACGCUUAAUGCUUUCGUAUUCGGCCAUGGCCCUGCUUCACCCACUCUUGCCGAUGUACUCAUGCUCACCGGUUUAGACAUAUCCACUGCCGAUAGCAGUCACUGUUUGAUAUCAAGCCCAGCGCUAAAGUAGAAACUCGCGCUAUUGGUGGUUGGUCUGGAUAUAUUCAGAAGUACCGAAAGACAGGACCUGUCGGGGAGAGGGAGCAGACAAUUUUCCUAAACAUGUGGUUAGAUAAGUUUGUGUUCUGUGGCCGAUCGGCAGGACCAACUUCUGUCUAUUUAUCGGCAGUAGAGAAACUGGCUAAAGGUGGCUGAUUUCCUCUUGGCCGAUACUUGCUCGGUGCUGUUUAUCACCUUCUUCAUCAGGUAGCUGAGAAACACUUGCUAGGCCAGUCCAUCGGCAAUCUAGGGGGACCCUGGUGGUUUAUCAACAUGUGGCUCAGUGUCCAUAUGCACAAGCGCCUUGAGUUCAACCUUUUUGCACAACGCUUCCCCAGAGACAUAGCCGAAGAUCAUGAGUUAGAUGAAGAAGAAUCGGCAACUCAUCCUCCUCUGAACUACGGUGAAGCUGCCAUAGUUCUGCCUGGCACCGGUGGCAAUCAAGACCAGGUUAGCCGAUUCUUUCAGACUCUUUAUGAGGGUCUAACCAAAGAACAACGGGCAUGGAUGCCUUACGAAGAUCCAGAUACCAGAUUUCCCUUGACCUUUCACCCCUUUGACAAUGCUCUCAACAAGGAUCAUGAUCUGAUGAUGGUAAUCAUCACUCCGAGAGCUAUACCGGUGAAUUUCUUUGGUAGUGGGAAAGCUUCCAACCUUACAUAUGAGUUCUACAAUCCAUCGGCAUUGGCUCGCCAAUUGGCUUUUGGGCAACUGCUGUUUGCGCUCUGUUACGCCGAUGUAAUAAAACCAAGGGAGAUCAUCACCAGCGGUCUUGAAUGGAUCAGAAUAGCUCAACUCCCACCAAAUGUCGAUACAUCAGACAUUGACCUAUCGGCAUGGAUCCCAGCUCUUUUCAUCACCCAGGCUUACAAACAAUGGUGCGCAGAAUGGAAAGAGCACUUGUUCUGCAGAUCGGCCCUUGCAUACCAUGGUAUGAUCGACUCCACGUACAAGGUUCCCAAAAAUGCUGUAAGUUGUCAACCGAUGCUUCAAUUUUAUUGCUUUUACUCUUAUCGGUAACUUACUUUCUUAACUUUACACAGGUUGAUGACACACCACCAUCUGUUAGCCGAAGUGGUAAGCCGAUCGAACUCCUCCCGUUGGGCCCAAUCUCUUUGAUCGGCAACAAUGCCCCAAGUUUGGCGGCUCUAAUGCACCGGGGUGUGCGUUUCAAGAAAAUCACCACCAAGCGGGCCAAGACUUCUCCAUCGGUUGCUGCUACUGCUCUGGCGCAAGCUUUCAAGGUAGAGAAGUUUCACCUCAUCAAUUUAUACCGAUUCCAUUCUAUACUUACACAACCUUUUCAGGAUACAUCGGCUGCUAUGGGAACUUCAUCGGUAACUUUCACUUGUUUCGACUAAAAUUCUAUCAAUACUCCGCCACACUUGCGUUUACGAAACCUUUAUUGUUGUAUUAGCAAACCGGCAAAUCGACAAGGACCAAGACAAGUGCCGAUGGCCCCCAGUCUAGCCAGGCUAAGAGAAAAGGCCCCGAGAGCACCAAGUCUCAAGCAAAACGUCAGAAAACAGCGCCACCUUCUUCUCUUCCCCCAGUGUCACCAAUUCAUGUAGAAUCGUCCCCUUCUUCACCGGAAGCCCAGACCCAGCAAGCACCGUCUCCCCCUCAGUCUCAAGAAGAACCCCAGCCAGAAGAACCUCAGCUAGAAGAACCUCAGCCUGAAGAACCUCAGCCUGAAGAGAUAUCGGCUGAUGUACACGAGCAGACUACCGAUCCAGCGGGCUCAAUCAUAGCAUCGGUAGUCUCCUCGAUCCAAACAAGCACUGCACUCCCUCGAGGUAAAAUACUAUCCAUGAAAUCAUUGCCGAUGGACCUAUUUUUCCACUUUAUAAUUAUCCUUGUUAACUUUUCAGCUGACAUUGUUCCAUCGGCAACUCUAGCCGAUCAACCUGCAAUACCAUCAGCCUCAACCAGUCAGAGGUGAGAGAUAGCCUUGAAACAGGUAAGCUAUUUGAUUAUCAUCCUUUAUUUUAUUAAUAUUUCAUCAUCAAAUAACUCAUCUCCUUUUCUCUUUCAGGAACAAGACUCUCCCGACAGCAUGUUCUCCGUCGCCAUCGAAAUCUCCGAAGAUGAAGGUGAGGAAGCAAGUUCUUCUCAAGCAAUUGGGAUUUCAUCGGCAGAAAUCAGAGCAAAGCUGGAAGAUCUACUGGCCCUGCUUCACCAGGAUACACCCCAACUGGUUGAUGACUCUGAUCCAGCCAGGGCUCUAUUUAAAGCUCUCAGAGGCCAGAUCCCUGCCGAUGCCAAGGAGAUCCUCUUCAAGGCCACACACUUGGACAGUCGACAACUUCACUAACAAAAGGCCACUCAGUGCCUUGCCGAUAGGGCCACUUAUGCCUAGCUUUCAGAGGAGGUGAUGAAGGUAAAGUAUCUUGCCGAUGAAAAACAUAAGAGCAUCGGCAUUCUGAAAUCAUUAGGAGAUGUGCUGAAACAAAAGAUCUCUGACCUAUCGGCACAAAGGGAAGCCCUGUUGGCGGAACUCAAACGAGUAGAGGAAGCCCUGUCCCAAGCUCAACAGAAGGAAAGUGAGCUGCCCGAGACAAUCAAGACUCUUGAACAAGAGCGAAACGUUCAAGCUCGUAAGGCACUGCAGAUGAAGACAAAGCUGAAACCGGUGGAAGGUUCUGCCGAUGAAGAUAUCAAGGAGAUAGAAGAGGCCGACCAAAUCUGUCUGUGCGCUAUAUCGGCCAUCCAAGCCAUGCUGAACGUAUGAAUUCUUCAUCGGCGACAUGUUUUGCCUUUUCUUUUAAAGAUUCUUGAACAUUUUGGUCUAGCCGAUAGAACUGUUAUCGGCAUCUUUUAAAAUACUGCAUCCGGUCUGAUGCGUCACGUUGUCCCGAUCUUCACGACGUAGGAAGAACACCGAUAACUAGCUGAAGAACAGCCGGAUAACUUGCUGCAAGCAGCGAUAACUAGUGCAACCUGGCAAAUAAAACUCGAAGCCAACCACCGUCUUUAACCGGCAACCUGAAUCGAGGAUUCGCCCAACCACACUCUCAAGGAACCAACCAACACAGCCUACAAUCAAUCAAGGAAUACCUUGAAGGGAGUAGGAGCACCAAUUGGGAGCGGAUGAAGCCGCCGCCUAUGUAAUCCCGCGAGGAAAUCACAAGAGCAAAGGGGUAGAGAUCACUCUCUGGAUUUGUUAGCACGCAGCUGAACAAAGGGGUUCUGUAUUUCAAUUAUCAAAGUCUGAGAUUACAAUGAGUCUUAGGGGGUAUUUAUACUAGCAACAGCCCUGCUAGAUAGGUAUGAAAACGAAAUAGAGUUUCUGAGGGAAGACAAUGUGAAAGGUCCCCUCGAAAUGGAUUCCCGAAGUGGCUUCGCGUGACUGUUGGCCUCCAGAGCAGUUUCCAAUAAACUGACCAUAACUUUUUAUUGGGAAGUCCAAAUGAUGAACCGUUUCUUGGGUGUGAAACUAGACUCAAAGGGCUUUCCAGCAAUGUAUGCCAACCAGCACGAAACUUUGUAGAUUGGUACAGUUUUACUUGGCAAGUUGUACCAACAUUCUGUCACGAUAGACUGUUGACCUUCUGAGCAGUCUGUACUAAUUCUUGUCUGCAGGCAAUAUGGAGUAUCCAAACUGGUUGCCACUAGAUUCAUUGGAAAGUAGACUCUUCAAGCUUUCCAACAAAUGCUCAUGGACCUUCAUAGCUUUUGUGAGUAAAAGGUUAUGAAGAUUCUUUGCACUGGUCCGUUUUUGACUUUCACUGGUCCGUUUUUGACUUCUUCUGGAACCUGCACUGGUCCGUUCUUCAUGGUCCGAUUCUUCCUUCUCUUCUUCUAUAUACCUGAGUACAAUCAAGGUACAACACUUAGGUAGUAUAUAAUUAUCAUUAAUGUUAAAAUGAAUCUCACAAAGUAGCACGUGGACCUCUUGUUGUAGCUUCUUUGCACGACUACGUGUAAUCGGUCCAUCGAUGACUUGAGCUGGUGUCGGUGUAGGUGAAACUUGAGUGGGUGUAGCUUGACUUGGAGCUUGUGACAUCUAGCUUGGUGGUGUGGUCAUAUCAUCCUCCCCCUUGAAAAGGAGUCGUCCUCGACUCUAAAGUGUCUUCACUUGUGAAUGGUGAGAGAUCAGCAACAUUGAAGGAGUUGCUCACGCCAUAACUUGCAGGAAGAUCAAUCUUGUAUGCAUUGUCAUUGAUCUUCUCAAGAACACGAAAUGGACCAUCUCCUUGUGGCAGCAAUUUUGAUUUGCGCUGCUGAGGAAAGCGAUCCUUGCGCAAGUGUAUCCACACCAAGUCCCCGGGUUCAAAUAACACCUUCUUCCUAUGUUUGUUCAUACUUGCAGCCUUGUGUCCUGCCUUGGGUUCAAUUGCUUCCUUGGUCUUCUCGUGUAUCUUCUUGAUGUAUGCAGCACGCUUGGAGGCUUCCAUAUUGGUUCUUUCCUGCAAUGGAAGGGGCAACAAAUCUAUCGGAGCAAUAGGUUUGAACCCAUAUACAAUUUCAAAAGGACACAUAUUAGUGGUAGAGUGUACUGCCCUGUUAUAUGCAAACUCCACAUGUGGCAAACAUUCCUCCCAAACCUUCACGUUCUUUUUUAUCAUAGUUCGCAGCAACAUUGACAAUGUGCGAUUCACCACUUCAGUUUGUCCAUCGGUUUGAGGGUGACAAGUGGUGGAGAACAAAAGCUUGGUUCCGAGCUUUGCCCAUAAUGUUUUCCAAAAAUAGCUCACAAACUUGACAUCACGAUCAGAUACAAUGGUUCUAGGCAUUCCAUGCAGCCGCACAAUUUCCCUGUAGAACAAAUUAGCAAUAUGUGAAGCAUCGUCGCUCUUGUUACAAGAAAUAAAAUGAGCCAUCUUUGAAAAUCUAUCAACCACAACAAAAAUUGAAUCUUUUCCUUUCUGAGUUCUAGGCAACCCCAAGACAAAAUCCAUGCUUAUGUCUUCCCAAGGAGUUUUAGGAGUAGGUAAAAGAGUAUAUAAACCAUGAGGGUUCAGUUUAGACUUAGCUUUGUGACAGGUAACGCAUCGCUCCACGAAUCUGAUGACAUCUCUUCUCAUAUUGGGCCAAUAAAAAUGAUCUUCUAGCAGCUCAUAGGUUUUUCUUUGUCUAAAAUGGCCUGUCAAUCCUCCCCCAUGAGACUCCUGCAACAAAAGCAAUCUAACCGAAGAAUUUGGAACACAGAUUUUGUUAGCUCUAAACAAAAAUCCAUCAUGUAUAUGAUACUUUUCCCACCCUUUUCCAUUUUUACAAUGAUUAUAUGGUUCUGAAAAUUCAGGGUCAUUACUGUACAGUUCUUUCAAACUUUUAAGUCCCAAAACCUUUACCUCAAGUUGGUUUAGCAACACACUCUUUCGUGACAGAGCAUCAGCAACAACAUUGUCCUUACCUUUCUUAUAUUUCACAAUGUAUGGAAAUGUUUCGAUGAACUCAACCCAUUUGGCAUGACGACGGUUCAGUUUUGCUUGUCCUUUCAAGUACUUCAAAGCUUCAUGAUCAGAGUGAAUAACAAAUUCUUUUGGCCAUAAGUAGUGCUGCCAUGUUUCAAGCACACGCACCAAAGCAUAUAAUUCUUUAUCAUACACAGAAUAAUUCAGUUGAGCACCUCCUAGUUUUUCACUAAAAUAUGCUACAGGUUUUCCUUGUUGCAUUAGAACUCCUCCUAUCCCAAUUCCACUAGCAUCACAUUCUAUUUCAAAAGUUUUAGUGAAAUCAGGAAGAACAAGUACAGGUGCUUGAGUCAAACGUUUCUUUAAUUCAUGAAAUUCAUUUUGUUGUGAUUUUUCCCAUUUAAAGUCAACACCUUUCUUUGUCAAUUCAUUCAAAGGAGCAGCGAUGGUACUGAAAUCUCUCACAAACCUCCUAUAAAAACUAGCAAGGCCAUGAAAACUUCUUACUUGACUUACAUUUGUUAGAGUUGGCCAAUCCUUGAUGGCUUUCACCAUGCUUUCAUCCACUUCUAUGCCCUUUCCUGAUACAACAAAGCCAAGAAACACAACAUGGUCUGUGCAAAAACUGCACUUCUCAAGAUUAGCAAAUAAUUUCUCCUUUCUAAGCUCUUCCAAGAUGUCACACCCAUAUUUUAAGAACAAAAUAGGAUGCAUAAAAGACUCAUAUGUGCCCCAGGAAUAGUCGUACACAUAAGUAGACAAAUCUCAAAUAUACCAUUGCAGUGUUUAUUACAUAGCGGAUCAUAAUAAAUCACAUAGUCUUACACAAAAAUGAUAGCAUAAAGUAAACAACGCUCUCGACGGAAGCUCCACACAGGGACACUGUUGACUGGUUGACUCCAAACCUAGUACUCAUAACGGUAGUCCUCAUUCCAGUCAUCUUCAUUAUCACAUCCUGAGGUGUUGGGAAAUUGCAAGAGUGAGCACAUAUCGUACUCAACAAGUUUAACCAGGGGUUCAUGAGGCUCAAAUAGCUGACACUGGUUUGACUGCAUUUAGCUUUUAACAGUUGAUAGCAUGUUUAAUCAUUGGAUAGCAAAUGUCAAGGUAGCAUAAUAAAUACCGUAACCACAUGAUCAAUGUAUACAAGACUUAAGAAUAACAUAUAUAAACAACAUAAUAAACCAUCAUUUAUUAUCAUUAUUUACGUUCAUCAGUGUCCAUCUAUUCCGUCAGUUUUCCGGGCCGCCCGUAUCCGUGGGCACGGCUAGUAUACCAGAUUUAACACUCUGCAGAGGUUGUACAUCUUUACCCAUGAGUCAUGAUUUACCCUUUCGCCCGAGGUGAUCAGCCUCUUAACCCACUUCCAAGGAAGGUCGGCAGGGAUCACUAUGAAGCCUUUCAAAAGUUCGUCUAACAAGUUAGGGCCGCAAGGUUUCCUUCGCGAGCAGAUAUAGAUACCCCCCUUCCGAAUGGCACAAUGACGCGCAGCCUAUACACAUAGGGAUAGGGGCUCGCACUAUACCUAUGUCGGUUCAGCCCCUCUAGCGCCCUUUCGGGUAACCGCUAACAAGCUAGAAAAGUUCUUCAUACUGAGCUAAAGCCAGAGCCAUAUAGCCCUCAUGGUUGUACGAGUUGUCCCAGCUUUUGCCAAGGGAUAAGUCCUUAUGGAGGGUCAAGAUCAAUCCAGCAAAAGCCAGAGUUCUUUCCACCCUUUAUAUUCAAGUUGCUAGAAAGCUUAUUUUAUUGUUUAUUGUAUAUUCAAAUAUUCAUGUUACAAGAUCAUGGAUUAAUAAUCAAGCACUAGCAAGAACUACCAAAUGCAUAUCCAAAGUAGGUAACAAGGAAUCCAGGAUAACAAUCAUCUAUGAUUUUGCUAAGGUCAUCAAGGUGAUAGCAUGCAUAUGAUAAAUGUUAUAUUAAUUGUGUAUAGGUAACAAGGAUAAUCCCAAGUUAUACUUGCCUUGAUCAAAGCUCUCCUGAGCCUGCUGGUCCUCAAAGUCUUGAUCUUGAUCACCAACGUACGGCUCACCGUCUAAUCCCAAUCAUCAAUCAACAACACGCAAUCCAAUGUAGACAAUCAUACACGAAGCAAACAAGCUAUUAUUAGAACAAUACACCAAACAGUAGAAAAACAAAUAUAAAAGUUUAUCAAAAUAUUCUACGCAGCGCUACGAUCACAUAAACGUAAAGUUCACGAAAAUCGGAAUUGAAACGGAGAAGUUAUGCAUUUUCCAAUAUUUCCUAUAGAUAAAUAAUUAAUUAAAUAAUACCAGGAAAUUUAAAAGUUUCAAAACAGUAAACUAACAUUUCUAACAUGUAGAGCAUGUAAUUACGAAUCUAACGGAAUUUGAAUGGACAAAAAUGGAGUUAUCUCCGGCGAGAUCUGAAACUCACGGUACACGGGCUAGGACUCGGUUUGGACGGCUUGGACGCGGAAAAGGGAGCUGCGGCGGUAGGGAAGAUCUUUAUAGGGCUCGAUUUGACCCCUUUAGCAAGGAAAUCCCGAGUUUUCAGGAUUGAUUCGGCCCCCUGGAAGGAGUCCUGAUCGGAUGCGAGAUAAGGGAGGAGAAGGCGCUGACACGCGGGCCCAAGCUGUCAGCCAGAGGGCGCUGGGUCCCGGUCGUCGGUCACAGAGAGGAAGGGAGAGUGGGGAGACGCGGGCCGCGGGGAAAGAUGGGCCUCGGGAGAGGUUCUGGGCCGCGCGCAGGGGGAAACGAAAAGGAGCAGGCCGGGGGGCGAGGAGAGUUGGGCCUCGGCUUGGAUUCCAGGAGCUUUCUCCUUUUUUUUUAUUUCUUUUCUGUUUCUUUUUCCAAAGCCUUUCCAAAUAGAAUUUUGAAAGCACAAAUUAUUUCUAACCAACAGAAAUCAGCACAAAAUAAAAUAUGUCUCAGCAUUAAUGCAAAAGCAUGUUGCUAGCCUUAUGAUGAAUUUUAUUCCCCACAAAAUAAUUUUAUUUGCUAGGUUUAAAUGCUCAAAAAAAAAUUACUUAAAUAAAUCAAUUAAUUCUUAUUAUUUGAAAAUCCAAUUUUUGGGUGUUACAAACUCUACCCCCCUUAAAAGAAUCUCGUCCUCGAGAUUGAACGGUGCUUACUCGAAUAGAUAUGAGUAUGACUUCCUCAGAUCAUCCUCUCUUUCCCAAGUUGCCUCUGCUUCCGAAUGCCGAUUCCACUGUACUUUGCACAUUCUGAUGACCCGACUUCUGGUGACUCUCUCAGCUGUCUCCAAUAUUUUGACCGGAUACUCCUCAUAAGUGAGAUCACCUUUAACAGAAAGUUCUUCCAAUGGUAAUUGCUCCUUAGGUACACGCAAACACUUCUUAAGUUGUGACACAUGGAACACAUCGUGCACGCCAGAUAAACUUUCAGGCAACUCUAACUGAUACGCUACUUCUUCACACCUUUGCAAAACUUUAAACGGACCGACAUACCUUGGAGCUAGCUUUCCUUUCAUAUUAAACCUCUUCACACUCCGCAUAGGUGACACUUUCAGAUAGACAUAAUCACCUUCUUUGAAAGCUAGUUCUCUCCUACGUGUAUCUGCAUAACUUUUCUGACGAGACUGAGCAACUCUCAGAUUAUCCCGGAUAGUCCGCACUUGUUGUUCGGCAUGUCUAAGCACAUCUGUACCAAACACCUGAGUUUCUCCUGUCUGAUUCCAAAACAAAGGUGUCCUGCACUUCCGACCGUAUAGUGCCUCGAACGGUGCCAUCUUAAGACUUUGCGGAUAACUGUUGUUGUACGAAAACUCUACAUAUAGCAAACUCUUAUCCCAACUGGUUCCAUACUGCAAUGCACAAGCUCUCAACAUAUCUUCUAGUAUCUGAUUGAUCCGCUCAGUCUGUCCAUCUGUCUGUGGAUGAUACGCUGUACUAAAAUUUAACUUCGUCCCCAAGGAAUCAUGCACUGCUUUCCAAAAAGUAGAGGUGAACUGAGUGCCUCUAUCAGAUACAAUCUUCUUGGGCACUCCAUGUAAACAUACUAUCCGCUCCAUAUACAACUCUGCUAGUCGAGCUCCUGAAUCAGUGGUCUUGACUGGCAAGAAGUGAGCAACUUUAGUCAAUCGAUCCACUAUUACCCAUACUGAAUCAUAUCCUCUCUGUGUACGAGGUAAACCCACUAUGAAAUCCAUGCCUACUUCUUCCCACUUCCAUUCAGGAAUCUUCAUUGGUUGCAACAGUCCAGCUGGCCUAUGAUGUUCAGCUUUCACUCGCUGACAAGUAUCACACAAAGCAACAUACUCAGCUACAUCUCUCUUUAAACCAUACCACCAGUACUUCUGUUUCAGAUCUAGAUACAUCUUUGUACUACCAGGAUGAAUGGAAUAUGCUGACUCAUGAGCCUCUCUCAGAAUCUUAUCACGAAUAGCCUUCACUUCAGGAACACAUAUCCUUUUUUCAAACCACAGUACACCAUUGUCAUCUAUUCUGAAUCCUGGUGCUUUGCCUAGUACCACAUUCUGUGCUAUCUCCUUUAGUUUCUCAUCUUCCAACUGUCCUUUCAAUAUCUCUUCCUCUAGAGUAGGAGUGACCUCAAUUUCCAUCGCAUUUGCUACAAUUCCCAAGUUCAAAUAUGCAAAUUCAGCACACAACUCCUCGGAUUCAGGUGUCGCCCGAAGCUCAUUAGCAUAUUUCUUUCUGCUAAGUGCAUCAGCUACGACGUUCGCCUUUCCAGGAUGAUAAUGUACUUCCAAAUCAUAAUCUUUUAUCAGUUCCAACCAUCUUCGUUGCCUCAAGUUCAGGUCGGUCUGGGUGAAGAUAUACUUCAAACUCUUAUGAUCAGUGUAUAUGUCACUCUUAUGCCCAAUCAAAUAGUGUCUCCAAAUCUUCAAUGCAUGAACCACAGCUGCUAACUCUAGAUCAUGAGUAGGAUAAUUCAGUUCAUGUUUCCUCAGCUGUCUAGAUGCAUAAGCAACAACUCUACCUUCUUGCAUAAGAACACAACCCAAACCCAGGCGAGAAGCAUCACAAUAAAUAGAGAAACUCUUACUCAGAUCUGGCAAUACCAACACAGGUGCAGUAGUCAAUCUCUUCUUAAACUCCUCAAAACUAGCUUGACACUUAUCAGACACUACAAACUUAGCAUUCUUCUCCAACAGAGCAGUCAUAGGCUUUGCAAGUUUUGAGAACCCUUCAAUGAAUCUACGAUAGUAACCAGCCAAACCAAGAAAACUGCGAAUUUCACUUACAUCUGUAGGUGGUUUCCAAUUCAACACAUCUUUCACCUUACUAGGAUCCACUGCAAUACCACCAUUAGAGACAACAUGACCAAGAAAAGAAACUUCUUCCAACCAAAACUCACAUUUACUACGCUUAGCAUACAGCUUAUGUUCUCUAAGUUUCUGUAAGACCAAUCUCAGAUGUUCAGCAUGUUCUUCCUUGGUUUUAGAGAAUACCAGAAUAUCAUCAAUAAAGACCACCACAAACUUAUCAAGAUACUCCAUAAAUACUUUAUUCAUCAUGUACAUAAAGUAAGCUGGUGCAUUGGUCAAACCAAAAGACAUAACUGUAUACUCAUACAACCCAUACCUUGUUGUGAAAGCUGUCUUUGGUAUAUUUGAAUUCCAAAUCUUCAAUUGAUGAUAACCAGAACGCAAAUCAAUCUUAGAGAACACACAAGCACCUCUUAGCUGAUCAAACAAGUCAUCAAUCCUAGGCAAGGGAUAUUUAUUCUUGAUAGUGACCUCAUUAAGUGACCGAUAAUCAACACACAUCCUCUGACUACCAUCCUUCUUAUCAACAAAGAUAACUGGUGCACCCCAUGGUGAUGAACUAGGACAAAUGAACCCUUUAUCUUGCAAUUCCUUAAUUUGUUUCUUAAGUUCUUCUAGUUCUUUAACCCCCAUUCUAUAUGGUCUUUUAGCUAUGGGUGCAGUACCAGGUAGUAAUUCAAUAAUAAAUUCAAUGUCUCGGUCAGGUGGCAUACCUGGCAAUUCAUCUGGAAAGACAUCCGAAAACUCAUCCACUACCAGGUUCUGAGGAUCAACAGCAUCAUUCAGUUGGUUCACUUUAGCGGUGAGUGGUGCUUGCAUUGUUACAUCAACACUGAUUCUUUCUCCCUUUGGUGUUGUCAGAGCCACUACUCUCUCUUUGCACUUAAUAUCUGUGUCAUGUUGCUUCAUCCAAUCCAAACCCAAGAUCACAUCUAUGCCUGAAGUUCUCAUAACCAUGGGACUGAUAAGAAAAUCUACCCCCCUUAAAGAAAGACUUGCUGAGGGGCAACAUAAAGAAACUGGUAUAGUCCCACCCGGUGAAUUAACUAGCAUAGGGGUUUUCAUUGCAACUAGUGGAAGGCUAUGAACUCUAACAAAUGCUUGUGAUAUGAAUGUAUGCGAAGCUCCAGAAUCAAAUAAAACUGUAGCAGGGAUAGAGUUGAUGCUGAACGUACCCAUCAUGAUCUCUGGUCCCUCCUGAACUGUCUCUGUAGCCACAUUGUUCACCUUUGCUGAAUUAGGAGUGGAUCUCCGGUCGUUGUACUGCGGAUUAAACUUCUCCAGGCAAUCAUAGGACAUAUGUCCUUCCUUUCCACAACGGAAACACCUGGUAGGAGUGUUGGAGGCACUUCUCUUGGUGGAGUUGGCAUUUGAGUUCCCUGGGCGAGGUGUCUGCUGACCAUGCUCCUGCUGAUUAUAGUUACAUUGUUGGAAUGGAGGACGUUGGUUCCCACUCUGUGACUGAUUCUGGAAACGCUGGGGUUGCUGGUUGCGGUUCCACUGACUAACUGGUCCCUGGAACCUCUGCUGAUGACCUUGAUGAGAACUAAAACGCUGACGGUUGUUGCUCCCAGAACCUUGUGCCAGCAUCCUUGUCUUCUUAUCCUGACUCUUCCGCAUAUUAUCAAGCACGAUAGCACGAUUCACAAGAGCCUGGAAGGUAGGAUAGGUGUUUCCAGCCAACUGCAACCUGAGCUCAUAGUACAGACCUUUCAUGAAUAGACGCUGCUUAUCGGCAUCUUCCCUGACAUCGUUCGGAGCAUAGCGAGCCAACUGUUCAAAGGUGUCAUGAUAUUCUGCCACAGUCAUGGAGCCCAUCCUGAGUGAUCUGAAUUCUUCUUGCUUGAGUUCCAUCAUUCCCUCACUUAUAUGUCGAGCUCUGAAGUCUCUACAGAAUUCCAGCCAUGUGACAGGAGGAGCAUUGUUGGGACGAGCAGCUUGAUAUGACUCCCACCAUGUCUGAGCUGCCCUCUGAAGAUGUCCAAAAGCAUACAACACCUUCUCCAAGUCAUUGCACUGUGCUAUGUUUAGCUGCCUCUCCACAGCACGUAACCAAUCAUCUGCCUCCAUGGGAUCAGCUGAGUGUGUAAAUACCGGAGGUCUUCCCUUCAUAAACUCUCCACGCUUGUCUCUCACAUGAACAGGUGGUGGUGUUGGUGGAGGUUGUUGCUGCAGGUGCUGCAUGAAAACGUGCAUCAUCUCAUUUUGUGUUUGCAUGAGUUCCUCCACGGUGAUUGGGCCAUUGCCACCAUUGCCAUUGCCACGGCCUCUGCCUUUGCCUCUUCCCCUUGCUGCCAUCUGCAUUCCAAGGUAUAUAAACACAUCUUAGUAAUGUCCAACAUGACAAUUACAAGAGUUAACGGAAUCUGAAAUUUUCUGGGUAACAUCCAACAUCAGCAGAUCAGAAAACCAGUCAUAUCUCGAGUUCCAGAAUUCAAACGGAUACAUGCUGUACACCGUUGGAAAGAUAGAGAAAUUGUCUACAACUUUCAUUUAGAUAAUAUUAACAGAUUCCAAAGUUAGGUUAAUCAAAAACUGGGUACAACCGAGACUCUUCCAGAAUUCCAGACUGCACAGAAACCUCAAGUUUAAACAGUCAUAACUCACAGCUCAUAAUAGAUAAUAUGGUCAUUCUUGCGGCAUUGGUAAGAUAUGAAAGUCUACUUGUUCCCAGAAAAAUUUGAUGAACAUUUCACGAACAGAAUUUGAUUUAUACCAAAAUCUUUAUAUACUGCUCCAGAAAACAGCAAAGGACAGAAACAGGAUAUGACCCCAAACCACUAUUUAUUCAUGUUCUUACUUAAUGUUCUUAACUAGGGAACUUGUGGAUAUGCCCACAAGGUUCCAGCACUCAUUACAAAAAUCCAAAUCAACCAUAACCAGAAUAACAAAACAAACCAAGCAUCCAAAGUUUACACUUCAAGCAUUGACUCAACUUGCGGUACUAACGUUCUCUUCCUAUUAAGGGCAAGAUCCUAGAUCUCCUAUUCCAAUGACGUUAGAAGGUGGUAAGAAAUGUUCUAAAAGCAUAUUCAAAGCAAAGAGUGGUGAUGAGAACAAGUCUUUUCAAAUAAGCAACAAGGUGAAGAUGAAUAGGAUAUAGUGUAGAAGAAAAUAUCAAGGUUUAUAGAGCAAGGAUUUUAUGGCAAUUUCAAAACCUUAAGACGGCCAAUUUCUAACUAGGCUUGCGUCCGACAGUCAACAAAGCUCUGAUACCAAUUUGUCACACCCAUAUUUUAAGAACAAAAUAGGAUGCAUAAAAGACUCAUAUGUGCCCCAGGAAUAGUCGCACACAUAAGUAGACAAAUCUCAAAUAUACCAUUGCAGUGUUUAUUACAUAGCGGAACAUAAUAAAUCACAUAGUCUUACACAAAAAAUGAUAGCAUAAAGUAAACAACGCUCUCGACAGAAGCUCCACACAGGGACACUGUUGACUGGUUGACUCCAAACCUAGUACUCAUAACGGUAGUCCUCAUUCCAGUCAUCUUCAUUAUCACAUCCUGAGGUGUUGGGAAAUUGCAAGAGUGAGCACAUAUCGUACUCAACAAGUAUAACCAGGGGUUCAUGAGGCUCAAAUAGCUGACACUGGUUUGACUGCAUUUAGCUUUUAACAGUUGAUAGCAUGUUUAAUCAUUGGAUAGCAAAUGUUAAGGUAGCAUAAUAAAUACCGUAACCACAUGAUCAAUGUAUACAAGACUUAAGAAUAACACAUAUAAACAACAUAAUAAACCAUCAUUUAUUAUCAUUAUUUACGUUCAUCAGUGUCCAUCUAUUCCGUCAGUUUUCCGGGCCGCCCGUAUCCGUGGGCACGGCUAGUAUACCGGAUUUAACACUCUGCAGAGGUUGUACAUCUUUACCCAUGAGUCAUGAUUUACCCUUUCGCCCGAGGUGAUCAGCCUCUUAACCCACUUCCAAGGAAGGUCGGCAGGGAUCACUAUGAAGCCUUUCAAAAGUUCGUCUAACAAGUUAGGGCCGCAAGGUUUCCUUCGCGAGCAGAUAUAGAUACCCCCCUUCCAAAUGGCACAAUGACGCGCAGCCUAUACACAUAGGGAUAGGGGCUCGCACUAUACCCGUGUCGGUUCAGCCCCUCUAGCGCCCUUUCGGGUAACCGCUAACAAGCUAGAAAAGUUCUUCAUAUUGAGCUAAAGCCAGAGCCAUAUAACCCUCAUGGUUGUACGAGUUGUCCCAGCUUUUGCCAAGGGAUAACUCCUUAUGGAGGGUCAAGAUCAAUCUAGCAAAAGCCAGAGUUCUUUCCACCCUUUAUAUUCAAGUUGCUAGAAAGCUUAUUUUAUUGUAUAUUGUAUAUUCAAAUAUUCAUGUUACAAGAUCAUGGAUUAAUAAUCAAGCACUAGCAAGAACUACCAAAUGCAUAUUCAAAGUAGGUAACAAGGAAUCCAGGAUAACAUUCAUCUAUGAUUUUGCUAAGGUCAUCAAGGUGAUAGCAUGCAUAUGAUAAAUGUUAUAUUAAUUGUGUAUAGGUAACAAGGAUAAUCCCAAGUUAUACUUGCCUUGAUCAAAGCUCUCUUGAGCCUGCUGGUCCUCAAAGUCUUGAUCUUGAUCACCAACGUACGGCUCACCGUCUAAUCCCAAUCAUCAAUCAACAACACGCAAUCCAAUGUAGACAAUCAUACACGAAGCAAACAAGCUAUUAUUAGAACAAUACACCAAACAGUAGAAAAACAAAUAUAAAAGUUUAUCAAAAUAUUCUACGCAGUGCUACGAUCACAUAAACGUAAAGUUCACGAAAAUCGGAAUUGUAACGGAGAAGUUAUGCAUUUUCCAGGAUUUCCUAUAGAGAAAUAAUAAAUUAAAUAAUACCAGGAAAUUUAAAAGUUUCAAAACAGUAAACUAACAUUUCUAACAUGUAGAGCAUGUAAUUACGAAUCUAACGGAAUUUGAAUGGACAAAAAUGGAGUUAAAAUGAAUAUUUUAUAACCAAUUCAAUUCCAACGGCAAAACUGUAAAUAUAUGAUUGCGCCUUUUCACUUGAACCGACGAAAAUACGUGUUUAAAGCUGAGAAACGUAUUUAGCAGAAUACGCCAAGGACUGCGGAGUAAGUAAAGAAAAAUUGCAGGGACUCUUAAUGAAGAUCUCCAGGCGAAGGGGUAUCUUCAUUUGCUGGCCAUCCGAUCUCCAUCCGACGGCCCCGAUCAAACCAGGGGGUCUCCAGGCGGCGGGCCGACCGGCUCAUGAUCUCCGGCGCGGUGGCGGCCAUUGUUGCCGCCGCCAAGCUCGCCGGCGUCGAUGGUUUCUCAAUUCCGUGCACCAAAAUCAGAAGUAAAACCACCGGGAUGUGGAGGAGCUCACCACGAAUCCGUAGAGAGGCUUUCCUUGGGCUGGGAGGGUGCGGGGGUGGCUUGGUGCUCGGCGUGGCGGAGGUUAUUUCCGGUGAGAUCUGAAACUCGCGGUACACGGGCUAGGACUCGGUUUGGACGGCUUGAACGCGGAAAAGGGAGCUGCGGCGGUAGGGAAGAGCUUUAUAGGGCUCGAUUUGACCCCUUUAGGAAGGAAAUCCCGAGUUUUCGGGAUUGAUUCGGCCCCCUGGAAGGAGUCCUGAUCGGAUGCGAGAUAAGGGAGGAGAAGGCGCUGACACGCGGGCCCAAGCUGUCAGCCAGAGGGCGCUGGGUCCCGGUCGUCGGUCACAGAGAGGAAGGGAGAGUGGGGAGACGCGGGCCGCGGGGAAAGAUGGGCCUCGGGAGAGGUUCUGUGCCGCGCGCAGGGGGAAACGAAAAGGAGCAGGCCGGGGGGCGAGGGGAGUUGGGCCUCGGCUUGGAUUCCAGGAGCUUUCUCCUUUUUUUUAAUAUCUUUUCUGUUUCUUUUUCCAAAGCCUUUCCAAAUAGAAUUUUGAAAGCACAAAUUAUUUCUAACCAACAGAAAUCCGCACAAAAUAAAAUAUGUCUCAGCAUGAAUGCAAAAGCAUGUUGCUAGCCUUAUGAUGAAUUUUAUUCCCCACAAAAUAAUUUUAUUUGCUAGGUUUAAAUGCUCACAAAAAAAAUACUUAAAUAAAUCAAUUAAUUCCUAUUAUUUGAAAAUCCAAUUUUUUGGUGUUACACAAGACUUGCCGAAUAUGAUUCACAUGUUCCUCAAAAGACUUGCUGUAAAUUAAGAUAUCAUCGAAGUAGACAACAACAAAUUUUCCAAUGAAAGCUCUCAAGACAUGGUUCAUUAAUCUCAUGAAAGUACUAGGAGCAUUAGUCAAACCAAAAGGCAUAACUAACCAUUCAUACAGCCCAAAUUUUGUUUUAAAUGCAUUUUUCCAUUCAUCCCCUGUUUUCAUUCUUAUCUGAUGGUAUCCACUUCUGAAAUCAAUUUUAGUGAAUAUGUUGGAACCACUUAAUUCAUCAAGCAUGUCAUCUAAACGUGGGAUAGGAUGGCGAUAGCGAACAGUGAUGUUAUUUAUAGCUCUACAAUCAACACACAUUCUCCAAGAACCAUAUUUCUUAGGUACUAAAAUUACAGGAACAGCACAAGGACUUAAACUUUCACGAACAUAACCUUUAUCAAGAAGUUCUUGCACUUGCCUUUGUAUCUCCUUUGUUUCUUCUGGAUUGGUUCGGUAUGGUGGUCGAUUAGGUAGUGCAGCCCCUGGAAUGAGAACAAUUUGAUGCUCAAUCCCACGAAUUGGCGGUAGUCCCGCCGGUGUUUCUUCUGGAAAAACAUCUCCAUAGUCCUGCAAAACAUGAGACACAAGACUAGGAAGAGAGGUCAUGUCGUUAGCUGAAAUUAAAAUGUCUUUGUAUACAAGUACAAAGAGCACUUGUUCGGGGUUGUUCCUCACUUCUCUCAUUUCAGAUUUUGUGGCUAGCAUGACUAAAUUCUCUCCCUCUCCUUUCUUUUUCUCCCUCAAAUUUGGCUUGUGGCACUCACUCACCGAAUUGUGGAUGGCACUCAAUUUCUUUUGCUCUCCUUCCUCUCUACUCACUGGAACAAUUUCAGAUUUCUUUUGUAAAUGUUCAGCCAUGAUUUGUUGGGGUGUCAUAGGCUUGAGAACAAACUUCUUCCCCGUUAUAUUGAUCGUAAACUGAUUUGUUAUCCCACAAUGUUGGCUAUAUCGAUCAUAUUGCCAUGGCCUUCCAAGCAGCAAGUGACACACCGACAUGGGCGCCACAUCACACUCUACUGUGUCAACAUAUUCACCAAUCUUGAAUGGAAUGUUUACUUUAUAUCCAAUCUUGAUAUCUCCCAAAUCAUUCAGCCACUGUACAUGAUAUGGAUGAGGGUGUCGUAGCAGCUUCAGGCCAAGUUUAUCAGCCAUCUCACGACUAGCAAGAUUAUGGCAGCUCCCUCCAUCAAUAAUCACCUUCACCACCUUAUCAUGUACCUUUGCUCUGGUUUGAAAUAAAUUAUGUCGCUGCCCAUUUUCAGCUUCUUUCAUUUGAACACUCAAUAUUUGAGUCACCACAAGAGCAGCACCAUGCUCAAAUUCACAGCCAGUAUGUUCCUCAUCUUCAUGGGCUUCACCAACAUGUUCUUCCUCAGCUUCCUCUUCACUAGCUGAUUCAAAUUCUCCACUAUCAUUCACAAUGACCACACGAUUAUUUGGACACUCUCUUGAUACAUGUCCACGGCCUCCACACUUGAAGCACUGAAUUCCACUACUCUUGGAAGUGGAACCCACUGAAGUAGUGUUUGAUGCAGCUGGUUUUGAACUUGGGACAGCAGUGUUCUUUCCACUAAAAGUACCCUGAAAAUUAGAUCGUGAGCCUCCACUUGAGCCUUUCACCAUGGAUGGUUCAGCAGAAAACUUGGUGAUUGAUUUGCUUCCUCCAGAGAUGUUUCUCAUACCAAAGGACAAGGACUUGCUGCUCUUAGCAUCUUGCUGCAAUUGACGUUCAGCUUUGGUUGCUUGAUGUACCAAAUCAAUAAGAUAUCGGUAUGGCUGAAACUCAACAAUGCGCUGAAUAUUGCGAUGCAGCCCAGCCAUAAAACGUGCAAUAGUUUGCUCUUCAUCUUCAUACACAUUGGCUCUAAUCAUAGAUUUCUCCAUCUCCUUAUAAUACUCUUCAACAGAGAGACUUCCUUGCUUCAAAUUCUGCAAUUUAUCAAAAAGAUCACGCCGAUAGUGCUUCGGCACAAAACGACUUCUCAUUUCUCUCUUCAUUUCAUCCCAAGUUGCAAUAGGAUGUCUUCCAUCUUCUUCACGAUCACUGAGGAGCUGCUCCCACCAUAUUAGAGCAUAUCCUUCAAACUCCAGAGAUGCCAUUGCCAGCUUCUUCUCUUCUGAAUAAUUAUGCAAGCGAAAGAUUUUAUCCACUUUCAGCUCCCAAGUGAAAUAAGCUUCAGGAUCAGACCCACCAUCAAACUUUGGCAUGGUAAACUUCAGUUUUCCUAGCCUCUCCUCAUGAUUGCCUCUUCUACGAUGUCGGCGACCAUAUCGAUAUUGAGAAUGAUCAUCAUCAUCCUCUUUUUCAGAUUCUUCAUUAUCAUGAUUUCUUCGACCUUGACCUCUUCCCCUACCUCGGUUCCUCCUUCCUUGUUCCCUUGAGCUUCUACUAGCAGCACUUCUAUCACUCAUAUCUCCAUCUUCACCAUGGUGGCUUGCUCCAUCAUGAGGUUGGCGACGCCUUCUAAUUUCAGUCAUAAGGUUCUGAAGAUCUUGUGUCAACCUAUCUUGCUUUUCUUCUAUGCUUUGUCGGAGUUCAUUAAAUUGUGCCAAAGUGACACAAUCCUCUAUUCCAUCACCCAUCUUCAUGUAAGGUUAGCUGAAUACAAAUAAUUUGUAUUUGUGGAAUAUGAAAAUUUGGUGGCCCUCACAACUCACCUCUCUAACCACCAAGGCUCUUAUGAAUUCCUCUGCUGCAGAUUACAAGGAAAACAAAUGUGUGGUGGCAACUGAAAGUGAUGGCGAGGCGAAUACAAGAACAGAGAGUACCGAUUACGAUGGUUUUUUAUGUGGAGCUUGGUGGGGAGUAAUACACAAGGAAUGCAAUCUGAAUUCUAGUUGUUGUAAAGUUAAGUAACGAUCCAAACUAGAAGUUCUCUGCCUAGUGCUGAUCAAAAGAUUCGAAGUGUAUAAAUAGAUCACACACACGCAAAGAAAUUUCAGAAUUGAUGCAAACAAGGAGUAUGAUUGGGAUGCAAGUGUUGCAAUCAGACCCAACCAAAGUUUUGCACCAAACAAAGAUAGCAAACUGGUUGUAGAACUUGAUAUGAAACUUUCAGCACUUGUGCACAUAAACCAACUAAUCUUUCAGACUUUCUCUCUGAACCUUUCUCAACUUUUUUUUUCACUUCACUUUUUUUUGCACUUUCUUUUCUUUUUUUUACACACUUUUUUUAUAUAUAGAACUAAAAACAGGGAUCAGAUUAUGAUACUUGCACAACUAAAGACAGAAAUAAAAUAACAACCUGUAGCUAGAUAGGAUCAAAGUUAACACAAAUGAUGAUAUAGGCUAUAGAGAUUUUUUUUUGUGGGAAUUUUUAGAUAUAAAAGAGGCACAAAGAACACGCGAAGGAUAAAUGAUCAGCAACUAAAACAAAGACUCUAAUGGACUGCGACUUAACCGAACUCACUAAAAUAACAGAUUGAAACAAAGGUCUAAGCAAUAUAUUUUUCUGGCUUUUUGGUGGAUAGGACGAAGCAAAAUAUAUAUGUAGCUAGGGAUAAAAUUCCUACCAUGGUAACGAAAGCUUUGAUACCAGAUGAUGCGUCACGUUGUCCCGAUCUUCACGACGUAGGAAGAACACCGAUAACUAGCUGAAGAACAGCCGAAUAACUUGCUGCAAGCAGUGAUAACAAGUGCAACCUGGCAAAUAAAACUCGAAGCCAACCACCGUCUUUAACCGGCAACCUGAAUCGAGGAUUCGCCCAACCACACUCUCAAGGAACCAACCGACACAGCCUACAAUCAAUCAAGGAAUACCUUGAAGGGAGUAGGAGCACCAAUUGGGAGCGGAUGAAGCCGCCGCCUAUGUAAUCCCGCGAGGAAAUCACAAGAGCAAAGGGGUAGAGAUUACUCUCUGGAUUUGUUAGCACGCAGCUGAACAAAGGGGUUCUGUAUUUCAAUUAUCAAAGUCUGAGAUUACAAUGAGUCUUAGGGGGUAUUUAUACUAGCAACAGCCCUGCUAGAUAGGUAUGAAAACGAAAUAGAGUUUCUGAAGGAAGACAAUGUGAAAGGUCCCCUCGAAAUGGAUUCCCGAAGUGGCUUCGCGUGAUUGUUGGCCUCCAGAGCAGUUUCCAAUAAACUGACCAUAACUUUUUAUUGGGAAGUCCAAAUGAUGAACAGUUUCUUGGGUGUGAAACUAGACUCAAAGGGCUUUCCAGCAAUGUAUGCCAACCAGCACGAAACUUUGUAGAUUGGUACAGUUUUACUUGGCAAGUUGUACCAACAUUCUGUCACGAUAGACUGUUGACCUUCUGAGCAGUCUGUACUAAUUCUGGUCUGCAGGCAAUUUGGAGUAUCCAAACUGGUCGCCACUAGAUUCAUUGGAAAGUAGACUCGUCAAGAUUUCCAACAAGUGCUCAUGGACCUUCAUAGCUUUUGUGAGUAAAAAGUUAUGAAGAUUCUUUGCACUAGUCCGUUUUUGACUUCCACUGGUCCGUUUUUGACUUCUUCUGGAACUUGCACUGGUCCGUUCUUCAUGGUCCGAUUCUUCCUUCUCUUCUUCUAUAUACCUGAGUAUAAUCAAGGUAUAACACUUAGGUAGUAUAUAAUUAUCAUUAAUGUUAAAAUGAAUCUCACAAAAUAGCGCGUGGACCUCUUGUUGUAGCUUCUUUGCACGACUACGUGUAAUCGGUCCAUCGAUGACUUGAGCUGGUGUCGGUGUAGGUGAAACUUGAGUGGGUGUAGCUUGACUUGGAGCUUGUGACAUCUUGCUUGGUGGCGUGGUCAUAUCACGGUCCUAGAUACAUUUCAAUCCAGCCGAUAGGAGUGUUAUCGGCACUUAAACUUUUUAUGCAUCAACCCAUAUGCUCGGGUAAUAUUUCUUCAAAUAUUUUCCAUUUAAUGCUCUGGGAAAUUCAACUCCUUAGAGAGUUUCCAAAAUAUAGGCAUUACCAGGAGCAGAUCGAUUUACCCGAUAAGGACCUUCCCAAUUGGGAGACCACUUGCCAAACUUUGAACUUUUAGUCCCAAUCGGUAAUAUUAAUUUCCAUACCAAAUCUCCAUCGGCGAACUCCUUAGCCUUCACCUUUUUAUCAUACCAUCUGGCGACUCUCUUUUUAUUUUCUUCAAUACUUAUCAAAGCCUUCAGCCGAUGCCCUGCUAAAUCAUCUAACUCGUCUUUCAUCAAAGUAGCGUAGUCAUCGGCAGCCAACUGAUCUUGAAAAGAUAGUCGCCUGGAUCCCAUCUUAAUCUCCCAUGGUAGCACAACGUCGUGUCCACAUACCAGCUGAUAAGGUGAAACUUUGGUCGACCCAUGAUAGGCUAUUCUAUAUGACUAUAAAGCCUCAUUCAACAAUGUAUGCCACUUCUUAGGAUUUUCUUCAAUCAUUCGUUUGAUAAGUUUAAUAAUUCCUUUGCUAGACGCUUUGGCCUGCCCAUUAUCUUGAGCAUAAUAAGGAGAAGAAUUUAACACUUUAAUUCCCAUACCGAUUGCAAAUUCAUCAAACUCUCCUGAUGUGAACAUAGUACCCUGAUCGGUAGUAAUUGUCUGAGGAAUACCAAAUCGGUAAAUAAUAUGCUCUUUCACAAAAUCAAUUAUAUUGGCCGAUGUAACUUUCUUCAAAGGAAUAGCUUCAACCCAUUUAGUGAAAUAAUCAGUGGCAACUAAGAUGAAUUUAUGCCCUUUGCUCAAUGGUGGAUAAAUCUGGCCGAUCAGAGCAAUAGCCCAUCCCCGAAACGGCCAAGGUUUAAUAAUGGGAUUCAUGGCCGAUGCGGGUGCCCUUUGAACAUUGCCAAAUUUCUGACAUCCUUGACACCCUUUGAAAUAUUUGAAACAAUCCUCAAGUAUGGUCGGCCAAUAAUAUCCAUUUCUUCUGAUCAUCUAUUUCAUCUUAAACGCCGAUUGAUGGGCUCCACAUACUCCUUCAUGGAUUUCUCCCAUCAAACUUUUACCUUCAUCGUUGCCUAUGGAUUUGAGAAGAACUCCAUCGAAUGUCCGAUAAUACAACUCAUCCUCGAGGAACACAUACUUGGUAGCUUGAAACCGGACACGCCUUUCAACCUUCUUAGAUGGAUUCUUUAAAUAGUCAAUGAUUUCCUUUCUCCAAUCAUCGGCACCGAUUGCCGAUAACGCAUUCGAUAUGGGUUGAUAUCGCGAGGCAUGCUGAGCCAACCGAUUAGCAACCUCAUUAUGUAACCAAGGAACAUGCUCUAAUCGGAAAUCUUUGAAUUCCCUUAAUAGUUGUAUACUCUUUUCGUAAUAAGUUAUCACGACUUCGCUUCGGCAUUCAUAACUUUCAGCCAACUGAUUUAUAACCAGCAUAGAAUCCUCGAAGAUUUCAACAGCAUCAGCACGAACUUCUCUUAAUAAUUCCAACCCCUUGAUCAAAGUUUGAUACUCGGUUUGGUUAUUCGUUGACGUAGCAACAAUCGGCAAAGAAAACUCAUACUUCCUUCCAUGAGGGAAAAUUAAUACUAUGCCAAUUCCUGCCCCCCGGUCACACAUGGAUCCAUCAAAGAAGAGCGUCCAAGGCAUAAUUUCCAAAGUUUCCACUACACCGCAAUGUUGAGUUACAAAAUCGGCCAUAAUCUACCCUUUAACCGCUUUAACCGAUUCGUAACGUAUAUCGAAUUCCGACAGUGCCAUAAUCCACUUACCGAUUCUUCCACUCAUAAUCGGCAUAGAUAGCGUAUAUCGGACCACAUCAUCUUUGCAUAUAACAGUGCAUUUGGCCGACAGCAAAUAGUGCCUCAAUUUAAUUCAAGAAAAAUAUAGGCAUAAGCAUAAUUUCUCAAUGGCCGAAUACCUGGUCUCAGUAUCGAUUAAUCUUCUACUCAAAUAGUAAAUUACACGUUCCUUCCCUUCAAAUUCUUGAAUCAAAGCCGAACCGAUGACCAUCCCAUCGGUAGACAAAUAUAAUCUGAAGGGCUUUCCUUGCUGAGGUGGAAUCAAGACCGGAGGAUUUGUCAAAUAAUUCUUCAUUUCAUCUAAGGCUAACUGUUGCUCUUCUCCCCAUGUAAAUUCCUGAUCGGCCUUUAAUUUAAGUAAAGGACUAAAAGCACGAAUUUUACCAGACAAAUUAGAAAUAAAUCGCCUGAUAAAAUUUAUUUUGCCGAUCAGAGAUUGGAGCUCAGUUUUGUUGGUAGGAGCAACUAUUUUGUUAAUAGCAUCGAUAGAUUUCUGCUAAUUUCAAUUCCCCUCUGAUGCACCAUGAAACCAAGAAAUUGCCCUGCCGAUACACCAAAUGCACAUUUGUUAGGGUUCAUCUUUAAACCAUGUUUUCUUGUGCAUUCUAACACUUUUCGCAGAUCGGUAAGAUGCUUCAUGAAAUCCCAGAUUUAACCACCACAUCAUCAAUAUAAAUUUCCACCAUCUUGCCGAUGAACUCAUGAAAGAUUAAAUUCAUAGCUCUUUGAUAGGUAGCACCAGCAUUUUUCAAGCCAAAGGUCAUGACUACCCACUCAAACAAUCCUACAUAACCAGGACAUCUAAAUGCAGUCUUUGGAAUAUCUUCCUCAACCAUGAAUAUCUGGUUAUAUCCUGCAUUACCAUCCAUGAAGCUAAUAACUCGAUGUCCAGCUGCAGCAUCAACUAGCAAAUCGGCAACUGGCAUUGGGUAACCAUCCAUCUGUGUAGAUUUGUUAAGAUUUCUAAAAUCAAUGCAAACUCGAAGCUUCCCAUUUUUCUUGUAAACUGGAACAACAUUGGAAAUCCACUCGGCAUAUCGACACUGCCGAAUAAAUCUGCUUCGAUAAGUUUGGUUAUUUCAGCCUUAAUAUCAGGAAGAAUAUUAGGAUUACAUCGGUGAGCUGGCUGCUAAGAUAUGUAGAAUUUGUGGUAUAAGGCAUAGUGACAUUGCCUUCUCUCUCACCCUACUCUAAUAAGGCUUUUAUCUCUGGACCUCAUAGGUGGGAGAUAAAGUAUACAUACUUACAAGACAUUUAUUGCAUAGUCAAACCAUGGAUCCAAAGAAACAAAUCAAUAAGCCAAAUCAAGAUGUGCAUGUGUGGCGAAUGAAUGGUGUAUGGUGAUGAUGGUGAUAACAAUGGUGGAAGUCUAAUUCUACUUUGCUCUUUGAGGGGAUACAUACCUACCUUGCUUUUUGAAACUUUAUGAGGAGAAUGAGAUGCUCUUCUUUUUUUUCUCUCUCAGGUGGGUAUCUUGUACCCCUAAUUCUACUGUUGGACACUUGUCCAUUUUUACCUCUCGUCUUACUUUUCUUUUCUUUCGAGGUUCCGAGCACUUGCUCCUUUUUAUUUCCUCGUAUAUAUUUUUUCCCCUUUUUUCUAGAGCACUCAUCUCUUGAGAUAAUAUAGCAAGUGGUAGUAAAAAGAUAACUUGAGCAUUUAUUUCACAAGAGAAACAAAAAUAUUUUUGGUUAUUCUCUCCCGGAUUAGGAGUAGAAUAUUUUUAGGUGAUUCUGGAGAUGGAGUGGGUGGAUAUAUGUGGAUGGUACUUCCGGAGUAGAAGUAGCAUAUAUGAGUGAACGUGCAAGUGAAAUCUUGAUUUAACCACAUGACAAGCUCCUAAGGGUCUACACAUCUUGACCACACUCAAUGCUCAUAAGCAGUAAAUAGUAAAUGUGUGGCUCAAAGUCUAGCAAGCAUGUAUAUAUGGCUGUGGUAGGAAUUUAAAACUCUCAUCAUACAGGAACUCAUCAUGCAACAUUUUUUAAGAUUUUCAAAGAUAAAAUUCUCCAGAAUUCUAGCAUCUCUAGGAACAGAUAAACAGCAGCUCAACCUUCCCAUAUCAUAUCCGUUAACAACUUAGACUUGAGAUCAAGUUUUCAUCCCACAAGUUUAGGUCUAGAGCAAGCUUUAAAUUAUAACAGUUAUAUCUAAACUUGAGAGAGAACUUAAAAUGUUCAAAUUAGGCAG